AGGGGCGUGCACGCGGGCUGCAAAGUGGUGGCGCGGGGGUGCGCCGCAGCGGGGCACCGGGAUGCGGCGGCCGGCCGGGCGCCGGGGAGAGGGCGCGGGCGCAGGGCGCGGUGGGCGGCGGCGGCGGAGGCGCCGGGCAGGGGCGCGGAGUUAGUUGGCCCGGGUGGUCCGGGCGGCCCGGGGCGGCGGGGGGCGGGCGCUGCGCUCCGCCUGCCGCUUCCGCCCGGGCUCGAGCUGUCAGGGCUCUCGGCGGCGGCUGCAGCGGCUGGGAGGUGGGAGGGGGGCGGGGGUGGCUCCACCGCGGCAGCCAUUCCGCUUCCUCCUCCCACCGCCGCCGCCACCGCGUCCUGUCAGCGCCGGUUGCUAGGUGUGGUGCGCUGGGAGGGGGCCGGGGCCAGCGGCCGCGCGGAGGACGGGUGCUCAUCCUUCCCCCGAGUGACCACCGUGCUGGCCGGGGACGCCCGGCGCCCGCUGCUGUCCCGGCCUGGCGCGGACGCCGGGGCGUUGCGGGCUGAGGUUCCGGGUGCGCCCGCGGGCCGCGCCCCACACCCGGGCCCCGGGUGCCCCUGAGGCCCUUGCGGCUGCGCCCGCUGGAGCUCGGUCCCACGGGCCCGCGGCCGGGUAUUUAAAUGUGCCCCGGCUCAGCGAUUUGCCUAUCAAAUAGUGCUAGGCCCGAGGUGCGCCGGCUGCGGCGGGGGAUCGGCGGGGCCUGCGCGGCGCCCGAGCGCGGGGCCGCGGGGGAGGGGCGCCCCGGAGCGGCCGGCUUCCCCGGAGCGCCGCACCCCGCGACCUUUCAACAAGUCCUCUGAUUCGCACAAGUCCUUACACUGGUUUGCACACUUUCUCUCUGCGAAAGGAGAUGGGUCAGGUUCUCUGGCUUAGGCUAUGCAGCCACCUGCGGAAGGUGUGGCCCGCACCCGCAAGUUUUCUAGUGUGGACUGGAGUGAAGGGGCCGCGUGAUACUUUCAGGAACGGGGUGGGGGGGUUGUCUCAUCCAGAGAACCUGCAGACUGUCCCAGGAAGUCCGAAUAAAUGCCAUGGAUUCAGCCAUGUGGAUGCAGCUCAUGUUUCUGCAAAGUUGAGGGGAUAAAUCACGACUAUUUAUGCACUAAUGAGGCAGAGCCUUUCAUGCUCCUUGGCCUUGCAUAUCGCUGUCUCUGCAACCAGUGGGUGCUUAGUAAGCAUCGAAUGCCUGUUCAGAAUGGGAUCUGGUUGGGUCAUCCAGAAUGGAAAAUAAUCAUGAAACAUGUCCACAAAAUGUCCCUGAAAAGAUAGUUCUGAUGAGUAAUUGUUCAGAUUUUGAAAUUUCAAAGUUUUAAAAUGUGUAAUACCUUCUUCUAUCUCCACUGAUAAAAGUAUGAUGGAGGAGCGAGGUUUUAGAGUUAUGGUAGUCUUAAAAGCAGUUUAAUGGAGGAACAAAUUUGCUGAUUCAUAUCAUGACCGGAGUGGCAUAUUUGAAAGCGGUCGAUAAUGUAAAUUAGGUUUUUAAUGAUGGCUGGUUUAAAAUAAAGCUAAAACUCCAGUAACACAAAAUUCCAGUAGAAAUUUUGCUAGUUUACAUGUCUCUCUUUACUCUUAAUGGUAAAUGGAAAAUAAUAAAUGUGAGUAAUACUAACCUAUGUAUUGUCUAAAUGUGUUAAUAUCUCCUGACCUAUGGAAGCUGUCAUUGCCUACCCCAUCCAUUCUCAUUAAGUUAUAUCAGAAUAAACUGUAAUUUAUGUAAAUUGAGUAAUAAUUUUACCAGAUUGCCAAGGAUGUCCUUGCUGGUUAAAAGAAAAUUAUAUUUACUUAAAUCUGAUAAGGACAAUUAUAAUUCUUGAGGAUUUACCUUGUAAUCAGAUGAUUUAAGAUUGAUUGUUACUAAAUUACAAAUUUUUUUUUACAUUUGCAGAAAUUAUCUCAAUGUUGUGCAAAGAUAUUUCAAGGUUUAGGAUUCAUAAGUUUUCUCACACAGAUUAUAAUAGUAGCUUACUCCCAAAGAGCUAGUGCUUUUCUUUUAAUAGUGAAAUAUUGAAAAACUAAAUGAAUAACAACUUAUAACUUAUGCAAGCAGUGUGGUGGACCUAACCAUUUACUAUACUUUGGAAACAGCUUGAAACAGCAAACUUUAUGAAAAGUAAGUAUUAAAGUGAAAACUUUUGAAAGUCCCAGGUUAAUAAUCUCACUUAAACUAUUGUAUACCUUGACUGAGGAGAGGCUUUUUAACAUUGAAAGGCAUCCAUAUAUGUGAAAAGAAAUAAGAAUUGAUCUAAGAAAAACAAAAACAAACAUGAUCAGAGCCAGUAUCAUAAAAAUAAACUUUUGAUGAAGAGACUAGAGUGAAACUAUGAGACAUUUAAUGAAACCUCUAUUAUUAGGAUACUAAUUUAUGAUUCAGUCUAUAAAUUUUUGGAGACAAUGAUUUGGUUAUUUUUAACAAUUGAUUUUCUGUUACAGAUAAUGUUUAGAUGAUGGUUCCAUCUUGGGGACCCUUCUGGGUUAUUACCAUUUAACCACUAAUCAAAAUCCUUAAGCAGGGAUGAAAUUAAGGUUUCUAGGGAAUAUGACAUACAUUUUACUUGACAGAUUUUUUCAAGUUUUUAUUAUAACUGCAUUGUGUUUAAUUCAAAUUAAGUGCAUUAAAUUGUGGGUAGUGGUUUUUGUCAUUUUAUGUAUGCAUACUUAGCUUUUGGUUUUUUGUUUUUUAGUAAUUCUAAAGAUUAAACCCAAGGCCUCCCACAUGCAAAGCAUGAACUCUAUUACUGAGCUAUAAUCAUCCCCAGUUCUUUAGUUGUGUUUUAAGCCACUUUUAUUUUCCCAUAAGGACCAAGGAUUUGGUUUUAGAGACAAGGGGAGUAUGCUUUCCACCAGCCUCUGUCUUAGCUGUUUUUCCUCCUCUGGUAGAAUGUUGUACAUGUGUUCCUCUUUUUUUUCUUUGCAUCUCACUGCUGUUUCAGUAUAAGAGAACCUGGCUCAGAGUAUAACCUAAGGCUCUCAGCUGAAACCCUCCCCACCCUCUAUUUAAAUUGCCUGGAAACUCCAUAUCCUUACAACUGUAAUAUUUCUGCACAACUUUGCUUCCAGUUCAUUUAGAGACCUGGUACUAUUUCUGGGAUACUGGAAAAGCUCAUUUGUUUGCUUCUCAUUGUAAGUAGAUACUGGAGUUUGUAGAAAUACUCUUGGCAUGAAUAUCCUAGGUAGGUGAAGUUAAACUGGUGACCAGGAAUCUUGGAAACACCCAAGAGCACUAAAUUUAACACCAAAGGUCAUGCCCUAGCCUCAUAAAAUGCCUGCAUCCCAGUGCUAUGAAAUCACUUGGCAACUGUGGGAUUAUUCUUAUUUAUUUGAUCUUUUAGUAUCUUUGUUAAGUACCUUUGUCUUCUGAAUUUAUUUAUGUAAUAGCAUAUAUUGGGUGCUAUGUCAGGCACAGUUCUAGCCACAUGAUAUAUUUCAGUGAAGGAAAUAGAAAUUCCAGUCUCUGAAAUUUUACAGUCUAAUGGGUGUAGAUAGAUAAUAAACAAUUGAAAUAAAUGAUGUAGUGUGUUGGAUGGUGCUUAGUGAUACAGAGAAGAGAAAAACUAACCAAAGUAAGAUGGAUUGGGAGAAAAAAGUAUUGGCAGGGGCUGGGGAUUUAGCUCAGCGACAUAAGCACCUGCCUUGCAAGCAGGCGGUUGUGAGUUUGAUCCCCGGUACUGAUUAAAAAAAAAAGUAUUGGGAUUGUAAACAGGUUAACCAGGGUAGACCUCAGAAGCUGAUAUGAGUCUUGACCAUGAAAGAGAUGAGAGAGUUAGCCAUGAAGAUGUCUGCGAGGUAGGGAGGUCUAAGCAAGGGAGGUAGACAGUGUAAAAACUCCAAGGUAGGACUAUACCUCUUGGCUAGAAAUACAGGAAUCUGACCUAUUUUGGUUGUUCUUGUGAUGGCACUGAAGUCUGGGGUCAUUUAGAACUUUUCUCAUAUGUUGUGAACCUCACCUUUGUAGGGAUUUGCAAAUGAUUUGGUCUCACUGAGUAGGUAGGGUUGAUGGUAUUUGACUCUGAGUAUCUACAGGUUUCUUAUUGUCUCUAUUUGUUAGUUUCUUCAUAGUCCAAACCCAGGUGAUCCAUUAAUUUCAUUUUAUAUAGUGGGUCUAUAAACCAUCUAAUUAAUGGAAGUCAAAGUUUCUGGAAGGAAAAAUGAGGGCAGCUACUAUCAAUAAUGUCAAGUUUAGCUCCAAAGAUGGUUUAGUAAAUAUUUGCAUUAAAAUGGCAUAGUAUGCUAGAUAGAUUCAGAGCCCCUUUUUAUUCCCACUUAUACAGGUGCACAAGCUGAGUCACAGAAAGGUUAUAUAAAUGUAACUUUUUGAAUUUGAUUCCAACCAAAUUACCAAAGAGGUAGAGAACCUGAUAGUACCCUCUCUACGUUUCUUCCAUAUACACUUGAUAUGAUUUUCCCUUUAGAAUGUAGCCCUGAACUCUCUAGAUGAGGAAUAUCUGAGAAACCAGUGUGGCGAAUUUAGGCUACCUGCUCCUACUUACUUAUUUGUAGACAGAUAACUAUAUUGUUCCUCCUCUAUAAAAUGAAGAUAAUAACACCAUCUACCUCAAGGAGUGGUUAAUGAGGAUUAGAUCAGAUUAUAUUUAAUAAAGUACUCAUCUACAAUAUUAAAUUAUCUACAUCAUUCAAUUUCUUGCCACUUGCAAAUUUAAUAAAUACAUUUAUAAUCCUACUGUGAAAGCCUCCAUUAGAGGUUAACAGGUCAUGUCUCUCUACUUUUGGUACUGUUUUGGGAGCAUUACAACUAUGUUUUUCAUUGUGUCUGUCUUGGGAAAUGUUAGGCAUAGGAAUAGGCAAUCCCUCUGUAAUCUCCUUUCUUUUUUGUGUGGCCAAAAGCACUUUAGACACUGGCAAAGGCCUUCACCACUACGGGAAAGUGGUAUCAAGGCCAGGGCUUCCAAUAUGGCCUUUCCUUGUGGCCUGCAUUUAUUUGAAAAAGCCCAGGACUAGAAAGAGGCUCUGUGUCUGGGGUCUGUGGGCACAUUUCUCAGGAUCUUUCCUGUGGGAAGAAGGAAUGACUGAAGGAAUAAAUGAAUGAAUGAAAGGCUUGUUGUUGACUGCCCUGCUCUCUGCCUGCACUCUGUGGUUUGGCGGAAGAAUCUCCAUUACUCCCUCCCACUGUUCCCCAGAAGGCCCCAGGUGCAGAGCCAGUGGAGGUUUUAAAUGUGUGUGCAUCCACGCAGACAGACACUAGGCUCGCAAAAGGAAACCCUGAGUCUCAAGCGUCACUGCAGCCCCAAAGCGUCGUCUUCAGUAGUUUCUUAUUGGCUCAUUUCUCAUCUGUAAAUGGCCAGAUCAUCCUUUAAGAGACAUGACUUGAACAUUGUGACUCAUUAAGUUUCAUGAACUUCUGAUUAUCUUCCUAUAGUAUACAUGUUUUCUGACAUGUUACUGAAAGGUAUAGCUACCAAUACUCUGCUUGCAGUGGGGUGCAGAAGCCUCCAUAUUCAUUAGAAAAUGGUUUCCUUUAAAGACGCAUGUAUUUUGGAAACAUCUCCUACCUCUGCAGUUCUAGACAUGCAAACUGACAGCUGGUUUCAGAGGACCUGAUUCUUUCCAUUGAUGACAGUGACCAAGCCCUCAAGGAUGGAGCAGGCUGGUGACAUGCAAUGAGAGGAGCUUCCCUGGGGGCAACUGGCGCCAAAGGCCUGUGUUGUAGGCUGAGGUCUGAGGGACGGAAACAAUGCUGCUGAAUCUUUUUUUUUUUGUCUUUUUCCUUUUUAUCGGUACUGGGGAUCAAACCCACGACUGCCUGCUUGCAAGGCAGGUGCUUAUGCUGCUGAGCUAAAUGUCCUUUUUCGCCUUUUGUUCCAUGGGUUCCCCCAUUUCUUUGUAUUUCUCAGCCACCUCAUCUCUUAGUCCCUACCUUUAUUCCUGACAGUGAAGUCAUGUCAGGAAUACUGGGUACUGAAAAAAUACUUGUUGAGUUAUAUGUAUUUCGUUCCUGAUAGUUUAAUAGGUAAUAGAUUUCUUUCACAUUGACUUGGCUAAAGUGUUGAAUCACAAAUGUUUAUUUGUUUUCUGAAAAAUCAGAAGCUGUAACUGUCAGAAAUUUAUUAUAAAUUUGUUUUUUAAAAAUGCAUUUAAUGUCAUAUGCUGAAUCAGUUUAAAUAACAUUACAUGUCUCCUUACAGUGCACUGGAAUGUUGUAGUAGAAUGUUUCACUAGUUUUUAAAAGGUAGGCUACAAGCACGAACCAGAUUAAUGGAUAUUCACUUUAAGGAGGAAGUCUUUCAAAUAACUCUUUUUCUACUUUGGCACAAGAGUCACAGCGACUCUUCCUGGGUCACUAAGUGUAGACCUUCUGCCCGAUACAAUGAACACUGACAGUAUCCUGAUGGCCAGUUUUCCUUGCCUAGCUCACCCACUGGCCUCCUAAGGAAGCACUGUUCAUUGUCUUCCAGACUACAAUGGUGACUUUUUCCUGAGAUGAACCUCCUUGACAGGGCACUGUCUGGCACCAUGUUAUUAAUAUUGAACUACUCAGUUUCUUCGGCUAUGUAUAUUAUAUUAUAUUUACAUAUAAGUUAUAUAAUUUAUCAAAAGGAAUGAACAGGUCAUUAUUGUUUAUAGUGUAUACUAUAUAUGUAUAAUAGAUAUACAGAAGUGUCUAUAGUGGUCCCUCUUUCUAUGCUGAAUACAUUCCAAGACCUCAGUGAAUGCUUGAAACUGAACAAUACCAAAAACUCUUCCUUUCUCUAUAUGUACACAUAUAUGUUUAUAUAGGUAUUUAAGAGUGUGUGUGUAUAUACAUAUAUAUAUCUGUACAGUCUGUUUAUAUAUAUCAAAUAUUUUGUAUACAGAUUAAUCAAUGGAAACAUGGUUUCUGUUCAUAUGUUUUACCUAAAAAUUUAAUGAAUUUUUUAUCUUAAACAUUAUUGUGCAUCAUGGCUAUGAAUUUUGCAGUUUGCAGUUAUAAUCAUGAAAGCUAUGAUGAAUUUUUUUUUGAUUCCUCAUAGUUUCUUAGCAAUCUCAACAUGAUUUUGUUUUUCUUAUUAACCUGAGAAUUUUCACCUUUUAAAGGAAAUACUGUGUGGCUUCUUUUUGGCAUAUCUGAAUUCCCAGCACCACUCUAGGGCCAUUAUAAAGUAAAAUAAGCACCAUGAUACUCAGACAGUUGGGUGGGCUACUAAUGACUAAUGGGCAGGUUGAGUAUACAGUAUGUAUGUGCUGGACAAAGAGAUAAUUGAUGUCUUGAGGAGGAUGGUGCAAGAUUUCAUUACAUCAGUCAGAUGCUGCACAAUUUAAAACUUAAACAUUGUUUAUUUUUUAGAAAUUCUCAAUUAGUAUUUUCAGACUGCAGUUUACUGAUGGUGAUUAAUUGUGGAAAACAGAACUCCAGGUAAGGCAGAAGGGGUACUGCAUAUAAAAUAUAAGUGAUACAUACACUCACACACUACAUAUGCAUAUAUAUAUAUAUAUAUAUCUGUAUAAGUGUGUAUUUAUGUGUAUGUAGAGGCACAGAUUUCGUGUUCUCGUCACCAUGGAUAGUGAGAACUACACAUGUAUUUUUGAGUAUUUCUUACAUGCUGGUACUUAAAACAGUACUGUCUCCAAGAAGUUGAAAUGUAUUUGCAGAGACCAGACAUACACAGACAAGAGAAAUGAUGAAUAAUAAUAGGGACCACUAUGAAGCUAAUGAAGCUCAAACCCCAGGGCCACUCUCUUGUACAACACAGUUUUGAAUAUAUUGCUAGGGCUCACCCAGUACUUGCCAAGGCCCUGGAGGACCCCUCACAGUGUAUUUUGCAAUGUAUUCACUAGGUCCUAACUUGUAAAAUUUGAAAAAGUAAGAUUUUUAACAGCAAUCAUGUAACAUUUUCCUUCUCCACUCUGACUUUCCUUUUGUCAUAUUUCUCUGUGAGUUUGCUAACUUUGGUUUUGAGAGUAUUUUUGGAUUUUGAGAGCAAGUUUACAUUUUGUGGGCUAUAUUGAUAUUGGUCAUCUCUGUGUCUGUUUACAUUUUCCUUGGCUAUGUGGUGUAGGAAUUGCUCCCUAGGAACAUUACCUACAUUGGCAGCUUACAUAGGGUCCAUAUACAAAGGUGCAGGUCGGAGAUAGCAUUUCACAUAUACUGGGAUAUCUGCCGUUGGGACUCUGGUUUCAAGUGUAUGGCACUAGAAGCUAGUCAGUGAAUAUCUAAAAUUCUAAGUGGAACAUUCAAUUCUUACCUAAAUAUAAUCAGUACAGGAGUUCUUUUCAGUUAGAAAUAUACUCAGUAAUGAAAAUAUGUAGCUACAAACACACUUUUUUCUUUUCAGUAUUUUUGAACCCAAUAUUGUGUAUGUAUGCUGGGCAAAUACUCUACCAUUGAGUUAAAUCUCCAGUCUUAAAUGCACCAUUUUUUUAGUGGAAAUUAUAUUUAAGUUUCUUGUUCAUUUGACAUGAACAUGUAUCAAUAGCAACAAAAAGUAGUGACAAGAGUCUGGUUAGUGAUUUUCAUCAUGACAAACAUUUUUUAAAGUUAACGUAUAAGAAAACUUGAGGCCAAGUGUGGUACACACCUGUAGUUCUGGCAGACUGAAGCAAGAGAAUGACAAGUUCUAAACCAGCCCGGGCAAAUCAGCAACUUAAUGAGACCCUGUUUUAAAAUAAAAAAUGUAAAAAUGGAUUUCAGUGUGAAGACCCUGGGUUUAAUCCAUAUACCACAGUAAAUAAAUGAAUGAAAACGUGAAAUGCCCUGAAAUUUUAUGACUCCUACAGAAAAUAAAAUUUGACAACAAUCCUAAAACUAUAUAUAAUUACCAGCAAAGAAGUAUGACUGACAGUCACUUUCUGAAUUAUCAAUAAUUAAAAAUAAAAUUUAAUCACUCAUGCUUAUGUGAAAACUAACAUAUCUUUUCACCCUGUAGAAAGUGAUAUUCAUAUAAAUCCUCGUCACAUGAAAAUUUAUCAGAGCAUGUAGUUCAAAGAAGGUAUUUAUAGGUAUAGGUCAAGCAGUUAAUUAAUAUACACAUGAAUUUUUCUCUGGAUUUUGACUUUGUGAUAUUUUAGUAUUACCAAGUUAUAAAAGUUUGUGUUUUGUUAUAACUUCUUAACCUCAAUAAAUAAUCAUUUUCAAAAUUUCUGCCAUAGUACCUUUUUUCCAUGAAGAAGGUCUAAAAAUACAUUCCAACAAAAUGGGUCCAUUCCCUACUCCCCUAGUUAGGGAGUCAUUAUCAACAGUUUUCACACCACUUUUAAUUAGCCCUCACUUAUAACAUACCUAUGAAGUAGACAUUAUCCUCAUCUUAGAAGUUAUGACUCUAGGUUUGGUAAUUACAUAUAAUUUUAGGAUUGUUGUCACAUUUUAUUUUAUGUAAGAGCCAUAACUUCUCAUACUAGUUGCUACUGUACUAGUUGAAUACUGUUCUAGUGAUAUAUGAGCUAAAAUGUUUAUCUUGAUAAUAUUAUAAAACAGAAACUUUCCUUCAGGACAGUAAGCCUUUUCCACCUCAGUAACUUUCAUUAUUAAAUUGGCCCUUCUUUUGUCCUGCAAUGUCACCCAUGGCUGCACCAGAUUGGAACGACCCAUACUGAAUGGUCACCACCUGUGUAUUCUGUGCCCUCCCCAGAAAUUCAGUUCCGUCUUAGAGGCCAGAGUUUUGUCAUCUUCUUGGAAUCUUCCUUGAGAAGUGUUUUCAGAGAUAGAAUGAAAAAAAUUGAGUCAUACCUCGGUUGUAAACAGAACAAGGCAUGAAUGUAACUUUGUGGAAGACAUUUUUUGCAGUCAAUCUCCAAGGGUGUGCAUAGAUGAGAGAUAGUUUGGUCAGUUAGUCCUAUAAUAUACUGGGCCUAAACAAUUUCAACAUUCUUAGUAUAUAAGUGUUUUCAUUUUCCCACAUCUUCCUUGCCAGGGUGUCUGCUAUAAAGGAGGCAAGGAGGUGAGUAGGAGAAGCUUGGACUGAAAAUAGGACUGAAUUUUGAAUACUGAUCCCACCACCCACCACCUUUUGGCUUUUCAAAUUUGGGCAUCUGUGACAGUCUUUGCAUAAAAUAUGACAAUAACUAUUAUUAAGUACCUACUAACAUGUUGCUCUAACAUUCACUACUCAGUAUUUUAGUUCUAUUUGACACAGGAGGACAUCAGGACAUAGACCAAAUAAGUAAUAUCUUAUGCUCAUAGGAGUGAGGGUCAAGUGACCCUACCAGUUACUUGCUCUUUAUAGCCUAAGUUAUGUUGUUUUAUAAGAUAUUUGUGUCUGUGUUUCCUUCAGGACAGUAAGCCUCAGACUUCUAGGCUCAAGCAAUCCUCACAAAUGACUGGGAUUACAGAUGAAUACCACCAUGCCUGGCUGUUUGCAUUUUAAUAGAAAGUUCUUUCACACCUGACAGGUACAGAGAACCUGGAUUUCCAAUAGGAACAAUGUGAGUAGCUAGGGAAAUAUUUUGAAGUUGCAGUCUAGUAGGAAUAGAAAUGUGUUAGAAUGUUUCAAGGGUUCUAAAGAAAAACUAACCCAGGAGCACCGUGUGGUAGUCAGUGGCUUGUGAAGAAAUAGAAUUAAUACAGGAAACAUAAAUUUAUAGGAUUAUCUUAUAAUAUCGAGAAGGUCAAAUGCAGAAGAGUGCAAGAGAUCUAUGCACGCACUAGAGAAUCCAGGGAAGGAUGAAGAUUCCAGGCCAAUGUCUCAUGCAAGUCCAUAUCAGGAUUCUAUACUGGAGAGGCAAAGGGUCAGUGGUGGAAGCUAGACAGUCUGCACCAGUGGGAUGAAGAAUCUGUGCCAGAAUGCCAAGGGAUCUACAUUGGAGACAGGAAGUGAUGCUCAAGACAAAGGCAAAGAUCAGAGCUCCCACUAGAGAACAGCAGCUGAGGGCAGCAAGGACUGAGAUGUGCCACUGAUGUUGCUGCUGCUGCUGCUGCUGAUGAUGAUGAUGAUUAGGAGGAGAAAAGCCAAAGUUAGUAUCAGGAAAACCAGCCACAACAAAGCUCUCCUGGGAAAUCAGCAGCACCCCCUUCACCUACACACACCUUCUUUUGUACAGUUCUGGCUACAAGCCUCAGGUGGGUCUUUCAUGCCCAGCACCAUGCUGAUUUAGUUCAGCAGGACAGUCUCACUUAAACUGACCAUUAGUUAACCCACCGCAUAUGCUAUUAUCACAACAAUAAAAGCAGUAAUGUCAAUUCUAAAAUGGUUAUAAUUACUGAUUUUCUAAGUGUGCCAAUUAGUUGUCUCGCUCUUUCUGAUGUUUAUUUGGAAGUGGGGGUCUCCUGACAUGUUAUAUGACCCUAUCCACAAGUACAAACUUUUCCUUUAGAUCUUCUAAAUCAAAGAAUGUUCACAUUCUUUAUUUUAGAAAUUAGUUUGGGACCUAGAUGGAAACAUUGUGAGUUAAGAACAAAAAACUCCAGGGCUCUGGCCAUAUGUUUAGAGUCUUUCUGCUGGACACUUCUCCAGUGACAUCCACAGAGAGAGCACACUUUGGGUCAUAUCACCCAUCACCAGACCUACACAGCUGGUGCAAGAGCACACCUAGGCUUACAACAGAAGCACCUUGUUCCAAUCUAACUUUUUCAGUGAAAACAUCUUGGAUACCAUUUUAGCUGCAUGAUUCUCCUUGUAUGGCAGAAUGGCAGACACAGAGGAAUCAUGUAGAGAGACUUUAAGCUGAACACAUGGCAGUAAGCAUGAAUAAACAUAAAUUAUGCCCCUGUUUCCUCAAAUAUCAAAUUUCAAAUGAAGAAAAUGGGGCUCCUGAUGUUUCUGUGUAAACCCAGGCCGAGCACAUACUACAGGGGCCCUUUCUUCAGUAAUUGCAGGUAAGUUUCUAGGCCUCUACUUCGCUCCUUGAGCUAAUCUCAGUGUGUUAAGGAGUCUGAUGGGUGGGGGAACUGGGGACAAAGACUUGUCAUCAGGAUACAGUGAGUGUCACGUAGGUGUCAGCCCAUAUAUAAUCUAUAGGUAGUUUUGAUUUUAGAGACACGCUGAGUACAUCUUUAAUAGGAUCUUUCUGACACUAGACAUCUGGCAUUUGGCACCAGCUCAACCAAAUGGUUGACAAAGUGAGAUUUAAACUAAUGUGUCUCAAUAUUCUGCCCAGAUUGGAAACUCCCUUUUAUAGGUUGGCUUCACUUCAGCACUUUCAGGGGCCCUCAGCAAAACAUUUGCUGUCAAAAUAUGCAAACAUCAGCCAAGAAUUUUGGUCAAGAGACAUUAAAUUACAUAUGCCCUUCCCUUUGGAUGGUAGUAGAAUAAAGGCAUCAUGUCUUUUUAGUCCCUGGAAAGAUGAUGGUGUCUUAAGUGUCUAUCUGAUACAUAUUUUAAAGUAGUGUGAGUGAUUCUUGUCUGUGCCUUAUGGAAAUCAGUGUUACUGAUUUAAAAAUCACACUUACCUAUCAGUAGGGUUAAGGCUAAUUUUCAAAAUAGGUUGGCAUCAGAACCUGGAUGAAAAAUGAGGAUGCCAGGGCUCCAUCCCAAAACUGUCCAUGUAAUUGGCCUGGAUGGAACAUCUAUUUUUAACACUGUAAAGCUGAUGAUAAUACAUGUUGGUAAGAUUGGAACUUGUUGGUUUACUCUACCAAAAUAACUAACAUUGUGAGAAUUACAACAUAUCAAAAGGAAUCAAACCUUUAAAAGUGUCUGGAUUUGGGGUUUAGGUUCCAUAGAUUUUAGUGUUUAAUAUAUAGAAAUGUGCUACUGUUUCAUAUAUGCAGUUAGAGUAGAAGUGCUCAAACGGGAACCUGUGGCCUACUAGUAUCAAACUCAAACUCCUUCAGGACAUGAUAUGUCCCUGAAUGGACCCAGUUUAUCUUAAUGGACCCUGGAAGACUGGAGAGCACUUGCUCCCCUUGAAAAGCCAGCUGUGACUCAGCUUCAGCCCAGUCUUGCAGUGUUGGGGAGUAGGCCUUCUGUUGACAGAUACUAUCUUGUCACUAUUGUUUGAGAGAGACAAGCUCAGAAUUAAUAUUUUUGUGUGAAAACUGUCUUUAAAUGUUGGCAUCUGAUACUGAUGAGUUUUAAACAUUGUGCAAGACAACUCUGCUACUCCACCCAAUCACUGUACUUAAUAAGAGAUAUUUUGAUAGGUCAUGUGCUUUAAUUGAGCACAUGUGACUGGUGGGGUGCAGUCAGUCCUGAAGAUCAUUGCUCCGAGCAAAGAAGCUAUGUGAACACUAGAAGAUACACUGGAAAGAAUAGUAGUUUACAGUGGUUUUUAAAAUAUUCAUUAUUCUUUAUGAAAUUAUAAACUAUUUUAAUAUGAAAUCAUUGUGAUUAAAAUGUCUUAUAUAGUAAAUUCUAAGAAGAUGAACCUUAAUCCUGAAAGUGUACUGUCAGUCCCCAGUUUACUGUGGUUCAACCUGCAAUUUUUUGAUGGUGGCAUACAUUCAGGAGGGCCCAUAUUUCAAAUUUUGAAUUGGUAUCCUCCCCCUGACUAGGGAUAAACCAUAUAAUAUUGGAUGGUCAUCCAUAGCUCCUACUCAGCCACACAGCCAUGAAGGGAACAGCUGACACUUAGCCACAUACAGUUAGGAUGUUUGGUAAAGUAGAUCCCUUAAAUGCAUUUUGCAAAUAGGAUAAUUUCAGCUGAUGAUGAGUUUAUUAGAAGUAACCCCAUUAUUAUUUGAAGAGCAUUUGUGUUAAGCAGUGUGUGUAUCAUUAUCAGUAGCAUUUCUUUCCUCUGGGUUAAAAAAAAACAGGACUACUUAGAAAGUGUCUCCUAAACUAAGCGUUUUCAUCAUGGCAGACAACCUUUCACAGACUAGUGGAGCAUCCUAUCCCUUGAAAAGUGGAAGGAGUCUGUGAUAGUUAAUUUUGGUGUCAAUUUGAGUAAGAAACACUUAGCAGGUUGGUUUAGUAUAGUUCUGGGUGUGUCUGGAUGAUUGACUUACUGAAAACUGAAGACUCACCCUGGAUGUGAGUGGCGUAAACCAGUAGGCUUGUAACUAGGAAGAAAGAAAAAGGGAAAUAAGAAGGAAGCCUUGCUUCUGCUUCUUUGAAGGAGCACCAGUGUUUGCCAUCACCUUGGGAUGGCCGUCUCUAGGCCUUUACUGCCGUCUUUUCAGCUUCCUGAUACACUCACAUGGGACUCUACAGUGAGCUCCAGGCCUUUGACUUUUGCCUGGAUCCUUUGGAUCUGAAGCAUGUGGAUGACCCUUUUGCAUUCUUACAUACCUGGCUCUGCAGAUGCCAUUUUAAGUCUACCUUCUAAAUCCUUUGUACAGUAUAUUGAAUUUGUUUUUCUGGUGAAUUCUAACUGAUACAAAGAUUUGGAAACAAUGUAGCCUGACUAGCUAGCCUAAUUCUAUAGACAAAGAAAGAAGAAGACUGAAAGGUAGGAGUGAAGGAGGGGAAAGGACACUGGCCCAGCUGAUGUGUCCUGCAGCUACUUGCCUCACCGAGAAUCCUCACUUUGCUUCUUUUGCUAAAUUAUAUACAUUCUUUGUGCCUUGAUUUCUUCAUCUCUAAAUGAGGUAAUAGUAAGUAUGGCCCUCAGGGUUUCGUGGGACACUGUGCAUAUUUAGUAUGUUAUCUGAUGAGUUCUAAAGAAAAGAAAACUCCCUGAUCUGUUCUCUUGGCUGUCCUCUGCAGGAGCUCUGCUCUGGACAGUUAUGGGUGCUGCCUUUGGAAUCUUGCUAGGCAUGGGACCUUAGCCAAACUGUUUAUUCCUCUAGGGCUUAACUUCUGUCAAAUGGGAAUGAGAAUAGUACUUAUCUCAGAAUGUUGUUAUGUGGAUUAUGUAAAGUCAUGUGUCUGAAGGGCCUGGCAUCUAAAAAGUACUCUAUAAGUGUUAAUACUGAAAUGAUUUUGCCAUCUUUUGUUCAUGGUCCAUGAUGAUGCUCCCUUUGCCACACAGUCCUUAGACUCCCCUGACCUCUUCACAUUUCCAUAAUACAGUGAAAGAAAUAAUCAAAACGCUGUAGACAUUUCUGUUUUGGGUUACACAUUUGUACUUGGAUAUAGCCUUGAUAGCCUUUGAUUUCCUUGGUAAAAUUUUGGUUUGUGUUUGUAUAAGUCAUACUGAGUAGUCCUAGAAAUCCAUGGCUUUUAAAAAAUUGCACACACAAAUUCUUCAAAAUAUACCAGCCUUGAAUGAUUAUAUAGAUUUUAAGUUUUUGAGAUGUUAGAUCAUGUGAUUAGAAAAAUGACUACCAUAUUUGAUAAAUGUAAUUUCCCAUUUAAGAGAAAAGGCAUUGAAAAUUUUAAAAGAGGUUUAUUGAGCUAUAUGAACUGAAAACAUAAUUUUUUUCACAUUGUAAGAACUAAGCAAUGGAAAAACAGGAGACACUUUUAUCUGUGUUAUUUGGAAAGGUUUAUUGUGAAAAGAUUUGUAGGGCAUUAAUAAGGAAAUCCAAGAACAGACUGUAGAACUAAGAAAAUGCCACGCCCUCCUUCUUAAGUAUUCUACAUCUAUUUAAUAAUAGUCUUGAAAUGUCACAUACUCAAAUCCUGGAAGCUUCUCAGGAAAACCCCUUGUUUGAGAAACCCAAGAAGCAAUAGUUGAAUUGUUUACUUACUGUGGAGAACAUUUAAGAUACUUUAUUCCUAAAUAAUAUUUACCACUAUUACAUGAAGUCACUUUAUAUGGAACUUGUUUUCUACUUUAUUAAAUAAGUUGGAAUCUAUUAGUUAACUGGUUCAGGAUUAUGUCUUUGUAGUAGUUGAAUAAUAAAAUGGUUUCCAAUCUUUUUAAGGUUCCUGAAGGCUUAUUUUGUUAUUUCUCUUCUUUCUCUCUGUGGGUUCUAUAUUUUGGAAGAUUUUGUUUGACAAACAAGCUGAUUUAAUAAGUAAUUAAAUACUUUCUGUUUCCAUGCAGCAGCAUCUGAAACUCCUAAUUUAUAUAUUUAGUAAAUAUUUAUUGAAUGCUAACUAUGCAGGCCUAUCCAGGAGCUAGGGAUACAGUAAUAAAUUACACAAUUAAAAUCUCCAUGCUCAAGGGAGAAACAGACAAUACACAAUGUGUAAGAUAAUUUCCACCAGUCAUAAAUAGUGUUGUGAGGAAAAUAGCAAUAAGGAGACAGAUGGGAGUUGGGAGGCCUGUUUGAGAUGAGAUGGUGCGGGAUGGCUUCUUUAGAAGGCCGCUCUGAAAGGCCUGAAUGGAGUGGGCAUGGGAGCUGUGGGGAGGAUGUACUCCAGGCACAGGGACCAGCAGAGCCUGAGGCAGGACUGUCCUCAUAGCAGCAGCGUAGGGAGUAAGGCAGAGAAGAAAAAAAGCAGAGUCAUGUGUGGACCUGUGGUCAGGCAGUGUCAUCAGUGUUACUCCAAGUGACAGUAAUUCCAGACCCAACCAAGGAUGUGGAACACUGUGUGGUUUAUGGUAAUUUUCCCUGUGCCAAUGAUGGCAGACCUUUUGGAGAUGAGUGCCCAACGCACUACCUAAAACUACUUAUUUUUCACAAAGUUCCAGCAUUCCAAUUAAGCCUGAAUACACUGGUUUUACUUUAGAAAAAGGCAGUGCAUGCAUUACCAUCUUUUUUCUUAAAGGAAAAACAUAAUAACAGAGCAUUCAGUGAUACCGCUUUUCAUUGAAAAAGCUUUUGGCUUAGAUUUGUACAGUUAAUGUGAUCUUUAUUGUUGUAUGCAUGCUGAUAGUUUGUCAAACCUUGCUCAUACUUUGUUAGUUUGAGAGAAACAUAUGCAGCAUUCAGGUCAUCUGUUUGUCUGUGUUUUGUAUCAGAUUUGAUAUAAUUCAAAGCUGAAAACAGCUGCUCACAAGCACAAAAUGAUCCAGGCAAAGUAAGGUGACUUGGCUUGUGUGCUGACAGAGAGAGUUCUGGUGUCUGUAACAUUCAAAUAGCUCAAAGAUCUGUUACCACUUUGAAAGGCCUGGAGGUAUCUGAGAAAACCAUAAUUGACCCUCUAGUUUUCUUUAGAUUUGCUUUGCUUGCUACUUAAGCCCCAAAAUACUACUUAUUUUUAAAAAUCUAUUGAAAUAAACAUUUUGACUAAUAAUUCAUUUGACUAGUAUAGUUCAUUUAGUGUUUGCUAUUUUCUUUUGAAACAGCAGUGAAAAAUAAGCAUUACCUAUAAUCAUGAUGUAUGUAAGAUAAUUUUGGUACAGUUUCUAAUCUCUUGGGACCAAUAGAAUUCUUUAAAAUUUUUCUUCAGUAGCUUUGUGAAAACUUGAGUAGAUUUCACUGAUUGUUGGCGCUAAUGUGACAACUUGUGGAAGGGUAGAGAAGAGAGUGAUUUUAAAAGUAACGUACUGAUAGAGGACACAAAAAUUAUUGGGGGGGAUUAUGUAGACCCUAAACCUGAAAAUAUGGUCUCAUUUUUAGAGUAGUUUUUUCAUUCAGAAAGGUAGUAUUUAAUGUAUCUCUCUUAUGAAAAAUAGUUCUGCAUUUGCAUCUUAUAGGGAGAUGCUAGUGUAAACAUUGGUCAUUGUUUUACAGAGGGCAUUGAGUCUGUUCUCUGCAUUUUUACCUGUCAGCAUCUUUGUUCACAUCAUUGGGAAGUGGUGUGUUUGAGUGGCCAAAUGACUGUGCACUCAGUGAAAUUCAAGGGAAAAAUUAAGAGUAUGAGAUGUGCUGAGAUGCAUGUGUUUGUACCUGUAACUUAAUCUUUCCCAUUAAUAUAAAAUGAUGGUGCAUUUUAUAUUAUCGCUACUUCUGUGAUACUAUGUCACAGACUGUCCCAAAACUCAGUACUUUUGCUAGUCAGCUUUUUGUUGCUGUGACAAAUACCCGAAAUAAAUCAAUUUAAAAGGGGGAAAGGUUUAUUUUGGCUCAGAGAUUCAGUCCAUAGUUUGACUUUAUUGCUUUGGGACCGAGGUGGCACACCAUGUCAUAGCAAGAGUGUGUGACAUAGAAAAUCUGAUGACCUUAUGGUAGCUGGGAAGCAAAGAGACAGGAAGGGGUGCUAGAGUCCCAAAAUCUCUUUAAGCACAUCCUCCAAUGACCUAACUUCUUCCUACUAGGCUCUGUAUCCCAUAGCUUCUAUUAUUUUCUGUAGCACUACAGGUGGUAUCCUAACAUGUGGGCCUUUGGGGGACAUUUAAACUAUAGCAGUGGCAAGCACAGCUAUUGUCUGGUCUGCAGGGAGACUGUAGUUUGACAAAUCAGUGAGGCUGGUUCAGCUGGGUGGAUUUGUUUUAGGCUGCUGGUCAGCUGCAAGUUGGGCUCAGGUCUGCUCAUAUGUUCAUUCUGGACCAGGUUGAAGGGCAGCAGCUAUUAAAGGCAUGCUUUUCUCAUCAGGGACCACCACACCGCAAGUGCCAAAUCAAACCACAGAAGCUUACUUAAAACCUCUAUGCAUGUCAGGCCUGUAACAUUUCUUUGGAGAUCACAUUAUGUGGCUAAACUCAGAAGUGACAGGGCAAGGAAGUAUAUUUCUGCCCAAGGGGGGACAGAGUGAAUAAUAAUUCCAUCUAUUAUAGAAACCUUUUAUCAGAACAGAAAAAGUCCAAAUGGCUAUUGAUUUUUAGUAUAGAAGUACAAAUUUUCUCCUAAAAUGGUCGUAGUGCUCUAUAAGCCAGAGGUUGCUGCCUACAACAACACAGUGAGCUUGGAAGGCAGAUAUUGUGACUCCCCAGGGAAGCAUGAACAACCUUUUCAGACAGAAAUUGAGACUUAAAGGGAAAAAAACCGUAUUGAUUUCUACUAGGUCAUAGAAACAGGGAAUCUACUUGCUUCUGUGGUUAGAGAUGACCUCUUUUCCAUUCGUAGGUUACUUAAGAGUCCAAAGGCUUUAAUUUGGGUUUCCCAGUAUUUUGUGCUUAUAUUCCAAAUUCCUGAGCUGUUUGGCAAGGCUGAGAUGCUGGGAACACUUCCUGUAGUGCCCUCUCCCAGAAUAGAGAGAGUCACAAAAGUUUCGGGACUAUUUGGCCACUGGGGCCUGAACCCUAUUUCUUCCCUUGGUAUAAGCCACUGUUGGUAGAUGGUAAUGGACAGCCAGGCAGUCGGGAGCCUCCUUUCCCCAUUCUCUUACUGUACUUCAACUUUUGUGUGAUUGAAAAAGCUGUCACUGGUGUCAGACACCCCAAGUCUAGACCACUGUGUGAUUUUGGGCAACUUACUAAUGCAUGAUUUUCUCAUGCAUUAAUACGAUUUUCUCAUAUUAACUACUAUGUAGAACUGAUGGGAGAGUUAAGUGAGCUAGUGUGCGACAAAGCCUAACAGUGUCUGGCAUGAGUUAAUAAGAACUGCUAAUGCCUUUCUGUUAUCUUUUUCAGCAAGCAUAGCAGGCAGAAUUCUAUUAUUGGUACUUUAGUAUUUUCUUACUUCUCCACUGAAUCGUGAGUUCCCAAAAGACAUAGUUCAUGUCUCAUCAUUAUGUCCCCACUCUGCAGUAGCACUAAAUUUAUGAUGUAGAAACUAAAAAUAAUAUCCCCUGAUUUGAAUAAUUGUAUUCACAAGUGUCACAAAAAGUUCACCUCACAGGCUCAAAUUGGAUUGUUUUUUUUGUUGUUGUUACUGUUUUGUUUUGGUACUGUGUUGAGGAUUGAACACAGUGCCUUUGCACUGAACUACAUCUCCAGCCCUUUUUCAAUUUGGGGAUAAAGUCUUCUAAGUUACUGAGGUACACAGGCUGGGCUCAAACUUAGAAUCCUACUACCUUAGCCUCCUAGAGUGUUGGGAUUUAAAUGGCUCCUAAAAAGUCUUUUUUUUUUUUUUCCACUUCUGUGUUUUACCUGAAAGUCUUUUGAAGCUAUAGGCUUCUUAUGUUACAUCUGAAGAGUUUUCAUACUGUGUCUACAAGACUUAAAGAAUAUUUUACUUGAAUAUUCUGGCUCCUGUUCUUUGAGUUGUCUCUCACAUUGUGGCUGUGAUCUUACCAUUGCUCACAGGUAUUGUAAAUUUUGAGCUAAGUCAUGGCUCCCAAGGAAUGGUCGCUCCACAAACCUGUUGUAACAAAUAGGCCCAAGCUUGUGUGAUCAAAAGGUCAGGAAGUUUAUUCCUCUGACAUAUAGGAUUCCAGGAUGGUAUGUAGGCCCUCAGCUGCAGGUGCUUAUUCAGGGUUUCACCUUCCUCCCACCCUAGACCUCUACUCUCCCAGACUGUACUCUUCCUUCUUAUGGUAGCAGCGAGAUUUCUUUAGUCCUCUGCUGAGGAUGACCCUUGGAGGAACAGAAGAGUGUGGAGGAAUGUACAGUGUGUGAUGACCUAGACCUUCAUUGGUAACUUGUCACUUUCACUCUUGUUCCAUUAGUGGGAAAUUAAUUGCAUGGCUACUACAGCUGCCAAGGCCCUGGAAUGUGUAGUCCCCAGCGGGGCCUCACUACAGUUCUGUUUCUGUAGAAGAGAGCGCCUGAUCUGGGUGGACAGCAGUAUAUGUUCUUGCCCUGCUCCAAGAUUCUGCUUUUGAGAACCUCACCUUUUUUAAACAACUAAUACAGAGCCUAGUGGUUUCAUGGAGAGAGUGAAUGGUUAUAAUAAUAUUUAGCAGCAGUUACAAUUUACUGAACUCCAACUCUGUGCUAGGAGCUAUUAAAUAUAGAUGAAAGUGUUAUCUCAUUUGACCCUCAUAGAAAGGCUACCAAGGAGAUACUUUUAAUAUCUGCAUUUUAAGCCAAAACACAUUCUUAAGGUCACAAGCCAGGCCUGCUUGACUCCAAAGUCCCCACCUCCCCAUGAUGCCCUGGGUCUGAUAAGAUGCUCAAGAAGUAAACAGUAACCACUUGCUGCUUCUCUUUGGCUUUUGUAACUGGUCAGCAGCAUGGGCUGUCCACAAAUGUGUAUUCUCUGGAAAGAGUCACACAGAGGCUGUGUAACUGUCUCUCAGGGAUCCAUGUAAUGUCUUCCUGCUUUGUACUGUGGGCUGUGGUAACCUCUGUGCUUCUGUGUGAAGGUCCCAUGCACUGGUUUGUACACUGAAGUUUCUGAUUGUCACUCACGAUUCCUCAUUCCUGUGACCGUAGAGGAGUCCAUUGGCACACCCACUUUGUAUUUCCUUGUUGAUGAGAAGGCACAAGAGAGCCAGUAGUUGAGAUUGGAGUUCUCAGUGACCUGGACUGGAAAUAACAUGCAUACAUCAGCCUUAAUCACUAGUUUUCCAGGAGUGUUCUUCAAGUGGUAGAAUUUCUAUAGAACUCUAACAAUUUUCAUACAGGAAGUUUCAGUAAACUUUUCUUAAAGAAUUUUUAAAUUAAAAAGAAUAUAAAAACUAAAUGGCUGAUUAUAAUGACAAUGGCUAUUUGUUGAAUGCUUACAAUAUAAAAGAUAUAAUUCUAGUGACUUUAUGUGCAUUAGUCUCUUACAGGGCUGUUGGUACUGUUCCCAGUUUACGUCUGAGGAAGCUGAUCCAGAGUGGUGAAAUAACUCACUCAUUUUCACUCACUAGAGGGAGGGGUAACCAAAAUUCAGACUUCGAGAUCCAGUGCUACACUGCCUCUGGAAUGAAAGAUUUGUGGUUUCUCUCAGAUCUAAAAGUGGGUCUGUAUUUCUUGCUGUGUAUAGAUAACUCAGACCUUUUCUUAUGAAAAAUAAAAAUAAAAACAAAACUCUGAAAUAAUUCACUACCUCCUUCUAUUUAAUUAGACACUGCUGAGUACUAGUAGGUCCAUGUUUUGCUGAUGGUUUUUAAAAGCCUUCAUAAUCUUUUCAUUAUCACCCGAAGCAGCAUGAAGUUUGGUCACAAAGUUUCUGACCAUGGUGCUGCUUUGAUAAAUACAUUGAAGUCUUCCCAAAACACAGCUGGUUCUGGGGAUGGGAGCCACCUCCUGAUGAGCUGCUUUUGGUAUGCAAGGAAUGGCCGCCUGUGAUGUAUCUCAAAUUAUGCUUUGUAGCUAACAGUGAUAUAAAGACAGCUCAGAAUCAAAGAAUUUUACAGCAGAAGGAACCUUUGACAACAUCUCCUUCAGUCCACAAGCCUCACCCAGCAUGUGCCAGGCACUUCUAUAAGGCAUAGGCAAAGCUCUCAUGGAGCCUUUCUUCUAGAUGAGGCAGAGAAUAAACAGAGCAAAAAGUAGAUAUGCUGGCUUGAAAAUUCAAGCCCAGCUUGGGAACUCAGUGACUUAGUGAGAACCUGCAUCAAAAUAAAAAGUGAGAAAAGGCUGGAGAUGUAGCUCAGUGCAAAGGCCCUGAGUUCAAUCCCCAGUACCAAGAGGAGGGAAAAUCCCAGAAUAACAGGUAUCAUGUUAUGUAGUGUAAAUGUUGCUGGGAAGAAAGGGAGGCAGAGUGAAGUGAAAGAGGAGCACUAUGUUAUGUUAUUUGUAAGAUGUUUAUGCAAAUCAGCAUUUCGAUCCCUUUUUUUCAUCAUGUGUCUCCUGCAAACAUCUUUUUUCCUAUUCCCACUGUUCCUCUUGAAAUUUCAAUGUCAUGGAUAUCUAUGCUGUAUGUGUAAAGAAGUGCCUCCCCCUCCCUGCCCUAGGGCCACGUUUCACCACUUUGGAGGUAAUACCACUCCAUCAUUCUGUUAGGUUCUGCUUUUUUGCCACUGCAGACGAAACGAAACUCAUAAAGUAGAUGUUUCCACAACCUAACCUAAAAGGACAUUAAAACACUAAAAUACUUUAUUUCUAAUUAAGUUAUAUUUAGGAAGAUAGAAGGGUGGCCAGUGACACCUUCAGGUCGUGUUCUCUUCCACCUUCACGAUCAGGAUGGACUUAGUACAAGUACAGUACUGGGCUCCCAUGUCUCAAUAGUAGUGGAUGACAGUACCCAAUGUGGUCAAGUUGCUGUGCUCAGGUUAGGAACCUCUAGUACAGGUUGUAGGUGCUACUGUGGGAGUCUUAGGGCAGCCAGAUACCAAAGUUCUUCAAUCCCAAGGAGUUCUACGCAGAUACCUGCUGACAGAAGAUGAUUUCUCCUUCAUUUUUUUAAAAGUUUAUUUUGAAAGUAGUAAAAAUACAACAGAACAAGACAGAACAAAACCAAUCGAGACAAUGCAGUGAAAUUGGUAUAGAAUUUCACAGUAGGAUACUGGGAUGUAGUAAUAGGUACUAUGGUAUAUCUCAUUAUCUUCACAACAGUUGUCCAGUCAAUGAGGUAUAGUAAAAUCAAACCAAAAACAGAACAUUAUAAAACCAAUUGAGACUAUGGAAUAGAGCAAAAGAAACAUAAUGAAACAAAACAGUGAAAAAAACCUUUUGUCUUCAAAGAAAAUAGAAGGAAAUCCCCAAUAUUUGCUAUAUUGCUUAUGGUCAUCCUUCCAAGAGAUGCUGAGAUCUCUAUCCCCAGUAGCUACUGGGUGAGGGGUGUUUGAUUCUCAGCUUGGUGCGCACACCAGUAGGUUCACAGGAGCUGCUGGUUCUUCUCCUGGCCCACACUAGGGGCGCUUACCAAGAGGGCAGAAGAAUAAGCUGCCUAAGUCCCACCAUGGCCAGAUCUCAGGAACGCUGGUUCUCGCCUUCAUUUUCUUAAACUGAGACACAGAGUAUCAGAAGUGGGACUUGGUGACAGUGUGAUUAGAUGCUAAGGUCUGCAUGCAGUGGAGAGGCAGCAUGUGACAUUUGGUAGUGCUCAGCACCUUGUACUCUUGAAGCAUGCCUAAGGCCUUUAUGUCCUCUUUCCUGGUUCACUGCUACCCACAGAAGGUCAAUUUAUGUUUCAUCAAACUCCUGAGCAAUUCGGACGCACACUUGGGAACCACUACUCUAGAACAUGUAGCAUUAAUUUGUAACUACCAUGAAUGAAUGGUCCCUUCCCUUGACUGAAUGAGCAUUUUGUGCUUUCGGGAAAAAUCAAUAAACAAUUUUCCUUCUUAUCUCAACUCCUUAUCAAUAGUCUGUUGUACUCAGAAAUGUACACAAGUCAAAAAUAGACAAAUCAUAUUUUAUUUACUACAGAUUUAUUCUAGCAGACAGUGGCAGGCUCUGCCAAAGUCACAAAGUGACUCCCCAUGAAACUGACCAGGAAACCACCACUGAUAAUACAGAGUGUGCCUUGGCCCUUGACUGAUUCCUCUGUGUGAAAAUAGGCCUUGGCUGCCUUGAUCCAGUGACUUACACAUUCUGAGGAAAACAGACACUCGUGCUCAUCCAAAGUAAACAUCCCAGUGAACCUUUAACAAGCAAGGACUUGGUUAAAGACCGGUGACUCCAGUAAAAUGAUUUAGGUGUUUUGGUAUUUAAGUAUAUCGCUGUAUGAUUCUUGGCAGCCGUUAAACACCAGUCAGGAGCAAUUUGAGUUGCAUGGGUACCAUUAUCUUUCAGGAGUAUCUUGUGCAUAGCAGCUCUUGAGCUUUGGACAUUACUUGUAUUUGCCUGUAUAACCUUACAGCCACCUUGUGAGGUAGAUACUCUUAAUAUCAUUUUAUAGAUCAAAAUUCUGAGGCAUUAUGAGGUGAAUUUGCACAAGGUCUUCUUCCCGGGGAGAGGGAUUUUAGACUUUGAAUGCAAGUAAACUUUUUUUUUUUUUUUUUUUUUGGUAUUUUUUGUGCUUGUGGCCGUGCACACGUACACACACAUAUAACGUCAUACUCUCAUACUCACACAUUCAGUCUGCACUCUCACAAUCUAGAAAUGAUGUUUCUUUUCAUGUCCUCUGCAUGGAUCAUUUCUAGGUGUGAUUAUUCAAUUUUGGAGGAGGCCCUAUUUACCUGUUGCCUGCUAUGAGUGACCAGGCUCUCCUCUCUGUUUGGCACCUUUGCUGGUUGACUCUGAAAAGAGGAGAAAGCAUUACUUAGUGUAAACCAGAGAGCCCUAAGAAGUUCCUGUAUUAUUCAUUUCUCUUCUGAAUUUCUCCUCUUGCCUCAAAAAUUGAACAUGCUUUUCGGGGGAAGAAGGAAGGCAUGUAACUCUGUUACAUGGCAGCUGUUACAAGGCAGCAUGCUUUGGUAGCUAAUGGGCUUGUGCCUCAGUGGGGAGAAUGAUGGCUUCUCCCAGGACUCUGCAGAAUGAGCUAAACGGAGAGUGAAUUAAUUUGACUGAUGUAUACAGUAACUAUAGACAGCUUAUUACUGGGCCAGGUUUUAAUAUUCUCACAAAUGAAUUCUCCUUGUAUUCUGCCCAACUACUCAGUCUCUUUAAUAGCCUGAAAUUGAGUAAAAUGAGAAGGUGCUAAAGUAGUUGAAACAAGAAGUGAAAUAUAUGUACUGCAUAUUUUUAUUACAGCCUUCUUUCCACCCACCCUUCCUAAUCACUUUUUUAGUGACCAAUGUGAUUGCAGAGUGAUUUGGUGGGAAAAGCACUUGCAACCAAAUUUAGUAAACCACAGGCCAAUUUUGUUUUAGUUUUAGUGAGGAAGGGUAGGUAACAGUUGCAAAUGGAUUAUUGUAUUUGCUUCUAAGCUUUUUCUUUUUAAAAUAUUUUCCCUCUUGAUCUCUCUAGUAUGUUUUGUCUAUUUUGAAACUAAUUGUUUGAGGAAAAGAGGCCAUUAUUUUCAACCAUAGGAAUUCCAUUUUUUAAUUACAUAGGCUUUACUUUAGUAAGAAAUUAAGUGCUAUAUUUAGUCAUUGGUGUUACAGAAAUUUUGAAGGUGAGAAUUUAAGUACCAUAAUUGAUAAAUGAUACAUAGGGAUGAGGAAUUAUAAUAAAUAAUGGUUUAAUAGUAACUGUCUUCAACAUCCUAAAGCUGAUUGAUAGAUUAAUGAAGUACAAGCAGAAUAAUUGAGGACUAAAUUGCAUAGGAAAUGUGAAUGGGUUUGUUUUUACCUGUGCAGCACAAUAAAGUUUUAGAGGCAGUUGAUAAAUUGGUUUGGUUCACUGUGUUGAGUAUUUGAAUUCUAAUACUCUAGGGUACUAGAAAAUUAGAAAUGCGAGAUUAAGUCAACCCAGAGAAUCUCGAAGAGGUUAUAUAAUGAUCAAACCUUUUUAAGGGCUAUUGGUAGACUGAAAUCCACCUACCCACUCUCUCCUCUUCCUGUUUCUAUAGUGACUCUGUCCAAUGACCCUGUGCCAUGUUUCAACUUGUAAUGACCAAGGACCCAUAAACUUUUCAAAUUCAUUCUGGUCCAUUCUGUUGGUUGAACAACUCUGAUUAUAGGAUCAGUUUGUGGUUUGGUAGUAAAAGCUUAUCUGUGUUUUGCAGCUUCUCCUGUGUAUAUAGAUCAGCUAUUCUCAUAGUUGGGGCUAAGUGUCAAAGAGGGCGACAGUCUUAAAAACCUUGAGGAGCCAGUAUUAAGGUCUCUCAUUCCUACACUUCCUUCAUCCCAUUAUGAAAGGACUCAGGAACAGAGAAUUCUUGGCAUUUCCCAGUGUUCCAACUUUUACAUAGUGAGAUUUCAAUGGGAACUUCCAGAUUCUCAUGAUAAUUGUUCUGGGGUAGAGGUGGGGGUGGAGGAAAUAGGUGGAGGGCAGGAGAGGUUUAUGUGGUUUGCAAUAUAAAUUCACGUUAUUGUAGUCCCUCAGAAGUUUCCUUAAAAGGAAUAAGACCCCAUCUAUGGGGAGAGGUAGUCCCGCGAUGGCCAACACUAAACUAUGUCAGUGUUGUCGCAUGUAAUGAAACAAAUCUCUGAAGAAGGGCUGUAAGGCAAUGAGGGAGAAGUCUGAACAUGAGGACAGAGAGACUGACAGUGCUCAAGUUGAAAAAGGGAAUACAGAUCCAGAUAUGCAGAGGUUCAUCGGAGGGAAUAGAUGUGAUUAGUGAGCUGCAAAGAGUGAAUAUGGUAAGAAUGGAGAGUACAGAAGGCCAAGGUUGUUUCAGAUGGAAUUUCCUGGUGUCUUCAUCUAGAGCUCACCAGUUCCUUUUUAGUUGUUCUUGCCUUUAAUUAUAAUUGGAAAAAAAAGAAGCUACAAACUGAUCAUUACAAUGAAAAGUUCCCCAAUAGAAAAGUUGUUUUUUAAAUCAUGAUCUGAAUACAGACUUCAGGGAAAAGACAUUAAUUAAAAAAAGAAGUUACCAUUUUUUAGUUUAAAAGUGAUAUUUUUCAUUGCUUGCAAAAGAACCAGGUGCUUCUAUUUCAUUAAUUUUAUUCCAGCAAACAUUUCUUUGGAGUGUACUUCCUGGUUGACAGUGUUGAGAGCAGUGUGCUUGAAGAUGAGCGUGCCAGAUGUCCUGCGAGGGUUAGCCCUGGUGGCCCCUUGCUGCUUGUAGAGCAGCAGUGGAGGUGUGUAUAAGGAGGUGUGUGUAAGGGCUGGGGAUGUGGCAAGAAGUAAUGAAGUAGGCCACACUUCAGGGCUGCUCUUGAGCAGGGCCUAGAAAGGAAGAGGGAAAGUCAGAAGGUAGAGAAGGCAGAUGUUUGCUGCUGUGGUGACUGGAGCAAAGGCUCAGGCUUCCAGAAAGAAAAAAUUACAUUUGGCUUCCAAAGAAUGGCACCAUGUGGAAGUAGGGGCCUGGAGACAGGGAGAAGAGGGCCCUACAGGUAGGAGCGUGGAUAGAAAGGGGAGCUGGGGUUUGUACCACAAGGUGAAUUUCUUUCUCUUUUGUUAUGUGGGACCAUGGGGAGUGUCCUGGCAACCCCAGGCUAUACUGUAUACAGGUUGAUUGAAGAGUGUUCUGUGCUCAAGAAUUUUUUCCCAUCUUUGCUUCUGCAUCAAAGGUGAAAAUGUAAUGACCUGGAAAUUAGUCUCUGGAAGUUGGAUAUUAUCUGGACUGCUCAACAAACCUUUCAUAUGAUUUAUAAACUUUUAGAAUUCUGAGAAACUAAGAAACUACAUAAUAGUAUUGUACUGAGCCUGUUGUUAUGAAAAUGUAAUGCAGAUUUUUAAAAAAAUUUAGUCAGUAAUUAUGACAAACUUUAAACGUUCAAAUAUGUCUCGGUGUAUCUUUUCUGAGCUUUUUUACUGUCAUUUUUCUCUUCCCCCUUUUCAAGCCUUCUGCCUUUCCCUGUGUCUACAAUCUCAUCUCCAAUCACUACUCCCUCAUCUGUUGGUCUUUGUUAACUUGCCACGUUUACUCUUAUUCAUGCAUUUCCUGAGAAGGGCUUUAAAGUUUUUAUCUUUCUCUUUUACAAAGCAGCAAUAAAUCAAGAUUUAUUUAUUACCCAUGUGACCUUUCAUUUUCCUCCUCUUUCUGAGCAAGUGGGAAAGAAAAAGCUAAUACAGGGUUGCACAGAGGAGGCAUUUAAUAAAUAUUAGAAGAAUGUAGUGAGGCUUGGGAGAUAAAAGGUUGGGCUGGCUUUAUGAGGGCCAAUUUACUUAUUCCAGGAACUGGAUUCAGGCUUCAUAAAUGAUGAAACAAGUCAUGUAUUUGGGUUCAUACUUUUAGAACUUUUACGUAUUCAGAAAUACCUUUAUGAAAUCAGGGGGAGGGAUUACGUAUAUCAGAAGUCAUAUAUACAGAGGUUUAGAAACCCUGUCACAAAGCCUUCAGAUCCAGUGGCCUGAUUCAUUUCCUUUUAACUGGCCUGUAGAUUUUUCAUAUUUUAAUAUAAAAGAAUAUAUGAUUCAUCAAGCAAUCUGGAUGAAUUUCACUUCUACAUGAUGAAAUAGUAAAUGAGAUUGAAACUCCUACUUUAUCAUGUCAGAUCAAAGCUGCAUAAAGAUAUGAGCCUGCUGGUUUGUUUUGAAUGAUGUAUAAACAAAAUGAUAAUGUGAAAAAAGCAGAAAAAAAGAAAUUAGUAGGUUUUUGUCAACAUGAGCCUCAAUCUUUUUUUUAAAACUUGUAAAUAUUAUUGUAACUCUAUUGAAUGAUGGUAAUUUAUAACAAUUUCAGAAUUUUUAAAAAUUUAGUUUGACCCUCAAACUUUAUUUUAUAUUCUCAUUUUGAAAGUACUGUAGAACAUAUAAAAGAUACAGAAAAAUAUGAAAACUUAGAAGAGACAGAAAGUCAUAAAGAAAGUACAUUCGGGGCUGGGGAUUUAGCUCAGCGGCAUAAGUGCCUGCCUUGUAAGCAGGCAGUCGUGAGUUCGAUCCCUGGUACCGAUAAAAACAAAAAAAAAGACAAAAAAAAAAAAAAGAGUAAAAAAAAAAAAAGAAAGUACAUUCAUAAUCCAUCUUACCAAGAGCUACUGCCUUUAAUGCUUGGACACAUUUCUUUUCAGACUUACUUAAUUUAUAUUAUUCACUAGAUUAUAUAUAUAUAUAUAUAUAUAUAUAUAUAUGUCAUAGUAUGCUUUUCUAUACAGCUCAUAACAGAACAUUUAUGCUUACUUUAUGUAUUCUUCCUACAUUAUAUUUUUAAUGGCUCAAUUCCAAUGAACCCACAAACUUUAAUUUAAAAUAACUUGAAUGAAUUUCACAUUCAGCCUUCAGACACCUAAUUGACUGGAAUUUGGGAUCUCUAAAGCAGGUUUCUUUUGGCCAAUGGGCCAUCGGAUUCAUCUGGAGGCCAGGUAUCCUGUGACCCCAAAGGCAUAUAGACUUGCAAUCAUAUAAGCCCACUUUCUAAUCCUAUUGAACACUUCCCAGUCUCUCCCAGGCUCUUACGGCACAUUGCUUGGCAUCUUAGAAGAAGGACCCUCCUUCUUGUGCUCUGUAGUAAUCAGUUCCCAAAGGGCCAACCAGUAGCAAACCAUGGCAGUGUUUACCUGGUCUGCAGAAAAAAUGAGAAAAAGAAUAGACGCACCAUUGUGAAUGUUUCUUCAAGUUAGAUGUAUCAUCUUAUUCCAAGUUGGCACCUUGUUUGAGGGUAUGUGUUAAAACAUUGUUUCUUUUGUGAAAUGAAAAUAUGGUCAUAGCAGACAUCUUUUUUCUAUACUCUUCCUUAAGGCAUUAUUUUUUUCUCUCUCGUGUAUUGCUUUGUGAAAUCCAAAAGUCUGGGAGUAGCUCUUUUGCAGGCCAGUUGUGCCAAAUUACUGGUAGUUACCAUACUUUGCUCACCUUGUUUGCUGUACUGGGGUGCUCAUUUCCACACUUUGACAGGAUGGCUGGUUCUUCCAACAUUUCUUAAGAAACGCCCCCCUAAGCUUUCCAGACCUGCUUUUCCACUAGGUAGAAUAUUUUUCCAUUUGGGGUACUUACUGAUUUACCCAGCUGUCUACUCUAAAAACCCUGGAAGUAUACCUGAAAAGUGGAGCCCUUGUUAGUGGACUUCUCCCCGGAGGAACCAGGGAAUGCUUCUCAGGGUACUCCUGGUGUCAGCACAGUGAAAGUAAUACCUUCAGCCUUCUAGUGCAAGCUACCUCUUCUUGCAGAUCAUGUGGGUGAUUUGUUUGCUUUUCAUGGUUUCAUGGUUGUUGCCAGACGGGACUUUUCCAAUCAAUGUUGUAAGACUUUUAAAAAUAGUACAUUUAUCUCAUCAGGGCAAGAAAAUCUGGGAAAGACAGUGGAAGAAGAAAAUGACUUACCUGUUAAGAACAAGUGAAUUUUCUAGUAAUUAUUUUGCCCAUUUCCAUGUUUGGCAAGUCCAUUUAUUUUGGACAAACCUUGGAUUAAAAUAUAUGUGAGCCCCACUUCACUGAUUCAUAUUGAAGAAAAAUGUGUACUAGUGUGGGGAACCCACAUUUUGAACCCAAGCUUUCCCAUUGCUUUUUUAUUCUGGCUCUCUUAACAACUACAUUCUUCUCCCUGUUUCUUACCCUGAGAAAUUCACCUGAGAGGGAGGCAUGACAAGGAAGAUGUGCAGUGACCCUAGAAGAAAAGCCCCAUAUAUGUAAUGUGAACAAAAAUAUGAUGAGUGUUUAAAAAUUUAAAAAUAUAUCUAUUACAGUAAAAGACAUAUUGCCAUUAAUCCCCCUCAAAAUACUUCCUAUUGCUCUGAACACUGUGCUUCCAUUGUUUUUGCCAUUUUCUGAAGCAAUUCUGGAGGUCUUCUUUCCUGAAUGUCUUUAGUUGUACUGUUGUGGCUGCCUUGUUGUCAUGAAUUGAUUAAAAAUGUUUGCCAUUCAUCUUUGUCUUAAUUACUUUCUCUUGUUGCUGAGACAGAAUACCAAACAUCCACAAAUUAAGGGAGGAAAGGUUUAUUUAGUUUGCAGUCUGUAGAGGUUUCAAUUCAUAGUUGGCUGAUUUCAAGGUAGAGUGGCAUGGCAGAGGGAAUUUCCCAGGAGAAAAAGUUCAUGGCAGCAAAAGCAAGCAAGCAAAGCAACAAGCUGCAAACAACCAUAGCAUCUUUUUCCUGACACUUUUAUAUAAUAACUAGACUACCUGUUCAGCCUCAUCAGUGGACUGUUUUACCAAUCACACAUCUCUAAUCCUAGCAUCAUAUUGUGGAUCAAUCCCAGCAGUACGUCCAUGGUCCCAACAGCACAAAUCAGCCCCACGUAUAAGUACAUGAGGCUUUGGGGGAACAUGUAGAUGUAAGCCAUAACAGUGGUCAUUGUGGCUUUGGAUAAAAGUUUAAAGUUGUAUGAUGCCAAAUCUGGUGAAUAAGGUGGAAGGGAAUACACCAUCAUUUUUUUUUUUUUUUUUUACGAACCUACCUUUCUGUUGGAUAGCACUUAGCAACAAUAUUCGCUGUAUUUUUUUAUCAUAACUCAUAAAACCAUAUAAAAGUUCUUUCAGAACUGUUUCAGAAAGUGGCAAGAAUGAUAGGAUAUGGUCAAAACUAAGGGAAGUAUUUUGAGGGGGGCAUAUAGCAAUGUAGUUUUUACUAUAAUAAAUUUUUAAAAAUCUAAGCAUUCACUGUAUAUUUUGAUCACAUUGUAACAAAACAACCUGGAAUGUUGGUGUGAUCCAGACUUUUUGCUUGCCUGUCUUUGCCUGACUGUUUUAUGUUUUGAUCUUCAGGAGAAAAACAAACAGAAAACAGAUGACUUUGCCAUCCUUUCUUUCUCUGAGCACAUUUUUUUCCUAACCCUGGCAUCAUACUUGUUUGCCAUUUUUUCCAGUUUAAGAAAAAAAGAGACUUUCCAUGUAUUUGUUGACAGGCUAAGAAGGAGUUGUCUAGUUCAGUUGCUCACUUGUGAUAGUGUAGGUCAAAUGAGAAAAGGAAGCUGGUUGCAGGCUGUGCAGCCCAGCUCUUGUAUGACUGCACCCUGCGUCUGAGGAAGGAUUACUUGCCAAAAAUGACAGUGGCAGUACUUAAUGCAAGGGAAGAAAAAGUUACUGUUUUUGUUCUAGUUAAUUUUGGGUUAGGAGAAAAGAUUUGGGUACCAUCUCUUUGUGUCAGAGAAAGUAGCAGGUGAAUGAAGUCAGUGGAUGUGGGUUGGGACAGUUUGCUUCCCCAUAAAGACGUCUCACUUGCCCAUCUCUGACUGUAGACUGAGGAGAUUCUCCUCCUGUAGACGGAGUUGUACACAUCAUCAGUGCACGGUGACUUAGCGCAUGUCAGUGUCUCCUUCCUUUGUUGCUAAGUGUUUCAAGUGCAGCAAGAGUUUGUCUUCCCAGUUAGUUAUUGAGAGCAGAAACCAGGCCUUGGUUUUUAAAAUUUGUUUUACUAAUAAAAUAUCCCUAAUUUCAAGUAAGAAUUUGGUAAAUGUGUUUUGAGUGGGUGAAUGGAUUUGAUGGAAUGGAUGAAACUUUUUCCUGGAUUUCACUCUGCUAACAAGCUGCCACUCUUCUUGGGAAGUCUACUUGCAUAGAAAAAAAAAAAAGGAGGAGGAGGAAGAGGAAAAAAGGAAGGAAUAGGAGAAGAAGAAGAGGAAGAAGAAGAGGAGGAAGAGGAGGAGAAGGAGGAGGAAGAGGAGGAGGAGGAGGAAGAGGAAAAAAAUUAACCAAGAUGUAACAGUGGUUGAGUUUUAGUGGACUAUGUGAUUAAUUUCUCUAUUACUCAAAUGUCUUGAAAGACAGCUAAAUAACUUCCAUAAUGUUAAAAAAAAAGAGUUUAUAAUAAUUGAGGAAAACAAUGACUGGAAACAAAUAUGUCAAAUGUCAACAACCACUAAAUAAAAAAAAUAAGUACUUAGAUACUUGUUCUUUGGGCACUUCUACAUGAUGGAAACAUUUUUUAAUUACAAAAAAAAAUUUCAAGGAAAAUAGUAAAGCACUUAAAGUACAUAUCAAUAGUAUGAAGUACAAAUUAACAUUAUUGAAAGAAAAUGGAAAUUUCUAUUUUAAAAUGACAGUCUAGAGUAGGGAGAUGCUAGUCUGCCAAAUAUGGUAACCCCGAAGGACAUCUCUGUUUAAGAAGCUAGCAUGGCUGGAGAUUUAGCUCAGCAGCAUAAGCUCAUACCAAAACAACAAGAACAACUGCAAAAUAAAAAAAAUAACAGUAAGAAUCUAUCAUGGUAAUCAUAUUUAGAAUGAUUCUACAUUGUCAAGUAAAUGUUCAGUAGAUUCCAUUUAAUAAGGCAUAGAAUUAGCACCUUUUAGUACUUUAAUUAGGCGCUUAAUAAAAUAAAUUUAAGUUAUAUGAAAAUUCACUCAUGUGAAACACCUGAAGAUCCCCAAGUGCCGUGAGGUUGCUCAGGUACCCCUUACAUUGGACAAGUGACAGAUCCUCAGAUACAUCACAGCUCUUUAUAACAGAAAUACUUAUGAUCAAUUGAUCAAGGGAGAAAUGGCCGCCUUGAACUCAGUGUUGAUUCUAUCUUUUACAAAAAAGAAAUUUCUUUAAGGUGUUGGCCUCUUUUUGCUGGCUUUCUCUCUUUAGUAUGUCUAGUCAUUUUCAAUUCUUUGUGUAAAUUCAUGUUGUCUUGCCUGGAUUGAUCCUACUGAUAGGUGUCAUUUUUGUACCUGGAUAAAUGACUAAAGCUAUGUUGACAUUUCUACAAAAGACAAAAUCAAGGAAUUCAGGAAAUAGCAUUUAGGUUAUUAGCACAGAUCUUAUUUUAGGGCUUCUCAGAAGAAUAUAAAAUUGAUGUAGACAACAGGAAAACUGCUUUGCAAUAAAAAGAAACAAACUCUUCAUCCACAUUGUGCCAUGCAUGAAACUCAAAACCAUGAUACUGAGUGAAAGAAGCCAGACACAGAGAUUAAUAUGCAGUGUAAUUUUAUUGUAUAUGAAAUUCUAGAAAAGGCAAAACUAUAGGGAUAAAAAAAGAUCAGAGAUUGUCAGGGUCCUAGCAUGGGAGAGGGACAUUGCCUACAAAGAGACACAAGGGAAAUUUUUUUCUUCUAGUACCAGGCAUUGGGGUUUUGCACUGAUAUGCAUCCCUGCCUCCCAUCCACCUUAAUUUUUAAAUUUUGAGACAGAUUGUUGCUAAAAUGCCCAGGCUAGGCUUACACUUACAAUCCCAUCUCAGCUCCCAGAGUGCGGAGAUUGCAGGAGGCAUGCACCACCAUAGGACUACAAAGGAGCUUUUAUGGAGUCUCGCACAUGCUGGUUUUUUUGUAAAUUAUGGUAAUGAUUACCGCACUGUAUAAAUUUGCCAUCACCCAUCAAAGUUUACACUUAGAAAUGGAUACAUUGUAUGUAAAUUCUUAUCAGUAAAACUUAAGGAGUCAACUUCUACUUUUGAAGAUAAAUUAUUACCAAACCAUUAUCAGAAUGGUAUUAUUUGUUGGAUGCCUCCAAGAAAUUACUGUACUAAACGUUAAAAAUGACAUCAUCUGACAUUACUUAGAGUUAAGAUUAUUGAUGAUUAAGCUUCAGGGUCAAGGCAUAUCAGCUUUUAACUUCCCUGUCUCCAUUUCAGUGUGUGCUUAGGUAUGCUUUUAUAUUUACCUUCAUUAUUUUGGGAGGCAUGCCCUCCUAAUAUCAUGGCCACCAUACUCAGAAAAACAAAAGUUAAAGAUGUGAACCUCGUCUUAGAGACCUUUUGGUGCCCAGAACAUCUUAGCUACAUUUCCCUUGGUCUUUUCAUUUGCUGAAAUAGAGAUCAGGUUUAGAAGAUAGCAAGGAUAGGGCUAUCUUGGUUCCUUAGUUCCUCGUUUAGCAGUGCGAACUUUCAAUGACUUCUGACCUCCUAGGAGUAUUGAAUAUGUUUGAUUUUAAUUUUAAUGAAGAAUAGAAAGUGAUCUCAUUUCCCAAACUAAGUGAAAAGUAAAUUGAAAAAGACCAACCAAAAUUAAUUUCUAAAUUUCAUCAACAUUUGCGUUUUACUCUUUUCUUCUUGGAAUAUGAGUAAUAAUGCUGGGAAAUCAAGUGCCAUUUUCCAGAAAAUUUAAUCUUGAUUUAAAAAGCCUGAAUUAGAAGAAUUAGGAAUCUUUAUCCAUCUGUCCGUGUUUGUUUUUAAAAAUUUAGUCUCAUUUAUAAAAUGAAUGAGCACAUUUUCUACUAAAUGAUUAUACCGGGAUUAUAUAUAUUUAUUUUCAAUGUCAGUCCAUUGCUUAUUUGAUUUGAUUUUUUAUUAAAUUAGUGUUUUAUUCUCUUUCCUCUUCCAACUCUUUGUAAACAGACUGUGGGGACCCUGGCAGGGAAGAACCCCAGCCUCUCGGGGACAGAGUGGUGUCCCUGCUGAUUGGCAGGCAGAGCCUGAGACUCUGGAGUGAGACUGCAGCUCCAUUGUUUCCCGCAGAUGUCUGCCUCUCAGAGCUGGGGAAAUUGAUGACUGAAUAAUGCAGUGUACACACAGAGAACUUACCAUUCCAGACAGAACAGUCUGUUUCUCUUUUGAUGCUAAGAAUAUCUGCGGAGCUUUUUUGGUCCCAUGCUUCCAACUCUUUUAUUUCUUCUAGUAUUUCAACCUUUGGAAAUCGGCUGUAUCUUUAAUCUUAUUCUUAGUACUAGCUAGGGGCUAAGUAUUGAGUCUGAAGUAGACUUGCCGAGUAACCUUAAGUGUGAGCUCCCUUAUCUUAAAAAUGGGAGGAUAGUACUGUCUGUAUCCAGGGAAUACUGAUGAAUGAUCAUAAAAGCAAUGUAGACUGUUUGCCAAUGCAGAACUUGUUCCAAGUUCUUUCCCUUUCCUCAUCCAGGAACUUCAAUCUCCAUAAGCUUAUUUGUUAGUUUAUACAUUCUUUCGUUCAGCAACUUUUCACAGAUCACCUUGUGGACUUUAUGUACUGCUUUAGGUAUUGGCAUUCAGCAGUGAAUGAAUUUGGCUUCCUGAAGCUUACGUGUCAGUAGGAGAGACAUCAUAAAAUAUAAACAUUAACUCGCUUACGUUUUUUAAAUGCCAGUCUGCCUGUAUUGAGAAUAUGCCGUAAGUUUCUUUUAUGGAUGACAUCAUUUUCUCUUAUACUUAAAGGGUCCAUCUGUAAUUCUAAAAAAUGGGCAUAGGUAAUGUUCAUUCUCCUUGGUACAGUAUGACAUUUCAACCACUGCUGGCAGAUGGAGCAACAUCCUCUACAUACUGAUUCCUCUGUUGAAUGCUGAGCAUGUUGUGUACCCAGUACUGUGCUGCCAGCAGAACUUCUUUUCCAAAAGGUGUGGUACGUACACAUCACGGGAAGACAGAACUACCAGACAGUAUACACUUGAUGUAAGGAGAGGGUGUCUGUGUUCAGGGUGUGGGGAAAAGAGGCAGUACCUGAACAAGUCAGGGAGGGCUUAAACAGAAAGACGUAACCUUGAACUAGGAUGUUCCAGCAAGAUGACAUGUAUCAGAAGAGGCUCUCCAAGCAGGGAGCAGCACUGCAAGGAAGGCCAGAGUCAUCAAAGAUUGUUUGGUGGCUUCUGGAGGCAGAAAUGGUUCAGUCAGUGUAGAUGUGCAGGAGGCGGUGUGCAGUGAUAGAAGAUGAGGCCGGACCCAGAGGGUUAGACAAAACUCUUCAUUCUGUCUCUCAGACUACAAACUGGACCAGCAUAGUGUGCCCAGCAGCUGGUUGGAGGUAAGGUUGUACGGAAAUCUCCGCUUAUUUCUAAUACAGUGCUCUUUCUAUUCCAGCCACAAUGCCUGUAAUUUAUAUACCUGGAACAGGUUAAGUCAUAGGCCAAGGUUAACAGUGCAAAGAUGACACUGCCUCUGGCACCCCUCUGGAUGUUGUUUUCUGUGCAUACAUGUGCAAAAGGGGCUAGGGAUGCAGAAAUCCAGCCUACUUUCUGCUAACCAUGUCCUGCAUCCCAACUGGGUUUCACUUCUACCCUGAAGAAGAGAUAACUCUUUCAAGAUCCACAAACGGCUAUAUGGGCUGUCAGAGUCCUGGGAAAUGUCCUGGCUCUGAGGGGCAAAUACAGUGAGAAACCUCACUCAGUACUAGGGCCUUUUGCCAUACUUGGCUUCUUAUUGAAGUGUCUUCUGCUAGGGGGUAAAAAUGGGGAGACAGGAGGAAGGGUGCCCACCGUAAGAAGGCUUUGAGUUUCUGCACUUACGGAGUUACCACCACUGCAGCCCCAAGAACUUACUCCUGCUGUGAGAGACUAGAGCUUCAUUUUAAGUGGAGGCACCUCAGUGAGUCUCAGGGACAAUUCCCCUAUCAUUGGGCUCUAAAGACUGAAGUUUCAGGCAUGGGGGAAUGGCCAUCAUGUGUAGUUUACAAUCUGGCCCCUGCUGCCGAGGCUGAGUAAGUAGCUCCCAUAGUGUGCUGCUCAGACAGACCUCUUGUGUUAGAGUUACAGCAUGUGUGCAUGCAUCUGUGUGUGUGGCGGGGCGGGGGGAGGUUACUGGUGAAAAAUACUGCUUUCUGAGCAUCUCUCUAAACCUACCACGUCAGAAGCCCAGGAAUUCUACCCGGACCUAUUAUUGCAGUAACAUUUAAGAAAUUCUGCUUUUGUGAUUGUUUGUGUCCCAUUAACAAAGGAGGGAAGAUGUUUAAUAUAUUAGAAAGUGAGCCUUCAUAUUUUAAAAUUAUUUUUGUUUAAUCUUUCUUGAAAAUCAUUCAUCACAAGCAACCUCAUUCCUCUCAACUUGCUAGAAUUUGUGGAACUUGAAUGUCCCGCAGAGGCCCAUGUGUUGAAGGCUUGUUCUCUAAUCUGUGGUGCUAUAUUGAGCAGGUGGAACUUUUCAGGGGCAGUGUGCAGUGGAAAAAUAUUAGGUCUCCUGGAGCCUGUGCUCGAAGAGGAUACUGGGACUCAACUCCUCUUCUGUUUGCUUCCUGGCUGCUUUAAGGUGAACAGGCUUCCUACUGUGGUAUACUGUGCUGCCGCAGGCCCAAGCCUACAGGGCCAAAUAACUAUGAGCUGAAGCCUCUGAAACUGUGAACCAAAAUAAGUCCUUCCUACUAGUAAGUUAAUUCUUCCAGGUAUUUUGUCAUCAUGAUGGGAUAGCUAGCACAUGCCUAACGUAGUAUUUCACUCUGUAGAUGUACUAUAAUUUAAUUAACUUUUAUUGUUCUGACUGUAGUCUCUUCAUGUAUACCCAAAAGUAGGUUGUAAGUCAAUGUGAUCACAUUAUAUUUAAAAUAUUUUUAAAGAAAAGUAUGCACUAGAUGUAUAGCUCAGUGGUAGAGUACGUGCUUAGCAUGCAAGGGAUGAUAAAGAAAAAUUAGAAAAGAAUGUCACGUGAAAUAUUUUUCAGUUUUAUGCAUGCAAGUAUGCUGUUUGAAACAGUAAAAUUAUUUCUUACUACAUGUCAAAAAUAUGAAAGUUACAGAUUAAGAUAACUGAAAAUAUUUAAAGUAUCUGUCAAUGUUAUUUUUUUGAGGGUCAAGUUGCAGUAACUGCUAAAUUUAUUUUGUAUGAACAUUUGUACCAAAAUCCAGGAAUGUUAUUAUAUUUUUAUUUUUUUUUCUGUGCCUGAUAGUAUGGAAGACUUCUAGUUCUUAAAGCAUGCUUUAUUGAAAAAGUCUAGUUUGAUCUUGUGACUAUAAAAUAUAAAUAUAAAAGUUGAAUUAACCAUCUCAUUCAAAUUGACUUGACCUUACUCAUGAUAGUUUCCCUCUGUCUACUCCGCUGAGGAAACUGGCCUGGUUUGAAUUGUGUUGGCUUCUUACCAACACCUUACAGGAAUAUUCUGGCAUUCCAUCACUGUGUACCUACAGAACCUGAGAAAAUUCUUAGACUUCACCUCUAUAGCUCAGAAAGCUGAGCCUUUUAAAAAUCUUUUUGUAAACUUUUCGUGGCUGCCAGACUUCCCAUAUAGGAGCUGCCUGUUCACUUUGUUUGUUAAUUUAAACUUUCUAGAAGUCACAUGUCUAUGAGUUGUGUCAAGAUCAACUUUUUAUUUAACAUUUGGCUUGGUAUUUCACUGUAACAGGAUACAGGCUGUGGUUGCAUAUUUGAGCCUUUGAAUUUUUGUUCUACCCCAAAUUAAAAGCUGGGAUAGCAUAACAUAACCAAGAACUUCCUAACCAUGAAUGAGUUUCACAUGCGCCAUCAGAUAUUCAUAGCUGUCAAUUUCUCUCUGUGUUAAAGCAUGGGGCACUUUUUAUAGCCAUACAAAAAGAUACAGCAGUUUAAAUUGUACUUGAACAUCAUUUGCAUGGCUCCCUUUGCAGUUAAAUGAUUUCAAAAGAUUGUAUUUGGAGUAUUUAUAAAAAAUAUAUUGGUUACUUUCCUAGUAUUUUAUUUUUCUUAAAUAAUGUUACAUAAAAUAGUAAUUGAUGUUUUUCAUCAACCUCCACAUAGAUACUGCCUCAUUACCUCCACUUUAAUUCAUUGUGUUGCACACAAGUUAUUAUUUACCACAUGUGCCAACACUGGAGAAGUUUUGGGAAGCUCCACUAGAGACCACUGGGGAGCUGCACAUUAAAUCCCUGGUGGGAUGUUUAGGGGCAUGCAUAGGCUCUCUUAGAUCUACUGAGUUAGAAUCUCAGUGGGGUCAGAGUUUGGACCUGGUAAGUGUAUGUUUCCUAGACUACAUAAAAAUACUAUAACGAAUAUUUUUGUCUCUAUGAGCUGUUGUUAUAUUGAUACCCCAGUCGCCUUUCUCUGCCUGGGUUCUGGGCAACUAAAACUUCUGACUUCGUUCAGCCAUUACUGGAACUGGAGGUCCUCAAAGACUCAUCUUGUCAGAAUAACUAAUUCUUUCUGCCACCGUCCCCUACUUGCUUCCAUUUUCAGAAAUAAAGCUACCCUCAUGUAGCGUUAUUCCCUCCGCCACUUUUCCUCACACUAUACCUCAGCAUAUCUAGGGGACCAUUAUUUGUGUUUAUCCAUAUGGUCUCUUAAUUGACUCCAGGAUCCUUGAGGUUGUUUUCUUCAUCCUUUUCUCCAAUAAAUAUAGUUAAACAAAUGAACCACCAAGUGCGGGGUGACCAGAGAACAAAUAUUGAAUAUAGUUUCCUAAGGCCACUAUAACAAAGUACUAUAAAUCAAGUAGCUUAACACAGAAAUGUAUUGUUUCACAGUUCUAGAGACUAGAGUAAGUAGGCAUCCAGGUGUAGGCAGGCUGUGCUCUCCUGAAGGGUAAGGGAUCUAUUUCAGGUCCUCUCCAAACUUCUGCUAGAUUCUCCCGUGGUGAAGCUUACCUCUGAUCUUUGUGUCAUGUUCUUCUUGAGCACCUGUCUCUGUGUCUAAAUAUCUCCUUUUCAUAAGGACACCAGGUAUAUCGGAGUAGAGGACCACUCUAAUGAUCUCAUCUUAACUAAUUCCAUGUGGAUCCUGUUUCCAAAUCAAGUUGUUUGAGGUAAUAGGCAUUAGGACUUUGCCAUACAGACUUUGAGGGUCUGUAUGGCACACAGUUCAACUCAUGACAGUGCUUAAUGAGACAGAGAAGAAGCAACCCUUGCAGAGAGCCUGGUUGGGUCUUUUCUUAGAAAGAUGUUAGUCACUUUAUGGACCAGACAGUCGAUGGUCCUCCAGGUCAUCAACAACUGACAAGAGCCUACAAAUCCAUGUUCUGGCAGAGUAUAACCAGAGUUAGUUGUCACUAAAGGGAGUGGUGAAAUUUGUCUCAGUGAAGCAAGAUUAGGACCAGGCCUCUUAGAGAUGCUCAGGGUCAGGCAUCAGAUCAGUCCUUCCACUUCAGGUUUACUCUGACCUAACUAACAGUUAACUUAUUUAUUCACCAUGGUGUGAUGCAGUUCCCAAACAGCCUUACAUUCUGUAUGUCAUUUAAUUUGAGCCACUAGCCAUCCCUGGGAGGUGUUUAGUGCAGAUGCCUCUGUUUUAUAGAUCUAGAAACUGAGGACAAACUCCCUUAGUUUGGUAAGUCUGGCCCUGGGCCCAGUGUCUUAAAACUCAUAAUUCAGUAUGUUAUAGUCACUGUCCACAGUUUGCUUCAGGGAUUCUAGGUGUGUGCUCAAUGAGAGGCAAAAAUUUUUUCAAAGAUCAGGUUUGGAUCAGAAGCCUACUAGGAUUUACAAAUAUGAUUUCCUUUUUUCUGUUUAAAAAGAUCUUUAGUCUAAUCUGAAAAGCUUGUCAUGCCUGUCAAAAGAAGCUGGUGACAGGUGAACGGCAAAGUAUUAUGAGAAUGAGAAUAAAGAGCUUUUUAAAUGGGAAGGAAGGCAGAGCAACUUAAUAAUUACUGUUGAAACAGUCACAGCAAUACUGAAGCGUCUCCAUAAUUUAAUCUAACUUAAUACCAACUGCCUCCUCCCUAGUGGCAAUACAUAAAUUAAUUAAUAGUAGGUUGAAUUUGAAGCUAUGUCUGUAUAUUUAGGCCAUUAUUAACUUGUUCUCUGUGCCUUUUUUUACUUGGGUGCAUUUGUGCAUUGAGCCGUAGAAAUGAGGGUAUUUUAUAACUCCCAUCGCCAUUAUGACUUCUAUCACUUUUCACAUUUUGAAAGCACACUGUUUUAUCUUAUUAUAUUUCCUUCUUAUAAUAAAUAUCCCCCGUGGAGAGGUUAUAUCUCCUUGCUUUGUAGAAGUUAUAGGUCUGGUUCUGGAACAUAGAUCUGUCUCCUUUUUCUCUUGAUACACAGCAGAAGAUAAUAGUUAACAUUGUGGUAUCUGAAUUUUAUUUUCUUGAUAUGAGUUCUGGCUCUCCUGCUUACUAUGUAGCCUGCCAAUCUCUCAGUCUUCCUGAUGGGAAAAUGGGUAAAAUUGUAUCUGUUCAUGAGGUUGUCAUAAUAAUUGUUAGUCACCUAUGAUAAAACACUUGAGACAGUCAAUUUAAAGGAAGAAAACUUUAUUUUGGUUUAUAGUUUCAGAGAUUCAGUUGAUGGUUAUUUGGUUCCAAUGCUUCAAGGCUGUGGUGGGUGGCACAGGAGUGCAUAAUUGGAGUAUGAGACAAAGGUCUGUUUAUCUCAUGGCAGCCAGAAGCAGAAAGAGAAAGGGACUGGAUCUUAAUGUCUCUUAAAAGCACACUCACCCCCAGGACCUGUCUUCCUUUCACAAGGCCCUGCCUCCUAAAGGUUCCACUUGUCAAGAGCACCUAGGGACCAAGUCUUAACACACGGUCCUUUGGAGGACAAUCUAUAAUAAACAUGAAAAGUUCUUGGAAAAGUGUUAAAGAUGUUAUAAGUACCAAGUAAAUAUUAUUUAGUAUUAAUAAUAGUAUCCCUUUGGGCUCUCAGUUCCUCUUGAUUCUCAACAUAUGGCUACAAUAUACUCUUUCGUGUUACCAAGUCAGUCCUGUCUGCCAGAUGAUCUCAAAGGAUCCAUUGGCCAUCCUGAGUUCCUGGCUAUGUGACAACACCACCCAAGUAAUGGCCAUUGAGAAACAGCAUUGGUGGAAAGUAGAGACACUACUGGGGAGGUAUGACCACCUGUAUUCUGGGAAUCGAAACGGACGAGUUAUGCACAGUUCAUCAGAGGGGCGAAGCACUUGCAAAGAAGUACUUACGAGGCCUGCAACAAGUACUAUUGGGGAGAUGGAGGAAGCAGUGGGGAAAUCAUUCUGGUCUGCCAAGGAUCACUUGUCCCAAGUAGACUUUACCUUUCUUGUUUUAGAAUAUUGCAGGCUUGUGAAGGGCAACUGGUAAUAGGAAAGAAAAGCUAUCAACAAGCUGAAGAAGUCUGAGCACAAAGAAAAUGAUCUGUCUCAGCAGUUAGUUGGCCUCUGUACCUCUGGCCCACCACUCCUUAUUAUCAUGCUGCUGUGAGUGUGGCAUUCUAAGACACAAAUUGGGUCAUGCUGAGUCUCUGUAUCAGUUCCUUUUUGAGUUGUUCCUUCCUCACCUCAGGAGCCUGCUAAGUCCACGAGGCCACACUGUGCUGGGAGUGGUAUGUCCUGAACCCCACGCCCAGCCCUGCCUCCUUCACUACUGAGCAGCUUUAGACAGGUCACUGCCAUUCCCACACCUCCGCUACCACCUGUAAGAUGGCAUCAGGGCACCUGGCUUAUGGCUUCUGGGGCAGCAAGUGCUUUUGUACAGGUCCUGGCAAUGAGUGAGCACAUAGUGUUAGCUGUUGCCCUUUCUGGCCCUGAAUCCUCAUCCUUUCAGACGCGGAGUGAGAAGAACCACCUACUUUCAGUUCCACCUCAGUUGCUUCCCUCCCUCUGCCAGCUCCCUUGGGGGCUCUUGGGGAAGCCUUCCUGCAGCCCCUCUGCUCUCCUCAGUGUAGCCAGGGUCCACACAUGCUAUCGUGGCAGAACAUUUGUACUUGGGUUAGAAUUGGGUCUUGUCUGUCAUACAGUGUUUCUAUUGUUAUUUCUACUGAUUUUUGUCGCUCCCCAGACUACAGACACCAUGAGGAUAAGGAUUCUGAGGUUUAUCUCUAAAGUUCAGGCGUGUUUUGCAAUGGCAAGUAUACAGUAGAUACUCACUGUACAUUGGUAGAUUUAUGCUGGCCAGUCAUGCUAUGCACUCAGUCUCUUGCCUAAGCAGCCCAGCUUAGCUCUGUCUCAACUAAGGUAAUGGUUUCUACUGAUUAUGAACACAGUUUCUAGACUUAGCCUUGCUGGAGAGACACAGGCCAGAUCCUUCCAUGGUUCUAUCUUGUCUUUCUCAAGAGAGGUUGAUGUUUUAUCAAAGAGAUCAAAGGAGUACAAAAAUCAUGUUGUGUGGUACAUAAGGUUUUGGGUUAGAGUUAGAGAAAGUGAGUGUGAAUCCCAGAUCUACCACUUAUUGUUAGCUUUUAAUAUCUUAAACUAGUGACUUAAACUCUGUGUCCCAGUUCUUCAUCUGCAAAACAGGGAAAAUGGACAUUCUUCAUUUAGUUGAAAGGUUUGAUGAGAUCAUAAAUACAAAACAUUCAGCACCAUACCUGACACCAAGAAUGUUUAGUAAUUAGUUCUUGCUAUGAUUAUGCUCACUGUUAUUAUGUUUUUGGCUUCCAUAGCAGCACUAUAGAUUGGCAGUGGGUAUCCAUAUAUUUUGAAAACAGGACAUUUUUUUAACCCCUAGAGGUGAAACAGAAAGAACAGAGAAAGGUAUUGUAUAGUUGCCAAUCUCAGCAGCUUGCAGAUACUUCAUCACAAGGAGUUGCUUAAAAUAGGAGAGCUAGUACAUUAGCACAAACUGUUAAUACAGGAAAAGGAUUAGAGAUGAAUUGGUUGAUAACUUCUUCUACUUAGAUAUAUAGAUACAGAGUACUUUGUAUUAGUGCCACCUCCUUAGCCAGAACACCAUCAACUUGUUUGUAAGUAUUUUCUUUUUAGUGUUGCUAUAAAUGUCACUUUGCCUUAGCCUGAAAUAAGUUUUUGAGGCAUUUUACAGUCAUGCUCUUCAUUAUUGAUCAGACUUUAAAAGUAAUUGCUUGUCUUGAAGCUGUCAUUUGCCUUUGAAAACAUCUCAAAAACAGUGCCUCAAAAUGUCAUCCCCAGAUGUCCAUGUGUGGGGGGUGCUAUCAGAUAAGAUUUUGGCAGAAAGUCCUAAAUAAAGUUAUUUUGCUAUAAACCCAGGCCAGUUCUUAUUAAAAUAGCAAAAGAACAUGUGGUUGAACACAUGGCAAGAUGUUGUUUGCUCUUAUUAGCAAUUAACUAACAUAGAAACAGUUGUAAAAUUUGUAAAAACAUAUAGGGCAUAUGAAACAAUAUAUUUUGUGCUGCAGAGUGAAAGCUGUGUGUCACAUCUGCCGUGUCAGUGUUUGUAGUAGUAAUACGGCUCUGAUGUUAGGUAUGUAGCCUGCUGAGGAGAAAGUGCUCUUUAGUUUGAGAAACACAAACUUUGAUACUCAAACUUUGCAUAUUUAAAUUUCCAUGUUUAAUUUUUGAUUGUCUGUGGUUUUGUGUGUAUGAAGUGUAAUACAUGCAUGUUUAGUUUUAAAAUAGUCUCCAUUUUAAUAGUAAUAGUAAUUUAAAAUGUUACUAUACUAUAAGGGAAAUAUGCUUCCACUGAAUUACUGUGGUAACUUACGUAACUUUCUGUUGCUGUGACAAAAUACUCAAGAAACAUAAUUUAAAAGAAUAAAGGUUUAUUUUGGCUCACUGUUCCAGAGGUUGAAUCCAUGGUCUACUGGCUGCAUUACGUUUAGGCUCGUGGCAAGGCAGAAACAUCACAGAGGAAGGGUGUAGCAAGGAAAGCUGCUUACUUCAUGGUAGUGAAGAAGCAGGGAGAGAGUGAGAGAGUAUGUGCUGGUGAACUUCCUCCUCCUUCCACUUUUGUUCCAUCUAGGCGCUCACCCUAUAGGAUGGCGCUUCCCACAUUCAGGCAGGUCUCCCCAUUCAGUGUGCCGAGCUGCCACAUGCCAGUCAUACCUGGAAACACCCUCACAGACACACCCAGAAAUGUGCUUUACUAGUUUCCUAGGUAUUUCACAGUUCAAACAAGUUGACAAUCAAAAUUAGCCAUCACAAUUACCCAGUUACCACUUAGGAAAACUGCUACUCAUAGGCUAUUUCAUAGUUUAGAAAUGUCAAAUAAUAGUAAAAGUAUUCACUUGAGAUUUAUUUAGCACCUGUGUAUGUAAAGCAUAAUGCUGGGUAUCUGGAAGGUAAGUGGAAUCAGACUUGAGUCCUACCCCUCAAGAAACUUAGACUUCAAGAAAUAAUAUAAAUAUAAAUAACUAAAAGGUAGAAGAUAAUCAACGUGUCUUAGCUACUUUUCUCUGAUUGCUGAGACAAAAUACUCAGUACCCAAAGUUAAGAAAGGAAAGGUUUAUAUGACUCACAGUUUGUAGAGAUUUAAGUCCAUAUCAGCUGGCUCCAAGGCAAGGGUGGCAUGGCAGAGGGGCAGCAGUUCAUGGUGGCAGAAGACAGUAAAAGCAACAAGAGCAAAAUGGUGGAAGAGAGCCUCCUUUCCUCCCUUGUAUCAUAUGCAGACUACCCCUGCAAGAACAGAUGCAGCACGCACACCACCAGUCCCAGCACUAAACAAAGAACCAAUCACAGAAUCUAGAUUCAGCUGCCUCUGAAAAGCCCACCCCUGCCCAUUACCACCUGAGGCUUUGGGGGAACAUCCAGCCACAAACCAUAACACAAUGGUAGUAUAAAAAAAUGACUGAACCAGAUGCUGUAAGUGUUACCAAUCUAUACACACACAAUUUUCAGCCAUUUCUUCUUAUAUCUUGGGAAUUUCUGUACCAUGAAGCUUGUAUUACUGUAGGCUCCUAUUUUUAAACUAAUUAAAGUAAGCCAUUUGGGCAUAAAAAGUAAAUAAUUCACUUAGACUUAGGUCUUACUGGAUUCAGAGUCCUGCUGUAUUUCUUUAGUAAAAGACAAAAUACUGGUAAAUUUAAACCAUCACUAGAGACUCAGCUAUAGAACUGGGAAUAUCUAGUUAGAGAUUUUUAUUAGCUAUACCUUUGAAUUGGUUUAUAAUGGAGAACUCUCCAAGUUAAAAACAAACAAAUGAACAAAACAGAGUUGGUGUCUAGUAUGGUUGUUCAAAAGCUUUUUUAAACAAUCUGCUCAUGGCACACUGAGGACCUGCCAGGCACUGCCACCACAUGCCUUCACGACUUUUGAGAUUUAGCGAGGAAGACAGAUGAUACACAAGUAAAUAAAUAAAUGACAGUGUUUCUGAUUUGCCUUUAAGUGCUAAAAAGGAAAUAAAAUAUGUAACAGGACCUAUAGAGAAAGGCAUAUAUAUGUUUUCAGAGUGGCAGAUGGGACAGUAGUGGUUCAGUGAGUGGUAGGGAAGGCUCACUGCAAGAGGUAAAGUCUAUUCUGAGCUAAGAGUGAUGAGAAUGCUCUGAAACAAGACUGUUCUUGGCAGAGGAAGCAGCAAGUACAGAGGCCCUCAGGUAAGAACAAGUUGCCCUGCUCAAGAAAGAGAAAGAAGACUCUAGUGGCUGUAAUACUUGUGAAUAACAUCAUGGUGCGAUUAGAAGGAGCUGGGGUCCUGGUAUGCCACAGUAAAGUCCCUACAGCCAACGGGUUCCAAAGACCAGUUCCAUCAAGUUGAAGCUCAAUUCUAGUGUUAAUGUUAAGUUGAACUCUGAUUCUGAAAGAAUGUGGCUGCUGAGUACAGAAAAAAGAAAGGAAAAAAACCCCUCUAUUUUGUUGUCUGGAGCCUCCUGGUAGAUUUUAAAAAGUAAACAAAAUUUGCACAGUUACCUAGGGCACAGAUAAAUAUACUUAAGAGCCACUGGGUUUUUUUUUUUUAACCCUCUAUUGUGGUACCCUUCUGUGCCAUUUCCUUCUAAUACUCUGUUUUCUAGGUUUAACUUUUUCUUCCUUCCCUUUUUAAUCAAAACUCUUAAUUUUUUUCAAGGCAAUCAUAGCUGCUGGUAGGAAGCUGAAUUUGACUCAUCAUGUAAAUAACUGAUAGGAUCUGGCCCACUAAAAUAUUAUUUGUGUUUUUUUAGUGUUAAGCCUAAUGAAUCUUGUUUUAAUGAAUAAGGUAGUAAAAUGUAAAUGAGAAAAGCAUUUGAGGAGUUUGGAGGAUAACGUUUUUGGAAAUGAGAGAGCCAGCCUUGUUUGCUGGGCCUUGAUGGUUACACCAGUGUCUACUCUAGGGCUGCUUCCUUUCAUCUGCUCAUAGAUUCUCUCAAAAUUCCUGAGUAUAUCCAUAGAGAUUCUUUGGCUGCUUCUGCCACAGGAGCAGGGAGGUCCAUAGUCAGGAACUGCAGGAAAAGUCAGAGACUGGGAGGGGAUGAGAAUCUAUCAGUUGUUUAUAUAUUGAAUAUCAUCUGUAAACUAUGAGAACUCACUACAUUUGGGUAUUUUAUUUGGAAAAUUUCACCUGAUGUUGGAGGACUAAAAAAAGGAGGAGAUUGUGGUUUGCCUGUUUGUCCAUGUCGAUGUUUAAUUUCCAUGCUGGAUGUGGCUGUGCCUGUGGAUACAGGGUAAUUCUGAAUAAUGGUAAUGACGAAGGGUCAUCAUUACACAGAAGAGCAUUCUGUGCUCCUAAUUAAAAUUACAGCUGAAAAUUGUUUCCUUAUGUGUAGCUCAAAUUGCCUUUGCAGUAACUUUAGUUUAUAACUUCUGGUUAAUCCUCUCCUUACCACCCUUAAGAAUUCUUCCUUGUCCUUGAAGUUGACUCCUUUGAAAUCUUUAUGAGCAGUCCUGGUUUCCCCUAAGCUAUGAGUAUCCUAAUACUUUGUUCCUACAAGCCUUUAAGCUUCUAAGCAAAACAGUCUUUGCUCCCUUUUCUCCCGCUGCACUUUUAAUGAGUUCUGGUUCUGGAACGGGACUUGAUUUCUUUUUGCGGUCAAUAUAAAUUAGCUGAGCCUUGCCUCAUUCUCCCUGAUGAAUUCAUUGCUAACUGUCUUUUGGGCCAAGACCGCCACAUACUGCUUACCCUAAUUAGUAUUCUCUAAUGGUAAUCAAGUGACCUGUAACUCACAUGUUUUCAAAAUGAGCACUUAUUACAUUCCAUUUCAUCAACUAUAGUAGGAAAAUUACAUACAGUGAUACUCACAAUGGGAUUCCGAAUAAGAAAUGUUGAGCCAAGAAACAUCUGAUCAUAGGAGCAGUAUGAUCAAAGUGGGGUGAGUGUGUGUUUUGAACCAGUACUUUAUGUGCUCAGCCUCUGUCCCAUAUGUUCCAGAUUUGAUAGUUUAGUACAAAAAAUUUAGAGGCUUGUGCCUUGGCAUUUUUCAUACCAUUGAAUUUCAAGAAUCAUGUCUAACAGUACUUUGAAAGAACUAUUCUGUUAACUUAGAAAAAUCAGGCAAUAUUUGAAUCUCUAAGAGAGUGAUAACAGAAGCCUAUGCAAAUUCUAGGAUACUGCUCUGGGAGAAACCCUGAAGAUUUGUGUUUGUAUUGAAAAAUGCCGAUUUUGGUCAUUUGUUGAAUGAGUAAAAGAAUGUUGCAUACAGAACUUGGUAAUGUUCAAAGACCAGGCUGUAUGGACCAAAAGUCUGUUUUGCUUGUUGCUUGUGGGGGGAAAAAAGAAGGAAAAAGCCAUAAGUAUGAUUUUAAAUAUUUGGUUGUACAUAUAUAAGGGGAGGUUUUGGAAAAAGAUUUGGCAUCUUUUAUUUCCCUAACCUUGGUAAAAGGAGAGUCUUUGUACAUAUUCAGAUAGACUCACUUUAAGGGUUUUUGCAAAAGCAAUGAAUAACAUGUUUUAAGAAACUUUUUGUGAAUAUAUAGAUCACUGACAUAUGAUUCAAUCAUAUUGCACUGCAGAUUUCUUCCCAGUCUUACUAAAAUUAAAGUUUUUAAUAUUACAAGUAAUCUGGCUUAGAAACUGCUAGGCUUUGGGCAUCUUAAAACUUUGUAUAGUUUAUGUUAAAAAUUUAACCAGACCUAUCAUUUGUGAGGCUUGUGCUUAAUCCACAGCACUACAAACACACAGAUAAACCAACCCACAAAAAAACACUGACUUAAUCAGAAUCUCUUACAUGAAGCUUUUAUGCUGUGUUUCUAAAAAUCUCACCGGGUAAGGGUAAUGCGAGGCCAAUUUGAGACUAUGCCUAAUCACCCUCACAACUGUCAUUCACGCAGAAUUUUCCAGAAUAGGAAUUUGACUUUAUUAGAUGACAUUGAGAGAUCCUUCACUUCAGAUUCUAUUGUUAAGCAGUUCCCAGGCCAAAUAUUGAAAGUUUAAAUCAGUCUUCUUCUUUGGCUAACACACGUAUGUUUGGCAUUCCAUCCAAUCCUGCUGGGUCCAGCACAGCUCUUGGAAUUCAGGGGAAUAUGGUGGAGGAUGAAGAAAUGAAAGUGAGUCAAAAUACAGAAAGCCGGACCCCUCUCUCCUGAUGGGAGAAAAGGACCUGCCCAACAACUACAGAGUAUUUAUACAAUCAGCAAGAGGUUGAUAACAGGUGAAACCCCUCUUCUGAUGGGAGGAAGGACUGCCUAACAACUUGUUUGUCUUGCCUUGGGCGCUCUGUGUUCUUGGGCUGGCCUUGCUUUUGCCCACAUGCAUGAUCAAUCUUCAGGGCUGGAGGAGAGGGGAGAAGGACACUGGCUAGAUUCCUGAGAACACUGAAGUACAGGAUUGCUGCAGAGAAUUCGUAGGACUUCAUGUCCUAAGCCACUGGCCCUUAGGAAGCCCUUGAUAAAUAAGCUGUGAUUUUAUUUUUAGUAUUCUUAUUUCCUACAUGAGGAAACAAAUUUAGUGAUUUUCUAAGUGUUCAUGUGACAGCAAAGUGUUGAAACCUCAGUAAGUGUUCUGAAACCAGACCUUGGUAGUGUGGAUGUGGGUAGUCACAGAAACUCACAUUCUUUGUGCCUCAUUCCCUUUUUUUUUUUACUAGGGAUUGAACUCACAACCUUGAACUUGCCAGGCAGGUGCUUAUGCCACUGAGCUGAAUCCCCCCUGCCCCUGUGCCUCAUUUCUAAACAUUCAAGAAUUCAACUCUCAGAUUCUGAUGAGUGCAUUCUGUGAAAUGCAUUUAAUUUCUGGCACUUCCUGGUUGAAGAGAAUUAGUUUGUAGACUCAGAGCAUGUUAAAAAUUUUUUUUGGAGGAAGAGAGAUAAGUCUUAGUCUCAUUCCAAUAGAGUAUCUUGGUUCCCUUUGGAUUUAAUGAGGAAAACCAUGGUCUAAUAAAUUUAAUUAAUGUAUCAGUGCAUCACAUUUAUACUGGAGUCCUUAAGAAAUAUGUAUGCAUCCACUGAAAAUGAGCUAACAAACUAGGAAAAGUUACUAAUAAACUCUUAUUAAUGCUACAUUACUUAAUAAAAGCAAGAUUUUUUAGUAUACUUGAACAAAUGAUGCAGAUAUUUGAUCAUAUAAAACCAUUUUUAUAUUCAUUUUAAUUCUUACCAAGAGGGCUAGUGUUUAGGAAUUCUAUCAUUUUAUCUAUAAAAGAAGCAAGGAGUUAUGUAAAGACAUUGAUAAUAGUCAAAUGUAGAAACACAUAUGAUAACUGCAUAUACUCUGAUCCUGUUAUUUUAAAAAUUAUGUGUGUGUGUGUGUGUGUAUGGGAGCCUGCACUUAUCUGGAUAGUUACAUCAAGUCAUCACUGGAUGGAAGAAUUACAGUUACUUUAUACUCUUAAUUUUUUUCUAAUUUUUUACAAUUAUUAUGAAUAGUUUUUGUAAUAAAAAGUUACUUAAGAAUUAUCUUGAUGAAAGACAGAAACUUUUUCUUAACUACUUUAGCAUACAUUUAGACAAAAAUGAACUUACAGUUCUUUUGCUAUACUAUUUUCCUUUGCUUAUUAAGUUAAAAAAUCUUCUUUUAUUACACCUUAUUAAAAUCCCUUAAAAACUGGAGAAGUUACUGUGUUGGUAAAUUAAAAACAAAUCUCUGAACCAGAAUCUCCUGUGCAUGCUUACUCAGACAAUAGAUUCUUGGAUUUCCAUCUCACACUGAGUGAAUCAAAAUGUUUGGUGAUAGUAACCAGAAAUGUGCAUUUUUAUUAUGCAUUGCAAGUGUUUCCUGCAUGUAAUUAAAUAAUAGAGUCUUCCUUCUGCUCAUAGAUCUCUUUGUGUAUAGUAAUCUAUACAUGGUUAAAGUACUUCUUAUGUCUUUUUCAUCUUGGAAAUUUGUAAUCACUAUACAUCUGUAUGAUCUUCAUUUUAUUGUCAUGUUCACUAAAAGAUUGAGAAGUUUUCUUAUUUUCUCUGAAGUAUGAGACAUUGUGGGAGUCAUCCAUUUAGCAAGCAUUUUGGGCUUAUUUACAGAAAGUCUUGCUGUAUGAGUCUGACCCUCUCUCUCUCAUGCUCUUGAGGAUGGAGCCCUAGCAAGGUUGGCUGAGAAAAGCCAGAGAGCCUAGUAGUGGAGAACUCAGUGAUUCUCAAAGUGUCUUGCACAAGGAAAUCCAAGACUUCAGUUUGUUAAAGAAUAACUUUAAGAAACUGUAUUUCUUUGCUGGAACAAUUGGUUUUCAUAAGAAAACAGUAAAUCUGCAUCUUGUGUUCUGAGUGGUUCCAUUCUUUUGAAAAAGUCAUUGUGUCAGGGAAUUCACACAAUUAGUGUGUUUACUUUGAAUGUGUGCCAUCCUAUAGAAGGUACAGUCCAGCUAUCCUUAGUUUCCUGUUGAUUGAAACAGUUUGCAGCAAGUUAGUGCUAAAUAUAAACUUGGAGACAUAUCAUCUUUCUGAAUUGGUCUAAAAUGCUAAUUUUCAAAUUUAGUGUGCAUCAGAAGUAUCUGGAGGGCUUGUUAAACCAUAGCUAACUGAGUCCCUCAUCGGAUUUCUAAUACUCUUAAGUCUGCUGAGUGGCCUGUGGAUAUGCAUUUCCACCAAGUUCUGAGUUUCCAGAUGUGGCCAGAAUUAGUACACACUUUGGGAACCACUAGCAUCGCAGGUAUGUCCCAAGGAUCAAGACUCAUCACAUGUAUCAUCUGUUUGACUUUUCUCCUGGAAUUCUGAUCAGAAACUUUCUAGAGGGUAUCCCUUUUCUGAUUGGGUAAUCAGCAGUGUUUUCUUUUGGACAUGUGUUUCUGUUUGAUGAAACCAAAUUCUGGCACUAUUUGUUUCCUUUUUUUUUAGGCUAAAUUAAGUGCCAGUGCUGUUUCUCUUUAAAGGUUAACAUAGAUUAAAGCAAGCCUGAUAAAACGUUUCUGUCUACCAGUUGGGCACUACAAUUUUCCUUGCAAAUCUUGCCAUUGUCACCAUCCCCAAAACAGGUUCUUUCCCGCAUACAUUAUGUCCCUUCCUACCUGAACAGGUUUUUUUUCACAUCUUUGUGCCCCAAACUCAGCCCUCAGCCACAUUCUACCCUGAGAUGGUCUUUACCAAUGAUGGUAAACCUUGUAGAGCUUUCAGUGAUAACAAACAGCUGGCUUCAGCACAUGUGCCAUAGAUUGGCCACCACUGGAUACUUAUAACUACACUCUAAAAGAUAUUUAUACUUAAUAGUAAAGCUUAAAGCCUUCAAAGGCUAAUAGGGCUAAUAGGACUACAGUGAAAGAUGGAUAUGUGCCUUUGCCCUUGACCCAGCACUGGUAAGAUUAGUCUGGGAAUCCCUGGCCUUGUUUGCAGCUCUUUUGAAUUGGCAAAAGCAGCUGGAAUAUAUGUCCUGAGCUGCUAGGUGGGACAGACCAGAGCCUUCGUGAUUGAGUAUCUUAAAUGAAUUGUUCAUUGAUUCUUCAUUCUUUAGAGACUCGCCAGUGGAAGGCUUUGGCCAAAAAGCCAUCCUACUUCCUCUAGGAAAGAUCAUUUGGAGAAUGUAGUUUUCUAUUGGCUUCCAGGGCCUAUUGCCCCUGAAUAGGGACAUCAGAAGACACUAGCCUUGACCUGAAAAGGUGAGACUUUUGGAGUUCAGUGCACUUGCCCUUUCCUCAUUCCUCCUUCUUAUGACAAGCUUUUACUCCAUUUUUUGUAGGUCUGCAAUAGUAUCUAGGUGGCUCUGCAGCAUUGAUACUCAACCAUUUUAGCACAGGAACUGGUUUCCUGGAAGAAAAAAAAAUUUUUUUUAAGAGGAGAGAGGGUGGAGCCAGGACAGUGGCAGGCGAGACUGGGUUUGAGUUUAGAUUCUGGCCUUACAGGAGGCUGAGCUCAGGGCAUAAUGUAGGCAAUGCUGAGGCUGAGCAGCUAUAAAUUAGAAAAAGCUCAUCUGCUGUGCAGCCUGGGCUGGGAACCUCUGCCCUAAAGUGGCAUCCCUGAAGUACCUUAAGGUCUCUAGGAGCUUAGGGACGCACUGUCGUUGGCCCACUUGCAGGAACUUAGCUUGGAGUCACUCUUUUCCUGUUAUCAGCCCUUUCCCUUCCUGUUCUUCAUAUAUCACUUCUGUGGGCUCUGUGCUGCCCUUACUCCUGCCUGGAGAUGCACGCUUGCUCCCUCCAAUCCCCUCCUAUGCCUGGCUUGCUCCUUUUCAUUUAGGUCUGUAUAAAAGUUUUAAUUAGACCUAUCAAAUAGGACUCCUGAGUCCUACCCAUCCCCUUCUUCCUUUACUACUUUUUCUUCCUAAUACUUAUCACCACCUAAAAUGUGAUUGUUUAUGUAUUUAUUUAUGCAGAAGGAGUAGCAUAGGGUUUUUUUUUUUCUUACUACUGUGUCUCCAGCACAUACACUAUUGCCUGAUAAGAGCAGAAACUGUAAUAAAGAUUUGUUGCACAAGUGAGAAGUGUGAAGAGCAUAUCACUGUAAUGCGAGUGGGAUUGUUAGCACAGUAGCUUUGGUGGCUUGAGGUGAUUAUGAGUGGGCUGCCUCCUUCUCCCCUCAACCCUUCUUGGUAACACCAUUGAGGAUGUAUAUACUACUCCUAGAGUGUAGCUGAAGUCUUGAAGGGACUUUAGCUGCAUGGCUCUGCUCUCAAAGGUCUGGUUCUAUCUACAAAACCACACUGAGAUCAACUCUGGUCUCUGGCAAGCCCUUGCAUCAUCUGCUUGAACUCUAACUGGAAAGCAUCAUCCAUCUGUCCCAUAGCACCGAUGAGAAAUCAGUGCUUGAGCAGUCAGUGAGGGCCAGUGGUAUUGUUUGGCUGGCCAUCUCUUAUAAUUACCUGGAGUGAGGGCAGUGCUAAAGUGGAAAAAGAAGAUGGCAGACAAGACUAGCCACCAGGCAGCUUGAGGUCCUUUCAAGGAAGAGUCUCUAAGGUUCUGAACACCAGAAUGAUGUUAAUCAGGAGAUUUUUUGGUAUCAGCAUUGUCAACAUUUACAUUCACUUUACACAUUGGAUUUGCAUCUGAAAAGGCCAACUAUAAUCAACAUUUAAGGGAUAACACUCAAAUUUGCAUCUGAUUGAGCAGACAUGUUAAGUAAUUUUAGCCUGGCUGUUGCUAGGAAACCAAUUAAUAAUGCUCCACGUUUCAUUAAAAACUAGAUUCUAUUUUCGCUUUUCUGAACUUCACAAUUCAGCUGCUUGUGCUGAACUUUUUCUCCCUCAGUAAAUUGUGACAGACAAAUUAUCAUUUUACUUAAUUUAUUUCUGUGAUUACAAUUGUUAGUCAUAUCUGUCAAUACAACUUCAAAGCUUCUUUAUGUGUUACAGGAGAAAACUAAAUUUUAGCUGUUAAUCUUUUUUUUUUUUUUCUUUUACAGUGUAUGGGGACUGAAAUUAUUUUUUGUAAGGGCCUUCCAAAUUGCAGGUUAAUUAAAAAAAAAAUUAAAGCAAUCUUCCCUGUUCCAUAAUUGCCUCUUCUCAGUGUAGUGAGUAAUAAUUAGAAUAUUAGGCACUAUUCAGAAAGUGACAGACAGCUGAUUAAGCAUUCAGCUGCAUUUUGUUUCUUUCUGCCUUUCUGUGGUUUGUAGGCUAGACCAGGUUCUGUCCUUUAUGCAGUGUGAUUAAUUUUUAAGACUUUAUUUUACAUAAUAGGCUCCUGCUUCUUUUGAAGAAAAAAUACAUUUUUAGCUACUCAGUACAUCGUUGAGCCAAUCAACAGGGCAGUUUCAUUAAAACAGCCAUGGCAUUGUGCAGUUUAAUAUUUGGUAGUAUUGAUCUGGUCAAAAUGCUCAUUAAAAAGCAAAAUUAGCUUCUAUUCACAUCUGUUUCACAGCAUUUCAAUCACUUUAUGUGAGUGAUGCAUACAAAUGCAUCUGGUUCUUUAACUUUGUUAAAAUGGUGAUUUUGCCCAUUCUAAGGGGUAAGAGAAACAAAAUGCAAUCUGCUUUUAUAUGUGUGGUUCAUUUCUUUGAUCUUUUGGCCCUGGAGAUAACAUGCAAAGGAUAUAGAAUUUAGAAGCCGAUAGCCCUUGAGUGAAAUUAUGGCCCAGUACCUCUGUAGGUCUGUGCCUCAGUGUUCUUAUUUAUCAAAAAAGGAAGGACAGGGACUGGGGAUUUAGCUCAGCGGCUUAAAGCGCCUGCCUUGCAAGCAGGCAGUCGUGAGUUCGAUCCCUGGUACCGAUAAAAAAAAAUAUAUAUAUAUAUAUAUAUAUAAAAAAGGAAGGACAGUAUUGGGAGUAGAAGAUGACCUCUGGGAUUGUAAAGUCUGGGGGUUUCUUUCCCUUUUCCUUCAAAAAUAGCGUGGGUACUGUAUUAGUUGACUAGCGCUAUCCUAAUACAGUAUCUCAGGCUGGUUGGCUUAGACAAUAGAAAUUGAUUUUCUUACAGAAAAGACAUUUAAUAUCAAAGUGCUGGCAGGGUUGAUUUCCACAGAGGCCUCUCCUCUCAGUUUGCAAUGGCCACAUUCCCACUGUGACCUCACAGGGUCUGAUGACUAUGCAUGCAAGUCCCUAGUGUCUUCCAGGGUCUUGAUCUGCUCUUGGAAUAGAUCAUAUUGAACCAGGGCCCACCCCGAUAGCCUCAUUUUUUUAUCUAAUUGCCUCAUUAAAGACUCUCUUUCCAAAUAGAGUCACAUUUUGAGGUCUUGGGGUUGGAACUUCAAUGUAGAGUUUUGGGAGGAUGCAAUCAGCCUAUAACAGGCACAUGACAAUUGCAGACUCCUGUUCACUCAGUCUGACUCUUUCUUAGUGGUGACAGUGCCAAAACACCAACUGGAAAGAAAGUAGGAAAUGGGUUCCUCAGUUAUGGCUUUUCUAGUUAGGUCAGAGUCAAUCAUAAAUACUCAAUACUGCUACAUCUUCCCACUUUUUUGGCUACUAUUUCAGCCUUUCUGGACAUAAUCUAAGGAUAUUUUUGUUUCGUGACCUCAGUAAUACAUGAAGGUCAUCAUUUGUAGCAUAUUAAAAUCUUUACUCUCAUAUCAUGCUACAUAUGGAUGAAUAUACAAGGUGUAAGUAAUAGAAAUAAAUGCCCAUUUCACUUUUUAAAUGAAUUUUGGAAAACGGUCAGAUGUGGCUGGCAGGGGCUAAGCUUUAGGAAUAGUACACAAAUGGGUGGCAGGCAUAUAGUGACACAGAAUAAUGUAAAAAAAAAAAAAAAGGUCAUUCAGUUAACACUUAUUGAGGAAUUGUUAUAUUCCACAGUGCUAAUCACUUUGGGGAAUUUAAAAUGUAGCAAGGAAAUAAACUUUGAUUAAAUAAUAUAGUUCUACCAGGACAGCUCUCCUAAGUGCAGGGAAAGAGAGGCUUAUGAUGCCCUGAGAGUGAGUAGUAGUGGAGACCAGAGAGAGUUGAGCUGAGAUUCAGAGGGAGAUGAGACUUACUUCCAUGAACAGGUGAACAGUUACAGCUGCAGUUCUGGGAUGGGGAAGAGUUAGAAUAUGGGCAGAAACAUUUCACAAGUGUUGAAUGCAUGUACAAAGAUCCUGAGACAGAAUGGAGCUUAACAAGGAAGACUGAGAAAAGGACAGAGUGAUGGUGCAUGUACAGAAGAUUGCAAAAGGAGGAAUGAGAAACAAGAAAACAUAAGCAAUUAUGAAGUAGUUCAGGAGGGUCUGAAGUAGGUGAGUACAGGAAACAGGGAAGGAGAGUUGAGGUAGUGUUACAGAGAGACUUGGUGAAUGGGUACCUUAGUAUAUCAGGGAGGGUUGAGUCAAAAAUGCCCAAAAUCUAAGGUGUUAGGAGUCCAGGCAAGUUGGAAAAUAACAUAUUGACACAAGCAGUGAGAUAGGGUAUGGUUGGAGGGGAGGGAAAACAGUAGUAUUAAUAGUUAAUAGCUGUAGUAGUUGGUCUCAGAGGCAUGUGUUUUAUUUACUUUUCUUGUUCUAGGACAAAUAACCCAGCACCCACAAAUUAAGGAAGGAAAGGUUUAUUGAGCUCACAGCUUUUAGAAGUUUCAGGGCAUAGUCAGCUGGCUCCACAGCAGUUUGGCAUAGCAGUAGGCAUCACUGAGGAGAUACAGUUCAUGGUGAGCAAAGAUAGCAAAACAAGCAAGCAAGGGGCCUUAAACUUACCUUUCCGUUACUUUUAUGCUGUAUCUAGGCUACUGGGAACUGAUCCUUUGUUGUUUUUGCUCUCUCUAAUUGGUCUCCAAACCAUUCACUGGACGGAUUUAGUAAUCUCACACUCUUUUUUUUGUCUUUUUCAUUUUUAUCGGUACCAGGGAUUGAACUCACGACCGCCUGCUUGCAAGGCAGGUGCUUAUGCCGCUGAGUUAAAUCCCCAGCCCCUAAUCUCACACUCUUAAUCCCAGCAUCACACACUGUAAACUCAGCCAUCUCUGAAAAAGCUCCACCUAUCACUACAUGAGGCUUUGGGAGCACAUCUAGACAUAAGCCAUAACAAUUUGGGUGUUAUAAAGGCAAAUUACCUCCAUUAGGAACUUGCAAGCUGAGAAAAGAUGAAUUCGGGAGAGUUGUCCCAGGGCUGGAGAGCAGGUUUCUGAACAGUUGUCUGUGGGCACCCUUGAGAAGAGGCAGCUUCUUGAGGGUGGGAGUGAUCAGGGAGAUGGGGUGGUCUCUUGGUUUGCAGGGCUCUUGGCUUCCACUUUAACUCUUUCUUGGAGAAACGUCACAGAGAUCUUGGGCUCUAUGCGCCUUGUUCAUGGCUGGGCCCUUUUACUCCAGGGCAUUCUCUCUGCCCUCUUCCUCAUUUUACUUCUUACUUACAAUCGCUUUAUUUUUAUUUAUAUAAUCUACCACCGUGUCUCCCCUGGGAAGUUUCUAGCAUGUGUCUAAUCCCUCAGCAUACCCUAUAGGGACUGAUCCUUUGUUGUGUUUGAAGUAUGCUACUCAUUUCUCUCUGUCUCUUCUCUAUCUCUGUCUGUCUGUCUGUCUCUCUCUUCUUACUCCCCCUUCUCCUCCUCCUCUUCCAGAGUCUCUCUCUCCCUGUCCUGUCCCUGACUUCAAUCUCUCUCCCUCUCCCUCAGUUUUUCUCUCUCUCCUCCCUUCCCUUCUUCUCCCCUCCCAUCUUUUCUCCUCUCAGAAACUGAUCUGUAAUAAUUAAAUUCAAAGCUUCAAGUAACAAGGAAAUGUGUGUAAUACAUAUCAAAUAAAACUUGAAGGAUUAAGAAAGGAGGUACAAAAGCAUUUGCAAUAGAACACUAUAGCUUUCACAUUUUUACUUUUAAAACUUCAGUCCAUCUGAAAGUUUUAGUUGAAAAAAUUGAGAGUAUCAAAUCUAUUUGUGUUCGCUUCAGCAGCAUAUACACUAAAAUCAGAACUAUACAGACAAGAUUGGCAUGGCUCCCAUGUAAGAAAAGACACAGAAGUUCAUGAAAUGUUCUGUAUUUUUAUUUAUUUUCAUGAAAAACUCAGAAACAAAAAACUUUUUUUUAGCUUUUCCAGCUGAGAUGGAUCAUUUUCAGAUUCAAUUUCCUGUUUUCCCCUUCCUUUCUUUCUUUGUCAUAAUUCUUUGGAAUACCACACUGGUGAUCAUAUAAAAUGAGCUUGAGUAAACCAGAAUUCUGUCAUCAAUGAGAGUUUUGCCAGACCUUCAUUGUCUUGUAUUGCUUUCGUUUUAAACAAAUUAAUUGCAAAAGAUAAUUUAGUGACCUCAAAUUGUACAAUUCUGAAUGGCAAUUUGUGCCUGUGUAUUUCUUCAAGUUAGGCAUUUGCUUAAAAGAUAUUCAUGGUGAUGAAUUCAGUUUCACAAAACUUGGCAGCUCCCACAAGUAAUUGAAUAGCAUAAAUUUUGUUUACCUCCGUAGUGUCUAGACUAGAGAAUUAGAACCAUGAGUUUAUAAGAUAUAUUUACACAAAUAAAAUAGUAUUUAAAAAAUGUGUUUCCAGGAGGCCAACAAUGAAAUUUUUGGUAUGGCACUUGGCCAAGAUAUCCAGAUAAAUGGGAAGUUGGUCCUGUAUCUCAUGUCAUUCAAAUGAACUCCAGCUUGAUCAGUUCACUUUAGAUGUGAAUGAAAUAUUCACAAAGUAUUGUGAGAAAGAAAACAAAUGGAAGGAGAAAUCAGAAAGGAAUUUAGAAAAUGUCUGGUUUAUUCCCAUUUUAUAAUGACAAUUGAUCUUGUGUGUACAUGUAUGUGGUGCUGGGAUCAAACCCAGACCCUUGCACAUACUUGUGCAAGUACUCUACCACUAAGCUGAAAAUGGAUAGUUUUUAAAAGAAUUUCAAAAUGUGAAUGUAUAUUUGGUUCCACUUAAAAUUAUCAAAGAAGAAAAUAUACAUUAAUUUCUUUACAACCUUGAAAAGAAGGGUUGUUAAAAGUGACUCAAAAUCCAGAAACAAUAAAAGAAGAAAAUGAUAAAGUUGAUUAAAUUCAAAUAAAACAUUUUUACCUGAUUUUUUAAAAAACCAUAAGCAAGUUCAAAGGACAAAUGAUAAGCAGAAAAAACUAUUUUCAGUGGACAAAAGAUUAAUCUCUUUGUAUAAAGAACUGCUACAUAUUAAUAAGACAGACUUUACAGGAUAAUAGAAAAAAAGGCAAAGAACAGGAACCAAUUAUUCAUAAAAUAAGAAAUGCAUUGUCUUUUAACUUAAGAAAAAAUUUUCACCCUUACGUAGAAUAUGAGAAAUGCAAAUUUAAACAAUGCUGAAGUAGUACUUUUUGUUUUAUCAGGUUGUCAAAAAUUCUAAAGAGUGACAAUAUUGUUGACUAGAUGUGGGAAAAUUAGUGUUGUACUUCUUAAGGCAGCACAAAACGGCGCAACCCUUGUGAAGCCAGGUUGGCAGUAUCUAUCCUGAUUACAAAUGCAGUUACCCUUUGACCCAGCAAUCUGGUGCUGACAGUUUUUCCUGCAGAUACAUCUGAAUACAUAUAAAGUGACAUACACAGGAGGUUUUCCAUUAAACCAUUGUUUGUAAUAGAAAACAUUGGAAACAAUUCAAAUAUCCAUUAGUGGAAGACUGACUAAAUACACAACUCAUCCAUACAAUGGAAUGUUGUGCAGCAUUUUUAAAGAGAACGUGGAAACUAUAUAUAUCUAUCUGGAAAUAUCUGCAAGAUGUGUUAUUAAAUGAAGUAAGCAAGAAAUAAAAAAUAGUAUUCUACCCUUAAUAUAAAAAGAGUCAAAAUUUGAGUUUACCUCUGCUGUAUCUGCGUGGAGUAAUACCAAAUAAACACAAACAGAAGGAGGAUGUCAGUAAAGGGGGUUCAUGUAGCAGGUGGGUGGGGAGUGAUAUGGGUAGGGAAAGAGUAGACAGAUGCAGGAUGGGAGCAACACUGUGCAUUGUAUUCUGCUGGAUUGUUUUUAUUUUUAAGCCAUGGAAAUUAGUAUCUACAAGUUUUUAGUUAAUAUUUUAAAAUUUGCAUUUCAGUCAUAGUUUAACAUAUACAACAGCCAGAAAGAUUUCCCUAAAACUUGUUCACCUUAUGUUGGAACUGUUGACUACAACUUCCUCAGGGUGUCGCGGUUUUUCAAGACCUGUGCUGUCUGGUGUGGUAGACACUGGCCACAUCAACGGAGAACUUAAAACACACCAGUCCCACUGAGAUCUGCUGCUAGUGUGCCUGAUUAGAAAGACUUAGUAUGAAAAAAAAUGUAAGGUACCACAUUCAUAGUUUUAAAGAUAUUAAUUACAUGUUAAGUGAUAAUAGUUUAGAUUUCAGGAUUUAAAAUAUAUUUUUAAAUUAAUUUCUCUUGAUAUUUCCUAUCCUAAAUGUGGUUAGUAGAAAAUUUUUAAAUUAUAUAUGUGGCUCAGCUCUGUGGCUUGUAUUUUAUUCCUUUUGCACAGCACUGAUAGACUCCUGCCCAUACUGGGCGUGUCUGCCAGAAUCACUUUAAAAAUACAACCUUAGCAUGUUACUUUCCUGCCUUAAAUCCUCCCUUGGCUCCUUGAUGCCUUCAAGACCUUUGUAAUAAUCUGAGACCCUUCCUUUCCUCAUCUCUGCCAUUCCUCUUACACAGACAUUGUUUGUCUUUACUCACUGGGCUGCAGGCCACUUCAUAAAAUGAAUCUUUGAACACACUGUCUCUUCUCUUGGGAAUGUCCCUUCAGCUCCCACUUCAUUGCCUGGAAAACUACCCAUCUUAUAAGCCCAGUCCAUGAGGACCUUUUGUUAGUUCUUUAAUUCUCUUGUCCUGUACCCAGUCCUCCCCGUUUUUUGUUUUGUUCCAGUGCUGAAAAUCAAAUCCAGGGCCUCAUGCAUGCUAUGCAAAUACUCGGCCACUAAGCUACACCCUAGACCCUUGUCCCAUUUUCUUGUAUCAUCUGCUAACCCUCUGCGUUCAUGCACUUAUUGUCUUAAUAUCAUAGUUACCUUUUGAAGUGAAUAGUAGUAUAGUAGUCUAUAUGUACCAAGCUUGUCCUGUUCAAGGGAAGAACACAUAUUAUAUUCAUUUUUCAUAUUUCCAGAUCCUAGGAAAAUGAAGUUGGUCAUUCUCUGCCCAGGUUGCCUGGCUGGUAUUUGUCUGGUCUAUAUAUUAACGAAAGCCAGCUCAAAGCUGUAGGUCUUCCUUGGUUAAGAACAGACUUUUUUCGAAUGUUCUAGCUUUACAGAGGCCAGCUUCCCACAGGCAUAAGGUAGCAAUUUGUAGAGAUGUGAGUAGCACUAUACUGCGUGAGAUCUGGUUUUCAGGGCCAUGUGCAGACUGAAAGAUGAGGUAUUUGUGUUCAGUUCAGAGAGCAGAAUUCUCCAGGCUGGCUAGGUUCCUGUGUUUCUAGAAGGUAAAGGUGGCAGGUGGUUACCAGAAGGUGAAAGCGUCAGGGGAAGCUGUCCGGCUGCAGGAUUCUGUGACCCGGAAUAAUGAAGUUCUCCAUGGUCCGGUUGAGGGGCUUGCAUGUCAGUGCCUAUUCUGCGUGGAAAAUUCUUCUUGCUUGUUAACCUUUCCCUGUGAGAAGCUCACAGCCUUCUCUUCUGCUUGUACAGAGUUGUUUUUGCUCAAAAGAAAAAUGAAAAAAACAAAAUAUUUUAUGAUCCGUGAAACAAAGAUUUUCAAAAUGAAAACUAGGAACUUUGCAAAAACUUCCCCGAGGGUCGGUGCUUAUAUCCAAAAUUUAGAAGCAUUAUUACCAUUUUUCAGAAUCUGUUUAUUUCUUAUAUAGCGAUUCAGUUAUUUUCACCAGGCAAAGAGUUAGUUCAUGUGUAACUCUCCUAGUCGACUGAUUAAAUAACUUUUUCUUUUGCAAAAUAUUAAGGGCCAGUAGUGAAGUAGAAAGUGCUAGAAAAUGGGUCUGAGUCUAGGACUGCCACUGAUCUAUUGGUAUGAGCGUUAGCACCUCUGUAAGCUUCAUUAUCAGUAAAAUUAGGUUACAAGUGCAUUCAAAGUCAUAAACAUUAUAAGAGUGAGUGAACUCAGGCUCCUAGAACAGUGCCUGGCCAACAUUAGGUUUUAGUUGGUAAGAUUUGUAGUUGCAAUGUGAGUAUAGGUUUUCUUUUGCAGUUGUCGAAUGUUGAAGGCCAGAGAGAAGUGUGUCGUCUCAUAAUGGAGAUGACCUGCCAUAAUUUUUCAGUAGCCAUUGUUCAGAGCCUCACAGCUAUCCCCAGGAGGGAAGACAGGAGGGAAUCGUCAGGUACAUGGGCUGGAAUGACUUUGCCAUUAGUCAGUUCCAUAAGGACUCACUCUGCCUCUUUAAUCCUCUGUGUAAAAUGAAGGUGGUACUCAUCUCCAUCUCUAAGCCCUGUCUGCGUAAAGCAACAGAAACAGCUUUGGUUCUACAACAUUGCUUAUAGCAGUGAUGGCAAACCUUUUAGAGCUUUCAACGGUAGAAACAUCCCGCUGCGGCAUGCGGCCGUAGGCUCAUCGCCACUGGCUUAUAGGGUAACAGACAGCUCACUGGCAUAGACUUGGAGCAUCUGGAAACUGUGCCUCAUGCUUCUGUCACCUCCCCACAGCCCAGCACCCAUCCCUUUUUCCUUUGGGAUUGUGUCCAGAGGCCCAGAUCGUUUCCUUGAGCACCACUCCUGUGUUCACUCUCAUCCUCCAGAAAACGACCUGGCUCUGUUCCUCACCAGCAACGUUUCAUUUUCUCCAGGGGUUGGGAUCUGCUCCUCAUCAUUCUUCUGACAAGGGAGAGUAAUCAUUUUUAAGAGGGAGAUUAUCAGUGGGCCUUUUUUAAAAAGUGAGUUUUGUGCUUGAUACAAAUUUUUCUGGACGUAGUGCUUUCUCCUCAGCGCGCCGGGUCUGUGCGGCGGCCCUUCUUCUGUGCCUCUUGGCCUGCUUCUGGCUUAUCUGACUGUCAACCUGGAGGGGGCCCUGCUAUCACUUUUGCUGGAGAUGGAUGAACACAGCAUAUUGUGUGCUUCAGGACCACAUCAUUUGAGCUAGCAAUAAUCAAGACUUGGGGUUAAUUAUCAUUGUAAUUUCAUUGUUGCCAUAAUUGAUCUUGUCUUAAAAUGCUACUAUGAUAUUUAUUUUGUCAUUUGAUUAAAAAUGAAAAUAAAAUAUUUUUGAUAAUAAACUUUGAAGACAGAUCCUACAUUCAGUUCUUUUUCAAACCAGCUUUACAAACUUCAAGUGUGCCUUUAUUAGUGUGGUAAUUUGUCUGCAUUAUAAUAUUGCAUCUUCAAAAUGAAAGAAAAUUGAAACAGUUCAUCACCUCAUUGAAGUGAAAAUCAACAUCUGAUUUGAAUAACGAGGUCUCCCCUACAAGUUUUGCUUCAGUGAAUGAAGCUAAAGAACUGCCCUCCACUGUCAUGUUAGUGACGUCCCGUGAUUCUGGUGCCUCUGAUCUUGCAGAUGAUCACUGUGACGCUUUUACUCUAAUCCAGUAAGUUUACCUAAAUCUUUUUGUAUAAUUUGCAUGUAUUUCAUGUUGAUUGUGCUUCUCUAGAGAACCCUACUCCACUGUUUUUUAUUUUAAAAUCAAAGGGAAAUCCUGUAUUACAUGUUCUACCUCAGUAAAAAGCUUACUGGAUGAAUGAGUCAACAGAUAAACCAAUAAUGAUGUGAAACAAAACACUAACAAAUAAAACCCUAAAAAUGAGUCUCCAAUGAAAAAGUAAAAUAUAGAAGCAAAUAAGAUCCCUUCUUCCUUCUGUCUGUCUGUCCACCCAUCCCUGCUUCUUUCUCCCCUCCCUUCCCCUCUCUUCCCCUCCCCUAUUACCAUACUGGAGGUUGAACCCAGGACAUUUUCACUGACAUAUAGCUCUAGCAUUUUUCAAAUUUUUAUUUUGAGACAAGGUCUUACCAAAUUGCUGAAUUGCUCAGUUGCCCAGAGUAGGCUUAGAUUUUAAUCCUUCUGCUCAUCCUUCUAGAGUUCUGGGAUUAUAGUGUGUGCCACCACACCCAAUUAACCAGUCAGUAUUCUCUGUUUCUUAUUUCUGUUCCUUUAGCCAUAAUAAGGGUGCAGGGAGGCCUGUAGAUUUGCAAGAAAUACUUACUGCAUUUAAUUAGAUUAGUGUUACUUUGUUAAAUACAAAACAAGGGAAUAUCCUUUUAUCUGUAAAUACUUUGAUACUCAGAUUGUAUCAACAUGAAACAGACUAAGAUUUGUCUAUUAAUCAGUGCCUUACCUUUCUUCAAUCAUAACUAGACAUCCACUGCAACAAGGUCUCAGGAAAUUGUGAACCAGAUUGUAAGCAUUUUUCCCACUUAAAAAAAUGCCAGUUUUGUUUUCUACUGCUCGCUGCACAAGGCUAAGGGGAAAACAGAAAACUUUUUGAUGAAAUCUAAAAUACUUUGUGGGCAAGGCUUUCAGAUGGGAUAAUUGCAGGUAACUGAGCUACCGUUUCACUCUGAGGCCAGCCAUGUGAGUCCCUCGCCAUGGCUUCAUCUUAGGACCAGGGAGCAGAAAGCACAGUCCUUUCUCACCUAAUUUGCUAAGUUCUGUUAUUCAUCAGAGAAUCUACCUUUUUAGUUGACUUUGUCUCUUAACCAUGCUUCUUUUCAAAUUCUGAUUUUUAAGGAAGUGAUGUUUCUUUUUUACUCAUUAAUGAGUAUGACGUACAAGAGUCUCUUGAUUUCUUGAGUAAUAUGUAAUUUAAAAUUUGCAGCUUUCUAGGUUUUUUCCUGAUGAUGUCUCAUUAGGUACUAUUUAAAUUGACUUAGGUCAUUUAGAUUACAGGCCUUAGAUUCGUGUCUCCUGGGUAGGUUGAGUUUGUCUUGACUUUUAUGCCUACUUGGCCUUCCUCACACAGGCAAGAUGAGGUCACCGCGUUCUACUGUUUUUUGUUAAUUCUUGAACAGUUAGGCAGGGCGAGGGAGUGAGAAAAACCCCUGAUUCAACCACCUGUUGACAGAAUUUGAGUCCUAGUUCGUCACUCACUAGUGCAUUAGUUAGGACAAAUUAGUUUAUUUGUACAAAAUGAGUUAAAUACUAGCUGUUUCACAUUGUCGAUAACUGACUGAGAUGGUGUCAUUGGAAGUGCUUAAUGCUGUUAUUGUUACAGAUGCUUUUUCAUGGGAAGCUGAGGGAUGUACAUGGAGGUAGUGCUUAGAUCGUUAUCAGAAAAAUAUUAGAUACCAGAGUUCCUGAACAAGGGAAGGACUAGACCAUUCUUUGUUAAAGUUAUUUGAAUUUUUCAUUUUAUUUUGCCCCACUUUUACCUUCAAGUCUUACCCAAAGGUCUUUGCCCACUCCAUUGUCCUGAAAUAUUUCCCUUUUCUUAAAAAAUUUUUUUUCAUGUUUCAAGUCUUACAUUUAAAUCUGUAUUCCAUUUUGAGGCUUUUUUUGUAUGUGGUAAGAGAGAGUGGUCUGGUUUCAUUCUUCUGGAUGUAUAUGUCUAACUUUCCCAUCACUUUUUGUUGAAGAGACUUAGCAUCCAGUGUUUCUGAUAUUUUGUCAAAGAUAACUUGGCUAUCGAUGACUGGGUUUAUUUCUAGGCUUUCUGUUUGUUCCACUGGCUUAUAUGUUGUUUUUAUGCCCAUGCUAUGUUGUUUUGGUUACUGUGGUUCAGUAAUAUAUUUUAAAGUCAGGUAUUGUGAUGCCUCUUGUAUUGUUCUUUUUGCUCAGAAUAAUUUUGGCUAUUUUGUGUUUCUUGUGCUUCCAUAAAUCUUAGGAUUGCUUUUUUCUAGUUCUGUGAUCAGUAGCAUUGGUAUUUUAAUAGAUUGUAUUACAUCUAUAGAUUGUUUUGGAUUAUAUGGGCAUUUAUCAACCUUCAACUCACAAAAGAUAUAGGUCAUGGAUAUCUCUCUCUCCUCUUCAAUUUCUUUCAUCAAUGUUUUAUAAUGUAUAUUACAGAGAUCUUUCGCCUCUGGUUAAAUUUAUUUGGACACCAAAGAUAUGAACUGUCAUGCCACCAAAAUGUAAUCGCUUGGUGGUUCUUAGCUGGUAACUUGGAGGUUGAAUAUAUUUAGGAUUUCUGGAAAAGGUAAAUUUGAAAAGAGACCACAGAGUUUAUCUAAUUAAGAAAUUAACUGAGGCUGAGAAUGACUGGGAACUAGAAAAAAGCAAUGGUGAGCGUAGUGCCUGGUACAAAAUCAAUGGUGAGUGUUUGUUGAAUGAAUAAAUGGAUGCAAUACAGAGAACUUGUAGCACUGAGGCUGUAUUUCAGGUUAACAAUCACUCCUGGAAAAGCCUGCCCUCUGGAAAAGAAUAGUCUUCACUCGGCCCAUUUGUUCUACAGAGUAUGUUUCCCUGGCUCAGGAAAUUGAGAGUGGCUCAGAUAAGAUGUUACAUAAACACCUUUAUUCUUAUGUCACUUUGGUUUCAUUGUAGGCCACUGUUUAAUAAAUCAUAAAAAUGUUUAGUUUCAUCUUAGAAUCUAAGAGUAGAACUCUGUCUGAAUUCUUUGACAGUAAACUAAGUUAGAUGUAUGUAUCCAAUAAGAGUAAUGAUUACUUUACCUGUUCUUUCUCCUGAACCACUACAGAAUGACAUUCGGUUUUAAUAAGGUUGUGACUUAGGUCAUCAUGUCUUUAUUUCUUGGACCUUUGAUUGACUACAUUUUAACUUAACCUGUUGGUCUUCCAUGUUGAUCUCUGGCUUAGAGUGUAGAGUGUAAUUUUUGAUUUAAGCAGCAAACUGAGAUAGACUCAUUUCUUGGCCAUUUCAUGGUGCAUAUCAUGACACACAUGUCCAGUUUAGGUUCUGUCGGUGUGGACAGUGACUGCAGGUAGUAAGACAUUCUCAGCCCUCCAUAGCUCUUUGCUCUACUUCCUGUAACACCAACACCACCACAUGGAUUAAUAUUUGAAUAGGAUGUACCUGGUUUUAAAAGUACUCAGAAUUGCUUCAGGAGACUGGUUGUAAAACUCUGUACAUGGUGCCGAGUGCCUUAAGGUGCUUCACUCAAUAAUCACUGGAAACUUACUCUAGUGGGAGGUUUGGGAAGUUUGUGAAUUGGUUGAUGUUUGAGGCACAGAUUAAAAAGUUUACCUGUACGACUGAUUUAGAUGACAGAUUAAUUUUAAGGUUUAAAUGACAGAUUAAUUUUAUGUUUGCAGUGUGAACCAUUUGGAACUGCUCAAACUUUAGCUGCUUCUGCUGCAGUUAUAAAUUUGAAGUCAGCUUUGUUCUGUCUUCCAGGAGUAAAGCAACUGAGAUAUAAUUGAAAUAACUUUCUGAAGCUCAGGAUCUGGCAGGAACUAAGGAAGUUCUGUAAGCUCUCAGAUUCUUUCAGGCCCAGCCUUGUGUUCGUCCACUAGACCAUGGGGCCUGUAUGGUAGGUGAAAGUGUAAACAUACAAACCGGUGUUUCUGAAGCCCGUGGAAUUGCAUGUCUCUUGUUCCUAUAUAGUACAGUGUUUCAUAGUGGAGUGCAUAAUGUGCAGAGCUGAAAGAAGUAUUUAUAUGCAGCCUGUCAGAGGUAUGCUUGGUAUGAAAACCAUAAGUGAUUUGCCUCACUGGUUUGUUUAAAAUUCUCAAGCAUAUUGCUAUAUUAACAUAGCCUUUUUUACUGACUCUCUUGUAUAUUGGGGGGUGAGCAUGUGGUGAAUGAAAUAAAUACACUGGAGUUGAUCCUCAUCAAGAAAAGCAUAUCAUAUUUGUGUGUGGCUGUGUUCCUUCUGCGUGGAAAAAGGCCUCGACAUGUAAUGAGUUACUAAUGCAUGUGAGACCCUGUGUCUCCCCAGAACCCCGUGUUGUCUUGUUGCUCUAGAGUUCUAUAUAUUGCAGUGAUGACAUCCUGCAGUUGGUGCAUUGACGCUGACCAUGCCAGGUGUGCGAGAGGUUAUUGGAAGAGUGGCUGUUGGAACAUUAACUCCAGAUUCCCUGACUUGUUGUGUGAUGAAAAUACUUUGUGAAGUUAAACCAGUAUCAAAAGCAAGUGAAAAAAUACAAUUUUUGGAAGAAAAAUCAUGUGUGCAAUACUAGGGAAUUUCUUUAUUUGCUAUCCUUUGCCCUGAUGUAAAUGCACUCAUUUUUCAGUAGUUCCCUAUUCUGAAGUCAACUGGGAGACUGCAUCCACAGUGAGGGUUCUUGGUAACUAGGGCAACCUGCAUGUGGGCUUGCCCGUGUGCCAUCUUUAAAACAAUUUUCCUUCCCACCUGAUCCUCCUUGGAAACAUGUUGGGGCUGGGAGAGAGUUUUAAUGCCGAAUACAGUAACUGUCUUGCUUGUUUGUUUGUUUUGUAUUAAAUGAAGAAGAUAAAAGCCUGGGUUGAUAAGGAUGAGAGAUCAAAUUCUCGUGUCAUCACUCAUAUAAAGUGAAAAAUACAACCUUGUUCUCUAUACACUUGUGUGUUUCUUUCUCUCUGAUUUAAUCUCAUUGUAGUGAUAUAAGACAAGCAAGCCAGGCUUGAUAUGUGGCCAGUAAGUGAAAUCUAAAUUUUCCAACUUUGGUAUUUGGGUCUUUGAUAAAAUAUGAUUCAACAAGUUACUCCUUUCUUAAGGGACCUGAGGGUAUAAGAAAAGAAUUUCUCUUACGGAAUCAAAAAGUGAGCUCCACAAAAUUGCUUCACUCUCAAAUCUGUAUGUUUUCUCAGUAAAGCAGCUUGCUUCUGGGUUCAGGGACCUGAGAUGCAGUUUUACCCACUUGAAGACUCUCUGUGUUCAGCUCAAUUAGAUUAAUUUACCGUCCUCAUUGGGAUUCACAGUGUUUUGCAGUUUAUCUGCAGUAACCACCUGUUGGUUAUGCAAGCAAAGGUACUAUUAUUGGUCACUAAAGGCCAUGGGUUCUUUUGAAUGAAUGGAGAACCUUAACCCUUUCUUUCUUUCUUUCUUUCUUUCUUUCUUUCUUUCUUUCUUUCUUUCUUUCUUUCUUUCUUUCUUUCUUUCUUUCUUUCUUUCUUUUUCUACCAGGUAUUGAACUCACGGCCUCACACUUGCCACACAGGUGCUGUGCCACUGAACUAUAUUCCCGGCCCUAACCAUCACUAUUACAGAUGAAAUAUGGGAUAUCAAAUUGAGUUUUGUGAGACUUCUGUACUUUAAAGAGAAUUGUCAUUUGUCUUCUGUAUCUAUACCAUCUUGGCUUGGUGUCUCCAUAAGCAAUUUGGGAGGUUCCAUAACAGAACAUAUUAUUUUCUGUAUCUCUUGGAGUUAUGGCUUACUUUCUCUUCUCUUGAUUUCUAGAUAGAGGUUAUUCAGUGAUUAUCUUUUGGUAAUUUGCAUUGAAACGUAACCUGGGUGGGAUAUGGUUGUAUCAUCAUGGCUGACCAGACGUCCAGGACAGAGUCCUCACCCUUUAACAGCCUUAGCAUGAAGCAGUAUUUCUGAUACACAGUGAAGCAAGAUCAAGAACCCUUUGGAAUCUUCAGUGAUCACAGCUAAUCUCUUAAUCUCUCUUUCUCCUCCCUUUUGUCCCUCUCCAUCAGAAGACAAACAAGAAGCCCUAAUUUUGAUUAAGAUAAUUAUUUAUAGAGUUAGAAACUGAAGAUGGUCUAUGAAUCUAAUCCUUUCCAGAAUCUUAGUGUUGCAGGAAUUCUCAGUCACCAACCUUUGUGCUGAGGUAGAUAAAGAGGGUGGUGGGGGACCACAGUUCAAAGCAUGACUAAUUCCGAGCAUGACUGGCAGGCCUGGGACACAUCUUCAAUAUAACAACAGUGGUAACAACAGGAUUAUCCACAUGCAAAUGCCAGGUUAUUUUGCAGUUCUUUAUUUCAUGUUAGAGGUAAGGGCAAACCAUUAAAUUCUAUUUACCAGUAUGUUUAUGUGUCUGCUGUGCCAUUUUCUAGGUACUAGUUGGAAAGAACAAAAUCAACAUUUUCUACUUUUGCAGAGUUGAUGUGUUAGCUGUGAAGACACUGUAAGUAAAUGAAGUGAAUGAGAUACAAAUGAGGUUAAAAAGUGAAACUACUGUAGAGAAAUGUCAGACGAGGGAGAAGAAGGAAGGUGGGGGAGGUUUUUAUGGUACUAAUAUUAGGAUCAGAGUAGUUGCCUAAGUGAAAAAGUAUUCAUGAAAUAACCUGAAGGAGGUGAGAGGGUGACCAUCUCGGAGAACAGCACUCCUGGGAGAGUGACCUCUAGGACAGGGGACACUGAGGUGAUAGCCUGCUUCAUAUGGUGUAAUUGGAAUGAGGCUGCUGGCUGUAGGAGGAGGAAGAGGGUGAGGGGAGACAGUGCUAGCACCAUGACUGGGCAUUUCCUCAAGGGAGAUGCAGAGUCACUCCAGAUUAGGCAGAAGAGUGACAUGAUGGGUGGAUACUUUAAUCGCAUCUCUCUGGGUGCUGUGUUCAGAAUACACUAACAUGAACAAGGCUAGAAGCAGGGAAACUGAUUGGAAGGAUAUUAUAAUAAUCUAGUGACAAGACAGUGGUCCUGCCCUGGCAGUAACUGUGAAGGUGGUGAGGAAUGGUAGAAUUCUGGGUAUAUAAUAGAGGUAAGGUCAACAGGUUUGAGUUUGAGGCAUGAGAAAAAGAAGUCAAGGAUGACUCUAGAAGUAGAUCUCAGCAACUGGGAGAAUUUGGUUAUCAUUCACAGAAAAGAGGCUGAGAAGCGAGAGUAGAUUCUGGAGGGUGGUGGAAAUCAAGGAUCUUGGUUUUGGCUAUGAGAAUUUGAGGUGCUGUUAGACUUCAGAAUAGUUGUCUGCAGCAGACAGUUGUUAGUUUUCAAGUCUGGAAUUCAAGGGAGAGGUCAGGACUGAAGACAGGCACUUGGGAAUGUUCAGGGUGUGGGUGGCAUCAAAGCAAUGGACUCAUGUCUGAGAACCAGUAAAGGAAACUGAGAAGGUGUGCAGUAAGUGAAAAGGUAGCAGAUGGUGCUGGAAGCUAAGCCAGAGUGUUCCAGUGAGCAGGGAGCAACGUCUCUGUGCAGUGUUGUGUAGGUGAAAAACAGUUGUAUCAACUGGUCAGGAGUUCAAACCCGGAAGUGACUCCCAGGCCUGUGCCUGGGAAGUAGCUAGGCAGUGCGCAGUUAGGUUCCCUGUCGUUCCACCAGCAGAGUCCUGUGGCCAUGCCUGCCUCUGUGCUCUGUGUUGCUUGUCAUGGUGUGCUCUUUGCACUGGUGAUGGAUCUGUGAGUAUUUUCCCUUGUUCAGUAUAGUAGCAGCAACAUCCCAUAUUUCCGUGAUUUCGUUUGUCUGAAAAAUGUUCAUUUCUUAUCUUCUAUGUAGAUGUUAUAGAACAUUAUGUAGAUGUGAUAGAACAAAAGAAAAAAAAGGUUAAAACUAUUAACAAUAAUCCCGUCACUCAGAAGUGACUAUGCUCACAAAUUGACAUAUAGCCUAAACUUUUUUCAGCCGUGUAUGUAAAUUCACUAUUUUUUUCAAAAUAUGAUUUUGAAUAUUUUAGAACCCUUUUAGCCAACAAUAAAUAUUAUGAAGAUUUAUCAUUAUGUACAUAUUUAUAUAUUUAUUUUAUGAAAAUCAUGCCUGUGUAUUUAUAAUACAGUAUAGUUUACCAAGGACAGGGCAAUAAAUAACAGUCUAUUCCCAUGAGAAUUAAUCCCUAACUAGAACAAUUAGUCCAGAAAUAUUGUUAUAUUAACACUACUAUAUUCACUGAGUCUCGGCACAUAAGAGGCACUGUUGCCUAGGGUUUUAGUUAUAUAAUGUCAUUUAAUUCUCACAGCAACCCUGGGAGGAAGAUAGCAUUAUUAUCUCUAUUUCUGUAGGUGGGACCCUGGGAGAUUAAGACCCUUUUUCUUGGUUAUGAUACUGUAGGUAGGUGUUAGACAGAUACGGACUGAAUAGGGCUCCACAGCCCAUAGCAUCCCUCGCUGUCCAUUUCUUUCUUCGUACUGUAUUUUUAUGUUUGAUCCCAAGCUAAACUUUCCCAUCAGUUGCCUUCCUUUCCACAGUCUUCAUAGGGCCAGCAGGCGGCCAUAGUGGUGGCAAGUGCUAGGAACUGGGUUGUUGCUUUUUAUUUAUCUGUGGUUCAUAAGACAGCAUAUAGAAAACUAGAGUUUUGUCCCUCUAGGUUUGCUUUGUUACAAAUAAAAAGUUCUCUGUCUAAAAGGUGCCUGGCCAUACUGAUCCUCUUUGAGCUAAAAAAAACAAAAACAAAAACAAAAAAACAAGUAAUUUUCCCUAAGUAGUUAACCUAUGUGUUUGUUUCUUUACAGAUUGUUGAAUGCAUUAGGUACACACUUUAUGUAGGCUUAAUAUUUAAACAUGUCAGUGCUUUUUGUGAUUUCCUUUUAAAACUGCUGUAUACCUUAAUCUUUUUAGAUAUUCUUACAUUAGGAUAAACAUAAUACAUAGCAUAUAACAUGUAAGUAAGUAACAUAUAAUACAUGGCAUAACUUUGUGCCUGUGAUAGAGCUGUGUUUAACAUGUAACAUCUAGCAGUAGUUAAAAAGGUGAAAAGCUGAGUGAGUGACAGAAAUACCAGAUUCUUUGUGUUGGAUUUGUGCUGUUUUUUUUUUUUUUUUUGAAACAAGGUCUUACUGUGUAGUUUGGACUGGCCUAAGCUCACGGUGAUUCUCCUGCCUCAGCCUCCAGAGUAUGACACCACACCGAGCUGAAGUCAUUGUUUUUGAAAUCACUGCUCUGGUAUUUACAAAAUCAGUAUGUUACAGUGAGCGUUACAGUGAGCAUAAGAAGGAACUCCUAUAUUUCUAAUGCUUCUGUUAUAUGUAAGUAGAGAAACAUGAUUGAUUACCUCAGUAAGAAACUAGAUGAGCUUCAAAGCAAUACUGUAAGUGAAAAUUUCCAUGCAAAUGAUGGUAUUAUUAUCUUUUCAGGCACUCAAUCAUAUGAAGUGCAAAUAACUACUAGUACUGAUUGUUAGAUUAAAUGAGAGUUUUGUCUUUAUUGAAAAAGUGGAUGAAUGCUGUUAUUGAACCUUCCAGUUUUUAAUUCAGCAUAAAAAUAAUGCUUAAAUACUGCUACCUUAAACAUGUUUCUUAGUGGACCUGUGACCACUGACUACAAAACUGGUUCAACUAUUUCUCUGAUUCUUUUCUUCUAAUCAGACUUUUGCUUCUCAGAAUAUGGUAGACUUUGGAACUGUGCAUUUUAGUGGUGAUCUUGUGAUUCUGUUUCUUUUUCUAUUCUGAACUUAUUCUUUAAUUUUGUAUCUAGAGUGAGGACAGUAUGCAAGCACUGCUGUAGUAACUAGUUAAUCUGAGCCUUUUCCUUAGACACUAAUUGUGUGGAUUAUGGAACCUUACUAUUUAGGGCAAUAAAUUAAACUUGUAGAAUUAUCCUUAUCAUUCAUAUUACUGUAUUGAGACCUCACUUUAUGUGUGUGAAAGCAUUCAUUCCUAUCCAUAAGGGGAAAAGUCAUUCCAUAUGAAUUAUAUCUUCUUAGUUAUAUGUACAUAAAUUCUGCGUGAACAAAUAAUAGUUUCAAAAAUGAAACAUUAUUUCAGUUAAUUAUAGAAGUUCUGGGCAAGUUCGGAGAUAAUGAUCUGAACCCAGAGUUCAGAGCUGGGAGUGUAACUCAGCAGUCAAGUGCUUGCCUAAUGUAUUUGAGGCCCUGGGUUCCAUCUCAGAUACACACACACACACACACACACACAUUAAAAUCAUAAAACCUAGAGUUCAUGUAAGGAUUGUGGUUUAUAAAACUACUCUAUAUACUGUUUUAGAAAUAUGGUUUAUAGUUUAUUUUGAGCUUGAUUUAUGAACAGAAGUAUUAAUUUCCUUUAUUAAAGCUGAACGAUUUCUCCCCUCAUCUUUCCUCAGAACUUGUCUCUUUUUUCUUUUAAUAAGUGGGGAGUAUGGAACAUACUGUCCAUUUCUCUUCCUUCCAAUGUUAGAUUUCAGACUAAUUAACAGAAUAAAGCAAGCAUCUUUCAAAAACUUGACUUUUAGUACUUGGAUAUAUAUCAUCAGAGCCAUUAAAAAGAACAUGAUGUUUAGUGUGUGUCUCCUCCCAGCAAGCAGAACCUUCCCGUGGCUGUUCCCAGUGUCCCCGGAGGCCAAAUACAGCUCCCAGGACAAAUCUUGUCCCUAGAUAGCUUUUAAAAAUACGUUAAAAAACUUGUCCAUCUGACAUAGUCCUCCUCUUUUUUGGUGACGUUCCAAAGCUUAGAAGAGUUAACCUUUCUAAAGUAGAAUUUAUUAGCUUAAAAAAAGUGUUUUAAUCUUAGUGUAAGUUGUGAAUAGACACUGAAAAUUUCAUAGAAUUUUUUCCAGAUAGCUUGAACACAGUCGUUUUUUGAAUUUGUUUUGUUUGUUUGUUUGUUUUUAUUAAGGCCUCAAACCCUUCAAUGCUGAAAUUUGGGAAUAAGACUACAGAAAAGAGACCAGACAUGGAACAUUUGGGCAGUUAUUGGUCAAGAAGUCAGCAGUAACAGCCUUCAGUCCUUAUCCUGACUGUUGCUUAUUAGAGAAAGGGAGAAGCUCAUGGUUGCCUGCCACGGCCCUUGAGAGAAAGGACAAUUAGUUAAGAACAUUCUGUUUUGUUUUGUGAAUAGUUCCAGAAGAGGAGUUUAGGCAUGAGUGUGCUUCCCCUUAUGGACUUUUCUGAUGUACUCGAGGAUAAGAGUACCCUCCUUGGAGUCUUUUCCUGGUGACAGGGUGACAUGCUGUGUAGGGUAUGCUCAGCAUAGUGCCUGACACACUGUCACUGGACCAGAAGUGUCACUGUUGCCAUUGUCAUCAUCAUUAAUCCCUAUUACCGUCAGAUGCUUAACUGUGAAUCUAGCAUUUUCUCAUCCCCAGGGGGAUGCAUUGUGUUGUAUCUCAGAAAGGCAUCUAGUGAAAAGAUACUCUUAAAUAAAAAGGAAACACCGUCCCACUUUAAAACUUGUUUUACUUUCUAUUAGGGAAGUCAUAUGUAUUUAUUCAUGUCCUGUGAUGUUGCUGAGCACCUGUGUUGAGCGAGGCACUUUGUUAGGUGCCGAAGAUGUGAAGAUGAGAAAGCAACCCUGCUUCCUACGCUUCAUUCAGGCAGCUGGAGCAAAGCACUGAACCAUCGCCUGCGCAGCUUUCACAGCAGACACUCACACCUCUGCAGGCUGGAAGUCCAAGACCGAGGAGCCUUCAGAUUCAGUUCCCGGCUGGCAGAUAGCUUCCUUCAUGUUGCGUCCUCGUUGGCCAAGAGAGGGAGGAAAAAUAAUCCCUCAUGCAUCUCUCUAAAGGGCACCAAUCCCAUUGUAACAUCACCUGCAGAUAUCCCAAAUGUUGCGGAUUAUGACUUCAGUGGAGACUGAAGAGAUUUGGACCAUCACAGGGCGUUUAAACUUUCUUUGAGCUUGAGACAAGUAAAGAGGCAGCUGCUAUGCUAAAUAGUUAUAAAAUACAGCGCGGGCCUCAGCACAGACUUGGAGAGCCAUGGACACCUGGAGAGUCAUUGAAGCUGGGACUUCAUGAGGAGCAGUAGAGAGGCCAGGAGAACAGAGGAGCAGUGUGCGCACUAGGCUGGGGCAGGGCGAGCACGGCACAUUGGAGGAGCUCGGUGGUGCAUGCUUCUGGAGUGUGAGGUCAGGAUGUGGAAGUGGGAGAGGAGGAGGCAGGAGCUUGCAAGCCUUGGAAAGGAGAAGGGAAAGAAACAGGGGAAGGACAUGUUGACAUUGAUCUUUUGGAAAGAUCAUCCUAGCCACAUUGUGGAAGCACAAUUGGAGAGAGCCAGACGGGGCCCAAGUGGAAAGGGCUUUGAAUAGUCCAGGGGAGAGAUGAUGAGGCCCUGGGCCAGCUCGGAGAUGCUGUACAUGAUGACCAUCGGAUAUCAUUCAUGUCCUGCACAUAAGAAUACUUAUGAUGCCAGACACUGCUCUGAAGGCCUCUCCGGUGUAUACUCAUUUAACCCCCCAAACUGUCUUUAGGGAUAUGUACUACUCUUACUUCAGCUGGACAGGUAAGGACUAGGAAUAUGUUUAGUCAUGUAAUUGUAAAUGGUAGGACCAGGAUUGGAACCCAGAUAGAUUGGCUCUUGACCACAGUAUAUAGUGACCUAAUUCAAGACCUUUUUAGGACGUAGAAUGGACAGGACUGGUGGUGAGUUUAAAGAUUGGUGAUGACCCAAGGAAAAACUAGUUUUUGGUUGGGGCAUCCAGCUAAAUGUUGGUGGCUGUCACUGAAGUGGGGAAUACUUGGUGGGAAUAGACUUGUGGUUGGGUUAGGUGAGAGAUCCAUCUGGGUAUUCCUGACAAGUGACUUUCCAGUGGAAAUAUAUAGGACGAGGCUCAAGAGAGAGAUCCAAAGUGGACUAUAGAUUUAGACAGCAGCCUUGUGUAGGUGGUAAUGAAAAUUACAGGAGCCAGUAAGGUUGCUCAGAGGGAGAAAACAAGAGGGGCUGGAAGAGAAGAAACAAGAGGAAGUGCAGUGCAAAGGAGACAGGCCGCAGAGAGCUGGGGCUGGACGCGGCGUAGGAGGGCGUGUGCCAGGAGCUGAGGAAGACCACAUUCGGAGGAAGGGGCGCAGGCUGUCUGUGUACUGCCGUUGGAAAGAUUGAGGGGCGACCAUCGAAUUCAGUGGAAGUAGGUCACCUGGUGACUCCACAGAGCUGGUUCCUUGACCUAAUGCGUGUGAAGCUGAAAGUGCAUGGGGUACAGGCAGACCGGGAGGCAAGCCUAGGGGGCAGCCAGGGGGUUAUUUCAAGCAAGGCAGCAGGUGGGCUUAGAUUCUGAUGGGCAGACCGGCCCCAGAGGAGGCUGGCAAGGUGAGGCGCCAGAGCUGGUGGGGCCAGGGGGCUGGAGAUCCCUGCAGAGCUGAGGCCUUGGCCUCUCGCUGGGCGAUGAGCUGGCAGGAGAUGAGGGCCACUGAAAUUGAAAGGUAGCAAGGCCAAAUUUCUGUGCCUAGAGGGAUAAAAAAAUCCCUCUGGCAGGGGACAAGGGGAUCGCAGUAGAUGUCAGGAGGAAGGCAAACUCUAGGAACUGGCUUAUUCUAGCAUACAAUUAAUUGGUUUGUUGACCCUUUGAAGCCUCAAGGUUGUCAUCAGCCAGUAAAAUCUUGUUGAGCUUUGUUUUUCUAUUGCUGAUAUCAUUAAAAGUGUAACAAUCUGAGAAGUUUAGAUUUAUUCAAAAUGACCUUUAAAACUACUGUCCUGCUCUGGAGAUCUUUAAACAGCCUGGUAAGAAACCUCAGCUGCCAUCCUCUAUCGGGAAUCUGAGAGACUGAGUGUCAGCACAGAGGAGCUCCUUAGGCAGGGGCGUGGGGCCCACUGGAGAAGAAGUGGGUUAGGGUUAGAGUUAUCUGCAUGUGUGCCCCUAAAUUUUUACCUGUAUAAGGCUGCUUCUUCAUCCUCAUUCUGCAGCUGGUACUUUAUGUCUAAUAUAGGACAGGCUUGAAAAAGACUUCCUGUCUCCAGUGUGACUUGUCUCCAGCUCAGAAUCACCCUUUCUCUGUGGUUCUCAUCUGAGCCUUCCCUCCUGUGUUUCCCCUCUCUCUGUCCAGGUUCCUCUGGACAGAAGCUUGGGCUUCUUAGCUUGUGUCAACCUUGGAGAUUACUCUGGAGUACUACCCCAGCUGGGUGCCUAUUAUCCUAGAAUUCUGGGAGGCUGAGGCAAGAGGAUUGCAAGUCCAUGACCAGCUUGUGAGACCCUGUCUCAAAAUAAAAAGUGAAAAAGAGCUAGGAAUAUAGUUCAGCGUGAAGGUCCUGGGUUUAAUCCCUAGAACCAAAAACAAACCUAGUACCAAAAAAACACUAUAAAUGACGUCCUGUCACCUUCAGGGUAGAGUUCUAAGAUCCAAGUCUCAGAGGUCUGUGGGUCUAAUAACCCCACCUCUCUGCAGCCUCUGAGUGUCACUGAGGAGAGAGGUUACAAGCAGCCCUGGUUGCAAGUACUCCUUAGCCCUUGAGUCUCAAGUAAAGGCAGUAAAGAAGAAAAAUUAGUCUUUGUUAUUUCAGAGUGGAAAUACAGCCCAAGCAAAUGUGUACUGUUUCAUUUAAAAAGAAAAGAAAAGGCUGGGGAUUUAGCUCAGUGGCACAAGCGCCUACCUGACAAGUUCAACGUGGAGAGUUCAAUCCCCGGUACCAAAAAUAAAGAAAGAAUGAAAAAAAGAAAAGAAAACACUGGUGUGCCUGCUGACUUGAUUUCAUGGUACAAAUUUUUUUUAAAAAAUUAAUAAUAGGGGCUGGGGAUUUAGCUCAGUGGCAUAAGCACCUGCCUUGCAAGCAGAUGGUUGUGAGUUCAAUCCCUGGUACCAGGAAAAAAAAAAUUAAUAAUAAUGAUAAUAAUAAAAAGCAGAAAGACUCUGCCUUAGCCUUGGUUCUUAAUUGUUAAAUGAGUGAAAAAUUUUGCCUGCUUUUAGAUAAAAGUGGAUUUAAAAUAAAACAAACCGAGCAGCCCCAAUUCCCACUCAAAUGUAAAACCCAGAUUUGUCACCACUUUGCAUUAGUCAUGUUGUCCAUUUGUUAAUGUUCAUGUUCCUGUCAUCGCACUGCUGUCCACAUUUUUAUUCUGAAAUACGUGUUGGGGCCGGGGAUUUACUCAGCAGCAUAAGCACCUGCCUUGCAAGCAUGCGGUCAUGAGUUCAAUCCCUGGUACCAAAGAAAACAAACCAAAACAAAACAAAAGACAUAGGUGUGAAACGGAGAAGCAUGGAGACAGAGGCCAGGGGGCUGGGUGCAAGGGCCCAUCUGGUUCAAAGGUAGCCUUGAACAAGUAACACCUCAGACUCUUCCAUAAGAAGUACUGCCUGGUCUAGAUUUUUGGUUUCUAUUUUUUUAGUAAAAGAGUAUAUAAUGUAUAAAACAGUACAGGGACCUAUACAAAAUGUCUAGGAACAUAGUACUUCUCAAGUAUAAACGGCUUCUCAAAUAUAAGCCUUCUAAAGUGUGUUCUUUCCCAGUAUAUUUUUCUAGGUAAAAAUUUAAACUUCACAUUCAACUUUCAGGGUAAGCAAAGGAUUGUUCUCUAAUAAAGCUAUUUUAUUUUAUACUCAAGCUCCUACCCUUUUUUGUAAGUCAGCACAAUUAUACCAUGAAGGUUCUGUUUUCAGGAGGCACACUGUCACAUUUCACUGUCACUCUAAUGACAGUAAAAUGUGUUGGAAUUUAGAUCAACUAUUUCUUAAUAGAAAUCUUAAUAGACCUAUUAAUUCAGUGUUUUAUAGCAAGAUGGUGAGACAUGGUCACAGGACCAUCUUCUGCCAUUGGUCCAGUCAUGGGGCAUCUAUUAUGUGCCACUUUUUCCAGAAAAUUCCCCUGCUGUGGACACAAGCCUCCAUCUUCCUGCUUAGCUCAUUUUGCGUGUGGAUCAGGGCUUGUAUCAGGCUGUCCUUUCAUUUAAGCUAUGUAAAGGUUUAUUUCUUUAAAUACACAUAUAUUAAUUGUUUUACUGAUUUUUCCACUCAAGUGCCUCAGCAGUGUUCAGUUUGUAACUUUGCAUAUUUGUCAUUAUUAUCAAUAUUCUAUUUUUGUUUUGUGGUGCUGGGGAUUGAACCCAGAAGAGAAUGCUGAGUGGUAUCCCCAGAAUUCCCUUUUGUUGUUGUUGUUGUUUUGUUUUGUUUUUUUACUUUGAAACAGCUUCUCCCUAAAUUGGCCAAGCUGGCCUCAAACUUGUGAUCCUUCUGCCUCCGCCUUCAUGUUCAUAUUAUCAUGCGCUAUACCUGACAUGUUAUGAAGUUUUCCAUGUGUGUAUUCCUGGGCUUCUCAACAGGACUAAAAGGUACAGUUCAGUGAGUGCUUGGGGAAUGGGCGGGCGCUGAGUGCGUGGAGGAGCAGGUGCUGGCAGAUGGGCUGCCCGGCUACAUGCUGACCCCUUGCUGGAAGCAGAGGGCCAACUUCACAUGGGUAUCCUCGAGUGAGGCCCAAGGUGUUCCAAGAAUAUUUAGUUGUUACUGCGUGUGUUUGUGUGGUAAUCUUUCGUGGUGGCUUGUCCAGCAUUUCUGUUUCUCCCUCCUGAGUGCUUAGUAGGAUUACCCUUUCCUACCCUUUGACUGGUGUUGGUCAUUCGGUUGGUUCAGAUGACUGACCAUAUCAGAAAGUCUGGGUUUGUGUAAAUGAGUUCUGGCUAGAAUUCCAAGUAGGAAAUGAUGUGCACCACUUCUUAGCCAGAAUGUGUAAUUGCUGAUCUGAAAGUGUCUGGAGUGAUCUUGUCCUGUUAGCAUGAUCAUUUACAACUCUGGUGGCUGAUCUGUCAGUUACUUUCUUCUUGCUCAGACAAAAUUGCAGACUCCCACAAGUUAAAAUACAAAAGGUUUAUUUUAGCUCACAGAUUGUAGAGGUUUCAGUACAUAGUCAGCUGGUUCCAAGGACAGCACAGGACAGAGGGGCAUAGCACAGAGAAACAGUCCAUGGCAAGGCAGGAAGGUAGAGCGUCACUUCCUUCUUUCCCUUUCUAAGCUAACCAGACUACAAGCAUAUUAGUUGGUGCCACCCACACCCAGGGUGCAUUUUCUCUUCUAAGUAAGUUUAUCCUUCACACACAGAACUAUGCCAGUCAGUGGGCCGAUCCAGUAUCACACAGUUCCUGAAGCCCCAGUUAUGAAGCACAUGAGGCUUUGUGGAAGCAUCUGUGUAUAACUUAUAACAAGCAGUGGCUCUCUAAAUGUUGACAAUAAAUACAGCCAUUGGAUCCCACCAACCCUGGGGACAAGUAGUGUGAAUAAGAAACAGAAAAGUGUGAUUUAAGCCUCUGGGGUUUGGAGGUUGGUCCUUUCCUCAGAAUUUAGCCUUUCCUGACUAUAUAGCAUUCUAUUUUCUCCCUGAAAGUUAUAACAUGCCUUUUGUUAUAUAAGGCAGCAUAGUGGUCAAGAGCCCAAACUCAGAAAACAAAUGUCCAGCUUUGGUUACUAGCUCUGUCAUGUACCAAUUUUGUGACCUGGAGUUCCUCGUGUGUAAAAUUGAGGAUUUAACCUGUAUUACAGAAUGGCUUUGAGAAUUUAAUGAAUUAAUAUUUGCAAAGAGAUUUGACCUAUAGUUAAGUGUUUGUUAAGUAAAGUAAAUAAAUGUACAAAAGAGCUGUGUGCAAACUUGAGGCCUCGCCUUUCUACAGGCAAGGAGGGUGAGCUCUCAACUGUGGCAAGUCAUGCUGCAGCUGGUUGGUGACUUGGAGCCCACAGCCCACCUAUACCUGAAACACUCCCAGUGCUGCUCAGCUGGGCAGACGUGGAGCCGGGCACGUAACCUGGCAUGGUAAAGGAAAGUUGCUGAGUGUGCACUGGGACUCAUGGUGUCUCUAAGGUCUAUUUUCAUGUCAUUGUCCUGUUUCUGCUUAGUCAUGACCCCUCAGAUCUGAACAAGCCUAUGGCAGUGGGUCCAGCUCUGCUCCUCCUGCCCCUCAUUCUGCUACCCAAAUCCAGCCUCGCAGAGGUAUUCCUAUGUGGCUAUUAGACACUUACCCCACACUUUAUAAGCAUCCAGUUCAUAGAUCUCACCCAUUUAUUUUGCCUCCAGACAAAAUGUAGGUAUACUCGAUUAAGUUAAUGUACCUCUGCGGUUUGUUCCAUUGUGUCAAUGUUUGUUACUUCAUCUAUUUUAGGAAACAAGCUCCGAGGCAGGCAUUUGGCAUAACUCAUUUAUACAGGGCUUAGUAAAAUGCUCUGAGGAAUUAGAGGCACCUAAUAAAUGCUUUGGACUUUUGAAUGAUGCUGUAAUCAUUUUAAUGAAGGCUGAUGUUGUGUGUGUUUAAACAAAUGGCAUGUUUUCCAGCAACAUUCUGGCAAAUUAGCAGCUUCUAAAUUAAAAAAAAUUCUCAGCUUAGAAAAUAAAGUUUUUAAACUGUGGCAAUGUGCAGUGAUUUAUUACUGAGCUGAUUUAAGAAAAGGCUGAAAUGCAAUGAUGGAAGCCAAAAUUUAACUUUUUUUGCUAUAUUUGUUUGUUUUCCAAAAAGUUGGUUGGCAUGGCAAGAGUUGGGUGGGAAAGAGGGUAAUUUCAAGGCGUUAUUGUGAAUUUAAUCCAUAUUUUAAAAUUAGUUAAAGCCCCUAUAUUAGGUUAGCAGAUGUGUUUGGCACCCCCUCCUCCCAUGCAUGGACCCUUUUCAUUAGGAACGUGUGCCUGAUAUGGUGCAGAUGGUAUUUAAGCUGCUCGGUAAUAUUUUCCACAACCUGUUUUUAGUAAUUAGUCUUGAAUUUGCUGGUUCAAAAUACUGGACUGUUGGCAACUUUGUAAACUAAGGAAAGUGAAAUGUGCUUAGUGUGCCAGCAGAGGGCAGUGUAAGUCAGUGCUUUUUUCAUUCACGCUGCUGUAGUUCUGCAAGAGCCAGAAUGUUCAUCAGUUUAAGAUGCAAUUUGAGAAUUCUUAAAAAAAAAUUAAUUGGGUAUGACAAAACUCUAAAAAAACAAUCCUUAAACGGAGCCACGGAACAUUCUCUAGUGAGAAAACAUUGUCCAGAACAGAUUAUAGCUGCAGUUCUAUUUUUAUUGAUUUAUUUAUCUUAUCAACAAAUGUCUUUAUAAGUCACUUUAUUAAUGCACUUAAAGACAUAUAUUUAAUUUUAUGAUUUUUCCUUAGCUCACUAGCAGACAGUAAUUUUUUAUUAUGUGUAUAAAGAUUUCAGUUACGUAUUUUUCUGCCAAAAGGUAAAAGUUAUUUCUGAGUUAUAUGGUCCAGUCGAGUGUCCACAACUUUAGAGAACAGCCGCAAAAGACUGCCUUCUGUUACAGUGUACUGUGCUCUACUGCCAGCAAUGUUGUGGUUUACGCAGAAUUUUUCUCACUACAAAUCCUGUGGGCCCACCCUACCUGUGGCCCAUUUAUCUCCUUAGUUUCUCUUCUCUAGGCCUUGCCUCCCCUUUCUGUCUUUGGCACAAUCUCCAGUAAGUCCUGCUCACUUUCUCUCUUUUAGCGUCUUGUCUCACAUGUCUCUCUUGUUAGGGAACGAACAGUUGUUUUUCCUCAAAAUCCAUGUGUUGAAGCCCUCACCCUCUAGGUGCUUAGCAGUGGAGCCUGGGAAGCAGUGAUAAAGUUUAAGUGAGGUCACAAGGGUAAGACCCUGAUUCCACAGGGCUGGUACUCCUAAAACAAGAGGGAAAUGUGAGAGGGCCUAUAAUCCCAGCACUGUGGGAGGCUGAGGCAUGAGGGUUCCAAGUUUGAACCCAACCUGAGCCAUUUAGUUAUAUAAUGAGACCCUGUCUCAAAAAUAAAAAGUUAAAAAGGGGCUGGGACUGUAGCUUAGUGCAGAGGCCCUAGUUUCAACCCCCAGUACCACGUGGGGAAGAAAAAAAGGAGGUACAGACACUAGAAUGCUUUCAGCCACAUGACACAGCACAAAGGCUGCUGACUUUAAGCCAGGAAGAGAGGCCUGACCAGCAGUUGGCCUUCUUGUCACUGUGACCUCGAUCUUCUGGCCACCAGCAUUGCUGUGCUGCUGAGACCAGCUGCUCUGUGGUUCUGGUUAUGGCAACCCAAGCUGAGUGGUUCACUUUUAUCUUUUAAGGAUUCCAAAGGAGACCUUGGCUGUACAUUUGAGGUAGCAGAGUCUGUUCUGGAGGACCAAGCUGAAGGCUAGAAGGGAAGGAACCGUGCCAGGGAGGAAUCUGGGGAAAGAGAGGUAGGGAGUUUCUCUAACUGGAAAUGUCCCACCUUGCAAGCACAUGGACAGCAAAGGUAAACCCAAGCACGUACUAGACAUUGGGCACCUCUUUGGGGUGCUAUAUUUUCUGGAUGGGCUUCAGUCUGGAUAGGACUUCAGAUGUAUGCCCAUGACUUUUCUCACCUCUAUCUUACCAAGGCAUAUUGGCAGGAAGUCAAGGCAGUGGAGGAAAGAGGGGUUUGUUAAAAGACCAGGAGCAGAAGCUUGAAGAAAGUGUAGGCAAAGCUGGUGUCUGCGCACAGGGCAGGCUUUGGAGCAGCUUGCCCAAAUUUCCUUUUUCUACAGAUUUCCAAAUGCCACGUUCCUAAUGGUUCAUUCUUCCCUUGGGGCAUUUUUAUAAGAUAAGCCACUACUUUUUACCAGAAUGUAAUCUGGAAACAUGUAAUAUGUGUGUGUGAGGGGGUGAGGCAGGUAAGUUAGCCGGUAUUUCAGCACGGAAGCCAGCCUUUCACACCACACAGCCGUGGGUAAAUCAGCCUCCAUUCUGAGGGAACAUUAGCAGAAAGGGAAGUACAGAUAUCAGGUAGCCAGGCAGCUAUUUGUUUUUGUAUUUUCUUGAUUAGAACAAAAUUUGUAACGUCUGUUGCCGUAGCGCAGACAGAACUUGGACUUCUUCUCACAGGAUUCCAUUGCUGAUUUCUAUAUAUUGCCAGGCAUUAUGGCCUUACUUUGUGUUGAACGUUUGUACUUCUUCCCACUUUUAAGACCAGGGGACAUUUGUCACUGGUUGAAAUGAUCUCAUUUAUGUGUUUAUACAAUUAUUGUCUGUAAAGUUCUUUUGCAGCACUGCAGAAGUCCGUUAGGACCGGGCACGGGGAUGUGUCUCCACAUUGAUGAUGUGCUUGUGAGAAGCAUUUCUGAAUACGUGUCCAGGCGACUGAAGGGGAAAGUGUGGGUUUUACAGAGCACUGAAUUCUUUCAUUCCUCUUUGGCUUCUGCUACCAUGCCAUUACUAUGUUUGUCAGUGUUCCUUCGUGUAAUCAUGAAUCACGGAAUCAUAGAAUCAUUACAUGAUCCAGCUAUGUAAUCAGCUUGCCUGUGGUGUUGCCACAGUGAGGCGCUACAGCGUUUCCAAAGCAGGCCCACAUCUGUCUGCUGGGGCUGUUCUGGGCUCAGGUGAAAUUAUGUGCAAAUACUGCACCGCCCUCGAAGUCCUCUUGUUUUCCUCUAAAGGACAUGUUCUUGCUAACCUUAUUAUAUAUCAGCAGAAAAGCCCACUGACCUCACUGCCUGUAGACCUGACUAGAUGCUGUUAACAUGAAAUUGUCAGCUAUCAGGAGGAACUGGUAGCAAAUUAAAAAGGUGUUUAAGUGACAACUGUAAAAGAGUCAAGUUUUUUAGACAAUCAUUUGAAAUUAUUCCAUCAGUACUUUUUUGGUUUUUCAACUCCAAAUUCACCAGUUCUGACGAAUGUUGGGGGGGUGGGGUGAUAAAGCAGAUUGAAGCACUGAAAUGCCCCAAAUAAAAAUGCUUCAAUUUAAAUUAAACACUUUUAAAACAAAGAUGCACCCUUUUGCCUUCUUCAAAUCCACAUGAUUACUAGAACAGCACCUGAUAGAAAUCUUUCAAGGAGCAUGCUUUUAAUAAAGAAAUUGCAGCUAAUAAUUGAUGAUUUGCUUCUAAAUGGAAAUUUGCAAAAGCAGCUUUAUGAAGUAGUGUAAGCAGUCUCUUCCCUUCUUAGAUUGUCUUUUUGCACUUAAAAUUGUUUGCUGGUUUCUGAACAGACAGUAUAACAUCAAAGAUCAAUUUCAACUAUGAGUUUUAACUAAGUGGAAACCAAAAUAAGUGAUGUCAUUCCUUAAAGCAAAGUCUGUGAGUCUCCAUUUUCUCCUUUGGCACUGGUUAGUGUGAUUCUUUACCUUCUGUCACCUAACACUGGUGUUAGAACUUAAAUUAGUCCUGCCAUGUUUUUAAAAAGUAACUUGAAGCUAAUUAAAGCUGGUAGUUUAAAUAUUAACUCUUAUUCAUUGAGUUCUCUUUAUAUAUUACAAUACAAUGCUUGGAUGUAUAUGACUGUAUUUGAGGUUAUAUCUAAUACUUCAGAAAUAUCAUCAAUGAGAGGAAAAAGAAUAUAUCAUAAAGAUUCCAAGAAUCUUAACUUCUUUGAACUGGGAGUUGAAUGUUACUGCAGGUACUUGUGUAAUAAUCUAUUGUAGCAAAAAAAAAUUUUUUUACCCGCAGUAACACAUUUGGACUCAUAAACUGUAAUGCCAAGUUGAUUUUACCAGUAUUUGACCUACUGACAUACUAAGAAAAAAGGUGUGAGUCCUUUAAGUCUCAUCAAUACAAUUAAAGGACACACUGUAACUUAAAAGAAGAGAAUAGUUUAUCUGGUUGGGCUACAUGCACAAUGACUAUUCUGACAGAGACCUGAAGGUUAAAACCCAAAAGUAAUAAAAUUUUACAUUAAACAUGUUUUCCUUUGAUUUCAUUUAUAUGUAUUUAAACUUACACUGAGAUCUUCAUUCAGUAUUCUUUUUUCCAGAUAAGUAUUGUUCAUUUUAAGACCACAUAAGAAAAUAAAGCUUUAUUUCACUUCUCUAAAACUGGAUUUAAUGGGAGUAAUGCUUAAAUAAAAAUCUAAACUAUUUUAAGAAUGUUCUCAGUGGUGAAAAUUGUUAUGGUAGCACAUUGUGAGCAAAGGAAAAUGCCUCAUAAAUACCUCAUUUAACAACUGUGGCUUUUAAUACUGGUGAAAAAUAACAUGACUUUUAGAGGAAAAUAUUAAAUGUUCAUGAAAAUACAGACUUCUGUUUGAGACAUAAUGAAAAAUUGAGGUUUAGUGUAAUAAAACACUAUUCUCGUAAGUGUGUAAAAAUAAGACUUACUCUGAUAGAAAGCAAGUAAUAAUUAUAAUUAACUUAACUAAAACAAAAAAAGUGUAUAUAAUCGGGAAAAAAAGUGACUAUGAAAAGAGGAAGACAAGUGGGGAUGAGGAGGUGUGGCUAAAAGGCAGGUAACGUGGUUUCAUUCCGGGUCCUAUCUAUCGCCAGUCUUACAGCCUUGGCUAAGUUAAGCAGCUGAGCCUCGUUCUUUCCUUCAGUGAAAUGGGAAUUACUGAGAAAAUUUUCCAGCUUGGAUGAGAUAAUUCCAACACACAGUGAGUUCUUAUUCAACUAAAUGGACUAGGAAGACAUUAACUGGUAUCAAUGCAUUAUAACCCUAAAAUAAUGUCCCUUUGGCAUGUAAACGAUCUGGAACUUACCUUUAAAAUUAACUAUAGAUUUGUAUGACUUUAUUUGGCAAUAUUUAAGGUUAUGAGAAAUGAAAUAAUGAACAAGUUAAGCAGUUAUUGAGGAAGCUGGGAAACAACACUAAAAUUUCACUGUGGACAUCAGCAUCUUUGAUAAGCAGAGAAGUUUGCUGAUGAAGAUGAUGAUGAUGGCAGUUAAUAUUGUCUGUAAGGUUUACUGGUUUAUAGAGUGUGCUAGGGACUGGGAGCUCUGUCCAGGCUGUGUCUUAUUUCAUCUUCUCUGCAGCCUGAUGCAGGAGAUUCAGUCGUUAAACUGAUUUUAAAGUUGGAGACAUUGGUUUUUAGAAAAGUUGAGACACUACCAGUAUCCACAGUGAGUACUGGGAUGGAAGCUUUGACAGGUUGGCUCUGAGAUUUGGCUCUGGACUGACAUCAGCAUUGGGAUGGAUUCAGGUGCUUGUGGUUUGCUUCUUGGGGACCAGAAUCCUACAUGGACUUCAAGAAACUUAGUUAAAAAGAAAUUCAGUGAUACAGUUGUAACAUUCCAGGGUCUGAAUGCCACGAUCAUACCACUGAAUUUCCUCCUCCAUAUCUCAGUCAGUUUUUCUGGUCUCAAAUUUUACUCCUUGAAGUCAGAAGAACCAAAAAGCUGCUCCUUCAGCAGUUCAGCGAAGUUUCUCAGCCUGAUCACCCAAUCAUUGCUUGCCAGUUCUGCCUUCCACAAAGUAUUGGAGUGGGAACACUUUUAGCCAAUUGUUUUGCCUCUCUGUAACAAGGAUUGCCCUUUCUCAUUGGCAGGUUCCAAAGCCACGCCCACACUCGUAUCCCCACCUCUCAGUGUCACUCUUUGUCUUAGUAAAGUGGCUAUAAUAAAGCCUCAAAGACUGGUCUUGUUUAUUUAUUAAUUUCACUUCUGGAGACGGAAAAGUUUGCGGUAAAGUUUCCAAAACAGUUGGCUUCUGUUGAGGAUCCCACAGUUGAGAUCCGUUGAUUUGUAGAUGACUGUUUUUGCUGUGUCCUGACUUAGAAAGAAGAAAGGGAGAAAGCAAGCUUCUUAGAGCACUAAUCGCAUCAUGAGAGGGGCUCCUGACUCAGUAACCUUCCCAGAUCUCAUUUCUGAACACUAUCGCAUUAAAGAUUAGGGUUUCAACACCUGUAUUUUGAAGAGAUACCUCUUACGGGACCUCACCUUUUCCUUCUUUUUAUGUGCAUGACUUUGAUAUAUAUGUGUGGAAUGUAUAUGGGUAAUAUAUAUGCACAGAAGAAGCUAUGGCUGCUUACAUUUAUUUCAGGUUUCAUUAGGUAUCUAGUACUAGUUUUGCUUUAAUUACUCUUUUAAAAUCUGUUUUCUGCAUUGCUCACUGGAAAGUAAUCUAAUUGUGAUAACGAAGUAUAUCCAAAUUGGGUAGCUUUUUCAUUCUUGUUGAAAGUUGAUAGUGGUUGAAAAAUAUGCUGUAUAUGUACAGUUCUAACAAUUUGACCAAUGCCCUAGCUUAAAGAUGUUGGUGAAAUCAUUACCUAAGAAAAAGAAAUUAACCAACUUAGUUUAAUACUGAAUUUAUUCUGAGAGAAGCUAGAUAAGCUCAUGUAAACAUCCAUUCCUUUUUUUUUUUUUUUAAAGAAAUACAUGAGACAACAAAAUACAAGUAGCAAAUGUGUGACAGGUAGAGAUUAUAGUGUGCCAGAAGAGGAGGACCAGACCUUACCCCUCCUAGGGAACGGUAGGAUACACUUUGGAAGCAGAAGGAAAAGGAGACAGUCCUUAAACAAGCCUGGCUAGACUUCCUCACAGGCACCUUUGACUUUGAUCACUGUGACAGGCAGCACUACCAUUAAAGUUGGAACUUACUGAGGUUUUCUUGUGUAAUUAGUGAAAGGAAAGAUGUGUUUGACAGUGGAAUCUCUUGGCUUAAUUACCUGAAACCUGGUCAUACAAUGGCAAGAAGAGACUCACCAGUAGCAUUUAUUGGUGUAUUGAUAAAUGUUCCUACAGGAUUUGGAAAGACAGUAGGAAAGCUAGCUCCUAAUAACAGAAUACCUCAUAAUCAAAAGAAAAUAUUGGAGAGAUUUCUAGAAAAAGGUAAAAUUUGGAGUUUAAAAAGUGAUAAAAGAUGUGGAACUGGGUAUCGGACAGAACUGCUCUCAGCUACCAGGUCCUUACAUGACCCCUUGCACAGUGAGCUGUAGUCAUAUAGAUGUUAAUCCUGAGUGGCCUUAAGCUCUCCCAGACCUACUGCAGACCCGGUGUGUAUGUGGGUGCGACAGGUGUCUUCUAAAGCUGGCAGGGAAGUAUCUACCGGGAAGCAGGUACCAUUCUGGGUAAUUGGUUGAAAGAAAUAAAAACCCUUUGUCAAACCUCUCUCUUCACAAAUUUACAAAAGGAGAAAACAGAGAAGAAAAAGAAUAUGAAUAAUGCUGACUAUUUUUCCCCUUUUAAAACUGACACUUAAAAAGUCUUGAAAAUAGUCAUUGAUCAAGGAAAACAAAAGAAAGGAAACAUCGCAAAGGUAAUAAAAAGGCUAGAUUUUCCUACCCUUUGUUCCUAUUAUGGACAGUUGGCCUCUUCCUGCAUUAUUCCUGAUUCGUAAUUGUGAGAAAAAUGAGAAAAGAUGUCACAUGACUAUUCUGAAGCUUACUGUCCUAUAUAAACAAGCUUUUAAACAAAUUCCUCUCUGCUUAAAAGAUUAAAUAUAUGAGGAGUCUCCAUUUUAUGUACCCACCACACACCCCAAAACUGGGGAGGUUGGUUAUUAAUGUGAACUAACAAUGUACUUCUGAACCAUGCUGUUUGUGGAAGUAAUACUGCUCCACUGUUCUGUUUAUUCCAUUCUGGUAAAUGUAAGUUUUCCUCAAAAAAAAAAAGGAAAAUACCCAAAAGCCAAUAAAGAAAAUCAGGAAUCACUUUUGAGGAUUAUUCCCAGAUAUGAUACAUAUACAUUUUGCCUUCUGAAGUGAAAGGGAAUGUGGCUUUUCAUUUUUAAAGGGCCUUUGAAUCAAGUCACUUGUCAAAAUUCACUUCCUAGGAUAUUUCUGGCUAGGGUAUUCUUGGAACCAAAAUCAGAUCUUUUUUUUUUUUUUAAAUCAACAAAAGCAUAUCUUAUCCAGCUUUUAAGGAUGAUGUUCACCAUUUAAUUGGAAGCUGCUGCAUACUUUUGUCUGUUUAUAAGGUAACCAUGUGACUUGUUGAAAAAAUAAAAACCUAGUUAAAUCUAUCACUUGGUAUCAUAAAACUAAUUGUUUAUAACAUUUGAUUGUUUUUUAAAACUUAAUUAAAUCAAAUUGAUUAGGAUAAAUUAUAAACUAAAGAGCAAACCCAUAAUGGAAUCUGUGUUUGCUGAAUGGUAGGAAAUUUCCCAGGGCACAUCACCCUUACAAUACUACUGCAAGAAAGUUGUUAACUCUUUUUAAAAUUCUUCUAAGGAUAUUUGUCAUCAUCAGAGGUAACCUUUUCUCUUGCUUCAGAUGUGUUAAGUCUUUGCACUUAUUAAUUCUUUUAUGUAGUGUUUGUAGUUUGUAGAAGGAAAUUGAUUUUCUUGUAAUGGGAAAAUCAUCGCUCCUAUUAUGACAUAAAACUUUAAUUUGAUGUCUCCUCUACUGACCCAAACUAAUUACAACAAAAACAUGUUAACAAAGUGAGUAAAGUUCUUUCUUUCAUGCAUCAAUUUUACUACUUAGGGCUCCCCCAGAAAGUCUUAAAUGAAGGUGCAGCUCUGUUACCCUGGGACCAUGUGAGUGGGUGAGUGUAUAUGUGUGUGUGUGUGUGAAGCAGCCACUGUGACAGGUUGUGAAAUAUAGAUGCUCAUGGUGAAACCUGAACUCCUCAGAUCAUCAACUUCUAAGGGGCAAAGAAAUAUUAAAGGGUUUUAUCAGUAAUGGUCAGAACACACAGCAGCUGAAAACAUUGGCAUUGCUUCCUCUUUAAUUUGAGCAGAUUGGAAUGCACCUCCCAAAAUCAAACGGAAAUAAUAAAAUUUUAAAACUUUUAUGGGUACCCAGCUCAGCUGCACCUGGCUGCCCUAAUUGCCUUCAACUGAGUCAUUACUGAGAAGGCAAGAUGUUUGGUUACCAACAGCCCUUAUUAAUGUAUAAUAGGAAUUUACUUGUAAAACAGAAUUAUUGGGAUGGCAUGAUGUCAUAAAGGCAGAGUGCUGACAUUUUAGAUUGUUUUAUAUAGGGAUGUUGAAUUGUAAUUUAGGAGUGGAAUAUCCUUUUGCUAAUUAAUCACAAUUUGGUACAACUUCAGUAUAGCUAGGCAUAUGAAUACAUAAAAUUUAUUAUCGUAAUACUUCUCUAUUAAAGACUGUAUUUGUGCAAAUGCAUGCAAUUCUCAUGAAUUAUCUAUGAGACAGAAAAAUCUUCUCUAGCAGUUUGCAGAUGUGCUAAGAGUGAGAACAGCAAAUGUAAAUAAAUGAAAUGUUUCAGCAAGACUGCUUUCCUGAUCUGUAAAAAUGUUGAAACCUUAAAAUUAUAAAAAUUCCUGCAAGUUUUUUUCUUGGUAUCAAUGAUGCAAGAAAUGGGAUACAUUAAUUUUACUGGACCUCAAGCUUAGAAUCUGUCAAUAUGGCUGUGUGAUUAAUGGGUACAGACGUUUACCUGCCUCAUAAAUAUAAUGGGCUUUGAUUACUGGGCUCAGUUUGCAGAGCAAUAGUUAACAUGAUGUCAACACUUCCAUUGUAAACUCCCUUUUCAGAGGGGUUUAUAACGUGGUCAUAAAAAAUCACUUGGGAUUAUACUUUGAAUAUGAGGUCUUAGUUUGCAGGAACAAAGAUAUUUUAAGGAAUUGAUUUAAGCGGUCCAUUUACCUAUUUGUAGGUUUAUGAAGACCUAAGCUGUAUAUAAAGAAUUCCAACUUUAUAUACCUUAAAGAGAAAUUUUUAAAGUCAUAAAUAUGGUCUCUUAUCACCUAUUUUGUUUAGUUUUUUUUAGGGAAAUACUCUGUGUUUAGAUAUUAGAGCAUUCAUUUUAAACUGGAAGGGAACAUUUUUAAACAUGACUAUGGUACAUAACAGAAAACACUUAAAAAUAAUUGUCUAUUAAUUCUCUGGGACUUCCUGUGAGUAAACUUAAGUCAUAUGUUUUAGGUCCUAAUCAAUAACAAUUUCAGGACAAGCAGGGCACAGUGGCACAUCUCUAUAGUCUCAGCUACCCAGAAGGCCAAAGCAGGAGCAUCACUUGAACUCGAGAGUUUGAAUCCAACCUGGGUGACACAGAUAGCAAGAUCUUAUCCGCUAAACUAAAAAAAUUGAAUUUUUUUGUUAAAAAUUCCAGGAGAAAAGAAUAGUAGGAAGUUGACCACUUUGGGUAAGAUGAAAAACAUCCUUUCUGAGUCGGAGCAUGUAUUGUCCUAACAAAAUAAAGUCGGCAAAGAUGGGAUCCUGCCUAUCAACAAAGAUUCUUGCCAAUCUUGUGUGACACCAUCAUGUCAUCAUUGCAUGAGAAUGCUGUCCAACACAGGGCCCAUCACCCUCAAAAGCUCGGGAUUUCCUGACUGGGUUAUAGAAGGAGUGAAGGAACCCUUACAAUUUUUAAUAGGUAGUACUCAAAAAGCAAAGACUCAGGAGACCAAGGUUAGCUAUGGUAAGGUGGAUGAAAAGCUGUGGUCAUAAUCCAGACUUUUGAAAUGGGUGUCCAGCUACCACAAUUUUCUUCCUGGUUAGCUAAAAAAUUUUUAAUUUUAAAAGUCAUCUCUGUAUUUUGUAGUGUUUCCAUAGCCAUUGGUUGGCCUAAUUGCGUGGAGGUUUUUGUGUUAAUUUGCUUUUGUCUUUUGGGGAGAUAGGGAGAUUGGGUUAUGGCAUAAAAUCAGUAAAGCAAGGAUCUGUUAAAUUCACAGUGAAACUGGGCAAGUUUUAGGUUUCCUUUUCCCCUAACUUUCUCUUCCUCCUCUGUCUCUCCUUUCUUCUUAGGAAAUGGGUAACAAAGUGUAAAAGGGAGACAGCAGGGCUCUUCUGAAUCUUCAGGAGGUAGCGCAAGCCUUACAUUGUGGCUGGUACAGACUGCACAUAUUCCAGACUGUCAUGCCUGGGAUAUUUAUCAUAGAACGUCCAUAAUGGUUUUCUCUCAUCAUUCAAAAGUCCUGGAAUGGAACAGGGUGUUUUCUUUAGGUUGUUCGGCCUGGUUUAAUCAAUUGCAUGCAAAUUGUAGAAGUAAUAGCUAUAACCUUUGGAUUACCGGCAUCAUCAUCAACUUGCUAGCCAGUGUGAGUACUAAUGCAAGGCCCCAAGUGAACUGGCCUUAUUUAUGUAACUGCUCACAUAAAGAGCUUCAGAAAUGGAUGACCAGAAGAUUAAGGGAGUGAUAGCAUUUACUGACCAAGUAGUGUCCAAGUUUGUAGCCAUAAAUUUUGAAAAACAAAAAAUAAUAUAGUGCCUGGCACUUUAUAUGUAAUGUGUAGUUUAGUGUUCACAACAACCCUGUGAAAUAAAAGGUAUAUUAUGCUCUUACAGAAUUGGAAAUAGAGCCUUAGAAAGUUUCCCUGUUUCCAAGGAUAUCAUAGACUGUGAGCUGGCAUGGGAACCUAGGCCUGUCUUAUUCAUAAAUCCACAGUGUUCCCAUUUUGCAUCAGCAACUCAGAGCUUAAGUGCUUAUUAGUAAAAUAUUCAUUCAUCCACUGAUUGGGUACUUAUUGAGUGCCCAUCAUGCAAUAGGCCUUGUGCAGAAUUUAGGCCUGCAGUACGAAUAAGAGAGCCUUCAAGGGUUUGUGAGUAGGACAGGCUGCUAGGAAGUAACUGGAAAGGCCUGCCUAGGUGUGAGAGCCACAUGACGGAUGUGAGCUGGGGCGGGCUGGGGGCAUUGAUCUUGAUUCAGGCAAAACUUGGGGGAGCAACCUGAAACAGGUUGAUGGAAGGGAAGGGACUGGAAUGGGGUGGCUAAUCCAGGAGGACAGCAGAUGCAAAGGAGGUGAGAGAGUUUUCAGUCAGGGAGAGGCUGGAGCCCUGCACAGGCAGCAACACUGGGAGGGCCGAGGAAUCCAGUCUGAAGAGUUCAGACUCCUCAGGGAUGUGGAGACUAUGAGAGGCUUUGAGCUGGUACUGAUGUGAUCAGAUUAGUAUUAGUCAUGACCUGGGCUGCCUUGUGGAGCAUGAGCUGGUAAUAGGGGUCCUGGGGGCAAAGGCGCAGGUGCAUUUCUAUGGCGAGUUUCUCAGGUGGACUCAGCGGUCCUUGGCUUUUUGUGGGAUGUGGUGUAUAGGGUCCUGGUAAGGAAGGUGGCCUCUAACACAGGAGGGGAUCAGAGAAGGGGCUGGUGUGGGGGAGUUUGGAACAUACUGGGAGUCUGCCCAUUCCACAAGACAGGCAGCCUGAGGUGGAGACUUGAGAGCGCUCAGUAAAGUCGGAGGAGGGGGAAAGACACAGCAGGUGAGAACACACUGGAAGAGCCCUUGGACAGGGACACAAGGUUAGACAGAGAAAGAGAGUGCACAAGAGCAAAA